rnacentral:lncRNA from 1 species
CUAGAGAGGGCACAUGUUCCUAAUUGGCCUAGAGCAUAGCGGCUCAUUAUCCUUCCACCGCUGGUGGUGGGCGGUACUCGCUGCUCUGUGAAGCCAGCCUCACGCAAUGUCCGCCACUUUAGGUGUUGGGAUGCAAAGGCUUUCGCAAAGGCACCUGAAACCCACUACACAACUUGGUAUGGGUGGUCCACAGUUUGUAGCACUAGACCCAGGCACAUGCACCAAAAUUAACAUCCACACUACCUUAUUGCCCCCGCUCGGGUUACAAGCAAUCGCUACUUGCUCAGCGAGUGAGGGGGUUCAGGACUGCCUAUUUAAGGUGUUGUUGUACUCUAUGCGCCGGCGGUGUGGUAUUUACCAACAACAAAUAGUGUCAUGCAUGAGAGUUGCUAGUUGGCAAAGUCUGUUGUCGAGCUAGCUGGGGGCUAUGCCAAAAGCACAUUAGGAUAGAAUAGUCCUAUUCUAUUUUUUGUUUUUUGGGCCAUUAUGGACUUUAUGUUGAUGUUGUACUAAUUUUCCAUGUGUUUCCUCUUGCCUAUGAAGUGGAAAGUGGGUGCGUUAGAGAAGAAAGAAAGAGUGGCUAGCAUUGAUUUUACAUCAUCCCCUUGAGAACAACAAUCAACAGCAGAAGCAACAAUAUUUCAUACAUAUACAACACUUACAAUCCAUAUAAACAACUUUCCUUCAAAAAAUAACAUAAACCACAUGAUUUAUAUACUGUGUCGGUCAUCUCCACAAAGGGCAAGGAAACACUCCUAGGUUUGUAGUAUAGAACUAAGAGUGUCUACUCUCACGAUGGUUUCCCAACAUAUGCAAACUAGACACUAAUCACAUAAAGUAAAUACAUAUGUGGUAACACAAGCUUAUAGCAUGUAUUUCAACCUAUAGAUUGUUGAUUAUUAUGGUAGAUUAUAUAAUAUAGGGGUUUCUGGAGAAAUACGUAAAAAACAAGAGAAUUAAAAUUUCCUUUUCAGAUUUGGCUAACUGGUAAAAGGAGUUGGAGUAUCUGAGUUUCCAAAUUUGGGACGUAGAUGUAUAGAUGGAAUAUAAAUACGUUAGAAAAAAAUUCUACAACGUAAGGUUUAACACAAGUAGGGCUAAAAAAAUAAAUGAGGCUUUGGUGGCAUGGUCAUAAAACUAGAGACAAGAAACACAAAGAAACCAAGGUAAUUAGUAUGAGAGUUUUCCAAAUUUGGUGUCAUGAUGUAGAAAAAAUAAAUAUAUGACAAACAUGUUUUUUGCAAGGCAUGGUAAAAUAAAUGGGAGUGAGAAAUAAAUUUAAUCCUAGAUUUAGAAGGAAUAAAUAUAUUACUAAAUACGUUUCACAAUGCCAAGUUAAGUAGGUGGGACCGAGAAAACAAUUCUAGCGAGGCUUGGUUGUACCAACCCGAACUAGAUACAAUAGAGGAAAAAUGAAGAAAAUGAUGGUCUACCAAAUAUGGCGCAUGAGCCUUAAGGUGGACCUAGAGGGAAGUAGAAGAAAUAAAUAUAUAACCGAAUAUGUUUUUCGCAAUGCGAGGUAAAGUGUUGAUGUGCUCUAACUGGGCUUAGAUUGCAGCGACAUGUUAUCCAUUGUAAGACCUCAAGAAUCCUAAUGUUAGAAUCUAGUAAAACUUCCUAAAGAAUUUGAAUUUGAAAUACCUUCUAGUAAUAAAUUUUCUUGCAUUAAAUUUACUUCUCCCAAAAUGAAUGUGUUGUCUAGUAAAAGAUAAAAUAAGAGGAACCUAAAUUAAUUAAGUCCUUCUUUACCAAUAUAUAUAUUUAAUUUAAAUUCUUCUAUAACAUAGGGAAUUCACUAGGAAGAACCUACCCUUGAAAAUACUAUUUUCUUUGUAUGUAUGAAUGGCAUAAAAAACACACACAUGCUUAUAUAGGAACAAUAAAUAUAUAAAUAAAUAAAAUAAUAAAAUAUUAUUGCACUACAUUCUGGUGUUUUGGCUUAGCAUUUGUCUCAAAUUAUAAACUUAGAUUUGAAUUCAACUUGGAUUUAAAACAAAAAGGAGGAAAGCAGGAAAUCGAAAAGAAAUAAGAAAAACAAAAUUUGCGCUGGGCCAAAUCCUGACCAUGGCUCGGCCCACCCAAGUCGCAUGGCCCGUUACCCCCCUCCGCCUUCUCCUUGUCUGCGGAAAUACAUUGAGUUGCUGAUAGCGGGGGCCCCCUGCUCAACCUCUCCUUCCUACCGCACUGGCCCACUUCUCCAAUGCAAAACACUGUCAAGUGGGUCCUGGUGUCCAGCGCCUACCUCCGCAUAUGGACAUAUGUGCCGCUGGCAUGGGGCCUAGGAUGUCAGCUUCAUCUUCCUAACAACCUAGGCCGCAGAUCGAGCGCGACCGCGCCCAAGUAGAUUCCUAUGCCCAACCUCGGAUCUUCCCCAUGGGCGUCCUCGCGAGGCUAUAUAUCUAUCCGCCGCGGCAUCCCCUUCACCCAUCCUUUGGUGCCAGCACCUGUACCCCAUGCCCCGUCGCUGGCGCAGGGAGCUUUGGAAUCCGCUGCAAGUCGUACUCACCUCCCCGUCGAAUCAACCUUGAUUCUUAGCCACGAGUGAAAGUCGAGGAACUCUGGGAUCUCGUGCACCGACCGGCCGAACCUGAAAUCAUUUUGUGCGCAAGGAAUUGCUCGUCGAAGCUCUGUCUCUGCCGCCAAGUCGCUUCUCACCGGGGACACCACUGCUAACGCCCAAAUUUGUGGUAAGAAACCAUCUCUGUUCCUCGUCGUCAUCCUCUUUAUGUGUAGAAUCCCUCGGUAUUCGAUAUGUGGUCCCCAGGCGGCCGACCCAUUGCUCGCCAGCGAGUGCGCCACCGCGGUGGUGCCCGGCGCCGCUGUACUCGGGUUCGAGGGAGAAGGGGUUUGUCGUGGACCGUUGAUCCCUAUAGGAGCGGUCGGGAUUAGAUUUUGGAUACCGCUUUAGGCGAUAGGAUCUGUGUCGUUAAUCUAAAGAGGGACACCUCAGAUUAGUUGUGGCGCGUACCCCUUUAGUGGUUAAAUCGGGACCCUCGAUCUUAUGGCGAGUGGUUCGGAUUAGCUUAUGGCGUGGUCACCGAUCGGACCGCGGAUCCUGAAUCCAAGGGCCCAAAAUAGAUAAUGGUUUGGUUGAAGGGUGCGUCUAAUCUGGGCCGCCAGUGUUCGAUCGGACGAUGGAAAUAUCGUGAUACAGAUCGACCCGUCUGUUUUGCAAAAGACCCCUCUGGGAUUUCAGAAAAUAACCCGUCGUCCGGGGCUGUGGAAGAGUCUUGCGGAUUAGUCCUGAACUUUACAAAUCAAACCCCGAGCUUCCUAGAAAUAGUAAUAGCAGUCCAGGAAACAUUAAAAUACCCAAGAUAAAUCUAGAAAAUAGUUUUCAAUGUAAGAAUAAGUAUAAAAUCUUAGGAAAAUCAUAACUUUAUGAAUAUGUCUCCAAAUUGACGCGUUCCAGUUGCAUUAGAUCCAUAAUAAUAUUGUUUAUCCCUUGGUAACUUUAUUUUGUUAUGAAACCUAAAUUGAAACUAUGUACUUAAUUUCUUUUGUACCUGACUCCUAAAUCUUUAGAAAAUCAUAACUUUAUAACCGUAACUCCGAAUUUAGUGGUUCUCGAGCCCACGAUCUCGUAGAAACAUGUAAAUUAUUAUUAUGCAGUUUGUUCUGAUGUUUGGUAUGAUGUUAAUUUUGCAUAUACCCUUUUUGUUGAAUUGCUACGAAUAACAGUGAGGUCACGAGAAUUUGAAGAUCAUCCUGGUACCUGGAAUCUCGAGUCCUAAGCAAAUUGUGCCCUUGAUCACUCUUUUUUACCUAAUAAUGUUCGCGUUAAUCACUGUGACAUGGUCAGGUUAAUUUGAUGGGACCUAAUAGGUUUACCUAACAUUAUUUAUCCCCACCUUGCAAACAGAUGAAUUAUUGGGUAGAGUAGCUAUUGCUCUACCUGGUUUUGGGAAACUAAUGUUUUAUUAUGAUCAUGUUCCAAUUUUGUUGUUAUUUAAUUAUUGUUCAUGAUAAGAUCAUAUUGUUAAUUGGAACAUGGAGCGACCACCCGGGAAAACAGUGCUACCACAAUGGUGGUAUGGGACGUGCUUGGCGGACUAAUUAGGAAGGUAUUGGAGGACUACCUUACCCGAAAGGGGCAAGGGCAGUAGGGGAGUGGUCGGUAUAGUGAGGUUAUCGGGCUGAUUUUGUUGCGAUGGAUUUUCAGACGGGGAUUCCUAUGCUUCGCUCGCUAGAAACUAUAGCAGGGUUUCUGAAGCUAGUGGAACUUUGUAAAGGCCUUGUAGUGGUACCCUGCCUUGCUUCCUUGGUAGAGGUGUAUGGGGUAUGAUCAACCCUGUGUCAAAUGGAUAACACGACUUCUGGGUAAAGAUGUGUAACCUCUACAGAGUGUAAAACUAGUAUAUCAGUCGUGCUCACGAUCAUGAGCAGCUCGGACCCUCACAUGAUUAACUUAUGGAAUUAAACUCAAUUUGUCAUUUGCAUUGCAUUGUGGGUGUUGUUAUUAAUCUUGAUCUCUUAUUUAAUUGGGUUGGUAUCUACUUACACUUAGUAGCUGCUAAUAAAAUUUUGACCGACUUUAAAAGCAAUGCCCAGCUUUAACCAUCCUCUUUGGUAAGCCUUACACUUCACAUGGGCUCCCACAUUUGGUUAGUUCAUGCACAUUAUUCCCCACAACUUGUUGAGCGAUAAACGUAUGUGAGCUCACCCUUGCUGUACUCACAUCCCCUAGGUCAAGAACAGGUACCACAGGAUGAGGCGCAUGGAGGAUGAUGUGAUGAGAUCGUGAGAGGUCUAGGCCGUCGUCUCCCAGUCAACUUUGGUUGCUGGAUCGUUGUUGACUGGAUCGUUGUCUUCAUAUGAUGUAAUUAUUUAACUAUUUUGUUUAGAACUUCUAUUAUAUAGUAAAGAUGUGACAUUCAUUUCUGUACCAUGAGUCAUCAUAUGUGUGAGACUUGGUCCUAGCACACUUGGUGAUUAUUUCAUGCCCGAGUUUUGGACCCCUAGAAUCCGGGUGUGACAUCCAUCCACAAGGCUUGGUUGCACACGGAAAAAGAUAGAGAGAGAAAUGUAGACGCAGGACUAGGAGAAAAAACAUUCAAUGAGGCGUGAUUGCACAAACAUAGAACUAGUUAAAGAAAAAUAAAGGGACUAAAUUUUCUUUUGCACACUUAGCAUGAAUGGAGUUGUAGUAUCUGAGAUCCCAAUUUUAAUUUUAUCCAAGAUGUAGAACAAAGUUGCGAGACUCAUCAUGGUUAUGUAGGGACAAAAGUAGAUAAGAAAAAUAGCAAAAAGAUAGUGGUCUACCAGAGAGGGUAUGUGUGCCCUAAUUGGCCUAGAGCUUAGUGGUUCAUUAUCCGUCCACCGCUGCUAGUUGACAAAGUUUGUUGUCGAGCUAGGUGGGCUAUGGUUGAAGCACAUUAGGAUAGAGUAGACCUAUUCUGUUUUUUUUGUUGUUUUUGGGACAUUAUAAACUUGAUGUUGUGAAUUUUUUUUCAUGUGUUUCCUCUUGCCUACGAAGUGGAAGGUGGGAGCGUUAGAGAAGAAAGAAAGAGUGGCCAGCAUUGAUUUUACAUCAUCCCCUUGAGAACACUAAUCAAAAGCAGAAGCAACAAUAUUUCAUACAUAUACAACACUUGUAAUCCAUAUAAACAACUUUCCUUCAAAAAAUAAUAUAAAGCACAUGAUUUAUAUCCUGUGUCGGUCAACUCCACAAAGGGCAAGAAAACACUCUUAGGUUUGUAGUAUAGAACUAAGAGUGUCUACUCUCACGAUUUCUUCCCAACAUUUGCAAACUACACAUUAAUCACAUAAAAUAAAGACAUAUGUGGUAACACGAACUUAUAUGAUGUACUUCAACCUAUAGAUUUUUUUAUUAUUAUGGCAGAUUAUAUAAUACAUGGGUGCCCGAGGAAAUACGUAAAAAGCAAGAGCAUUAGAUUUUCCUUUUCAGAUUUGGCUAACUGGAAAAAGGAGUUGGAGUAUCUGAGUUUCUAAAUUUGGCACGUAGAUGUAAAGAAGGAAUAUAAAUACGUUGGGAAAACAUUCUACAAGGCAAGGUUUAACACAAGUAGGGCUAAGAAAAAAUCAAUGAGGCUUUGGUCGCAUGGUCACAAAACUUGAGACAAGAAACAUGAAGAAACCAAGGUAAUUAGUAUGAGAGUUUUCCAAAUUUGGUGUAUUGAUGUAGAAAAAAUAAAUAUAUGACAAACAUGUUUUUCUACAAGGCAUUGUAAAAUAAGUGGGAGUGAGUAAUAAAUUUCAUCAUAGAUUUAGAAGGAAGAAAUAUAUCACUAAAUACGUUCUUUCAUAAUGCCAAGUUAAGCAGGUGGGGCCGAGAAAACAAUUCUUGCGAGGCUUGGUUGUACUAGCCCCAAACUAGAUACAACAGAGGAAAAAUGAAAAAAUGUUGGUCUACCAAAUAUGGCGCAUGAACCUUAAGGUGGACCUAGAGGAAAGUAGAAGAAAUAAAUAUAUAACUGAAUAUGUUUUUCGCAAUGCAAGGUAAAGUGUAGAUGCACUCUAACUAGGCUUAAAUUGCAGCGACACGUUAUCCAUCCACAAGGCUUGGUUGCAGAUAGAAAAAAGGUAAAGAGAAAAAUGUAGACGCGGGAUCGGUUGAAAAACAUUCAAUGAGGCGUGAUUGCACGGAAAUAGAACUAGAUAGAAGAAAAGAGUUAAAGAAAAUUGGAGAAAAACAUACUAAGCAUGAAUGGAGUUGUAGUAUCUGAGAAUAAAGGGACUAAAUUUUCUUUUGCACACUUACCAUGAAUGGAGCUGUAGUAUCUGAGAUCUGAAUUUUAAUUUAUUCCAAGAUGCAGAACAAAGUUGCGAGACUCGUAAUGGUUACAUAGGAACAAAAGUAGAUAAGAAAAAUAGCAAAAAGAUAGUGGUCUACCAGAGAGGGCACAUGUGCCCUAAUUGGCCUACAACAUAGCGGCUCAUUAUCCUUCCACCGUUGGUGGCGGGUGGUAUUCGCUGCUCUAUGAAGUCAGCCUCAUGCAAUGUCCGCCACUUUAGGUGUUGGGAUGCAAACGCUUUUGCCAAGGCACACGAAACCCACGACAGAACUUGGAAUAGGUGGUCCACAUUUUGUAGCACUAGACCCAGGCUCAUGCACCACAAUUGACAUCCACACUACUUUAUUGCCCCCUCUCAGGUUACAAGCAAUCGCUACUUGCUCAACGAGUGAGGGGGUUCAGGACUGCCUAUUUAAGGUUGUUUUGUACUCUAUGAGCCGGUGUUGUGGUAUUUACCAACAACAAAUAGUGUCAUGCAUGUGAGUUGCUAGCUGGCAAAGUCUGUAGUCGAGCUAGAUGUGAGCUAUGGCAAAAGCACAUUAGAAUAGAAUAGUCCAAUUCUAUUUUUUGUUGUUUUUGGGCCAUUAUGGACUUUAUGUUGAUGUUGUCUAACUUUUCAUGUGUUUCGUCUUGCCUAUGAAUUGGAAAGUGGGUGCGUCAGAGAAGAAACAAAGAGUGGCUAGCAUUGAUUUUAUGUCAUCCCCUUGACAACAGUAAUCAAAAGCAGAAGCAACAAUAUUUCAUACAUAUACAACACUUAUAAUCUAUAUAAACAACUUUCCUUCAAAAAAUAAUAUAAACCACAUGAUUUAUAUCUUGUGUCAGUCAUCUCCACAAAGGGAAAGGAAACACUCCUAGGUUUGUAGUAUAGAACUAAGAGUGUCUACUCUCACGAUUUUUUCCCAACAUAUCCAAACUAGAAUGUGUGGUACCAUGAACUUAUAUCAUGUAUUUCAACCUAUAGAUUGUUGAUUAUUAUGGUAGAUUAUAUAAUAUAGGGGUUCCUGGAGAAAUAUGUAAAAACAAGAGAAUUAAAAUUUCCUUUUCAGAUUUGGCUAACUGGUAAAAGGAGUUACCUGAGUUUCCAAAUUUGGGACGUAGAUUUAUAGAAGGAAUAUAAAUACGUUGGAAAAAAAUUCUACAACUUAAGGUUUAACACAAGUAGGGCUAAGAAAAAAUAAAUGAGCCUUUGGUCGCAUGGUCGUAAAACUAGAGACAAGAAACACAAAGAAACCAAGGUAAUUAGUAUGAGAGUUUUCCAAUGUAGUAAAAAUAAAUAUAUGAUAAACAUGUUUUUUUGCAAGGCAUGGUAAAAUAAGUGGGAGUGAGCAAUAAAUUUCAUCCUAGAUUUAGACAGAAUAAAUAUAUCACUAAAUAUGUUUCACAAUGCCAAGUUAAGUAGGUGGGACCGAGAAAACAAUUCUAGUGAGGCUUGGUUGUACCAGCCCAGAACUAGAUACAACAGAGGAAAAAUGAAAAAAUGAUGGUCUACCAAUUAUGGCGCAUGAGCCUUAAGGUAGACCUAGAGGGAACUAUAAGAAAUAAAUAUAUAACUGAAUAUGUUUUUCGCAAUGCAAGGUAAAGUGUUGAUGUGCUCUAACUGGGCUUAGAUUGCAACGGCAAGUUAUCCAUCCACAAGGUUUGGUUUCACAUGGAAAACAAUGGAGAGAGAAAUGUAGAUGCAGGACUAGGAGAAAAAACCUUCAAUGAGGCGUGAUUGCACAGACAUAGAACUAGAUAGAAGUAAAGAGUUAAAGAAAAAUAAAGGGACUAAAUUUUAUUUAGCACACUUAGCAUGAAUGGAGUUGUGGUAUCUGAUAUCCCAAAUUUAAUUUGUUCCAAGAUGCGGAAGAAAUUGCAAGACUCGUAAUGGUUACAUAGGGACAAAAGUAGAUAAGAAAAAAUAGCAAAAAGAUAGUGGUCUAUGAAAGAGGGCACUUGUGCCCUAAUUGGCCUAGAGCAUAGCGGCUCAUUAUCCUUCCAUCGCUGGUGGCGGGCGGUACUCGCUUCUCAGUGAAGCCAGCCUCACACAAUGUCCAUCAUGAUACGACCACGCCAUUAAGCAACAUGUUACAACCCCUAAGGCAUACUACAUCAACUCAAGUACAACCAAUAUCAUCACCAACCCAAGCCUUUGAUGGACCAAUUACACGUAGCCGAGCUAAGAAGCUACAGCAAGAGGUUCGCCAAAGAGGAAGGACAAAACAUAUCAAAGGCGAAUCAGCAAGAAGAGCUAUGUCUGAGUCAGUCUAGCGCUAUAGAACUGUCCAGAAGAAACAGUCAUAUCUUUUGAUUCCCAAAAGCUAUGAAGGCCCAUAAGUACUUUUUAGAAAGCUCUUGAAGUCUAGUUUCCUAUACUUCUAAGGCCGACUUAAUCAAAUCUACCAAGAAGGCAGCCGACCUACUUUAGUGCUGACUGGUCAGAAGGUCAACAGUCUGUUUGAUGACCAAGUUUCAUAUUAAACUGCAUCAUUCUACGAAGUUUCAUUAAGCAUGCUAUACAUGGUGAGAAAGCUUAUCAAGUCAGCUUUCCAACGCAUCCAGCCCCACUGCAUCAUUCUACGAAGUUUCAUGAAGCAUGCUAAACUGCAUCAUUCUAUGAAGUUUCAGUCCUUAGAGUCUUUGUUUAGUUGCUGGUCACUCUAUCCUUUGUGUUCCCUUUGAGCCUCUUAUAAAUAUCUAAAAAUAUCCACAAAAAGAAAAAUAUGAAAACCCUCAUCAUUUCCUUCGUGUUAACUUUGAUCCUAUAUAAGUUAUAGCUGCUGGUUGAGUUCUUUGUUAAGUAUUAUAAAGUGUGCAAUAUCAUAUGAGAUCUCUGUGUUUAGUUCUAUAAAAAGAGUAUCAAAAAAAGAGAAGAAAGAAAAGUACCAAAAAAGUGUUGAACAAGAUUGUGAAAAGUAGAACAAUCAGUUUGUUUAUGUGCACAAGUGCUGAAAGUUCAUCAAGUUGUUCAACCAGUUUGCUAUUGUCAUUUGAUGCAAAAUUUUGGUUGAAUCUGAUUGCAACACUUGCAUUCCAAUCAUACUCCUUGUCUGCAUCAAAUCUGAAAUUUCUUGCGCGUGUGUUUGAUCUAUUUACAUCACUCGUAUCUUGUGGUCAGCACUAAGCAGGGAACUUCUAGUUGGAUGGUUAUUUAACUUUACAACAACUAGGAUUCAGAUUGCAUCCCUUGUUUAUUAUUCCCCACCAAGCUCCACAUAUAAGCCAUCGUAAUCGGUACUCUGGUCUUGUAUUCGCUUAACCACCACUUUCUUGUUACUGCCACACAUUUUCUUGCAACCCGCAGCGAACUCAUAAGAGCCUUGGUUGGUAAGAGUGGUCAGGUUGUGAGAUUCUAUAUAGCUUCAUAUUCCACCUAUAUUUGUUGCCUUGUCGCCACUAAUUUCGCAGGAAGAUGGAUCCCAACGUUGAGAUUGAAGAAUGUGUCACCAUGAUACAAUUCAAUGAGCUCAAACAAAGCAUAGAAGCCAAGCAAGAUCUGUUGGCACAAGAUCUUCAGACACUUAUGGCUGAAAUCAGAGGUCGUCGUUGACUCAUUGACGGUGUAAGAAACCAUGAUGAAGAUGGGGAAGAAGGUGAAGGAAAUUAUUCUAGAAGGGCAAGUGAACAUGGGAGGAGAAAUCAAGGUGCUGCACGUGGUAGAGGAAGAGGUCAGAAUCGAAGAAAUGAUGACAAUGAGGAAUCUGAAUUUGGGAAUGAUGAUGAUCAGUCCCAACAUCGCUAUGGUCGUCGUCAUCAUAGAGGCGUCAACCAAGAAGAGAGAUUUGGGAAACUUAAGUUUACCAUGCCAAAAUUUGAUGGUAGAUCUGAUCCUGAAGAUUAUUUCACAUGGGAAUUGAAGGUGGAGAAAAUCUUCCGCCUACAUAAUUAUUCAGAGGAGAAGAAACUUGCAAUGGCAUCUCUUGAGUUUGAAGGAUAUGCCCUGAUUUGGUGGGAGCAACUUCUUCGUGAUCGUGGAGAUGGAGAGGACCCUAUUAUUACUUGGCAAGAGAUGAAGCGAGAAAUGAGAAUUCAUUUUAUGCCGAAGCAUUAUCGGAGUGAUCUUUUUGAUAAAUUGCAGAAUUUGAGGCAAGGAAGUUUCUCUGUUGAGGAGUAUUAUAAGGAGAUGGAGAAGGCCAUGAUUAGAGCCAAUGUGUAUGAAGACGAAGAGCAAACCAUUGCACGUUUCAUGGCUGGGUUACACCGCAACAUUCAGCGUAUUGUUGAGUUUCAGCCGUACCAAAGUCUUAUUGAUUUAGUACAUCAAGCCACCAAAGCUGAACGCCAGCUGCAACAAGAUGCUAAGAGCAGCAAGCCCUUGUCAUAUGGUGCACGAACCAUGACUGGAGGAAGCAAAUCGAUCUCAAGGUUUACUGCUGCAUCCUCAGCGACAAAAGGUUCAAUUGGAGGCUUGCGAUCCAAUAUUCAAGGCAAUUGUAGUGGAAAGAAUGGUGCUGCUCCAAACACGAGUUAUAAACCAGCAACAUCCACUUCAACAUCAGUGGGUUCAACAGCCAAGAGUAGUGGUAUUCAGUGCUUCAAGUGUGGAGGUCGUGGUCAUGUCAUAAAGGAGUGUCUAAAUAAUCGUGUGAUCCUUGUGACUGAUGAUGGAGAAUAUACAUCAGCUAGUGAAGAGGAAGCUGAAGCAGGAAAUGAAGAUGACAUUGAUAAAUCUGAAGAACAUACGUAAGUAAAGUAAGAAGUUUUCAUGGUCUUACUGGUUUUUAUAGAAGAUUUGUGUGAGAUUUCAGUACCAUCGCUUCUCCUUUAAAUGAAUUGACAAAGAAAGGUGUUGAAUUUAAAUGGGGAAACUCACAAGAAGAUGCUUUUCAAGAAUUGAAGAAACGUUUGACUGAAGCACCUGUACUUAUUCUUCCUGAUUUCACUAAAACUUUUGAAGUAGAAUGUGAUGCUAGUGGGAUUGGGAUAAAAGGAGUUUUAAUGCAACAAGGAAAACCUAUAGCAUAUUUUAGUGAAAAAUUGGGAGGUGCUCAAUUAAAUUAUUCUGUGUAUGACAAAGAAUUAUAUGCUUUGGUUCGAGCGCUUGAAACAUGAUAGCACUACUUAUGGCCAAAAGAGUUUGUUAUUCAUUCCGAUCAUGAAGCUUUGAAGUAUUUGAAAGGGCAAGCCAAACUGAACCGUCGCCAUGCCAAAUGGGUUGAGUUUAUCGAAACAUUUCCAUACAUUGUGAAAUAUAAGAAAGGUAAGGACAAUGUGGUCGCUGAUGCCUUGUCUCGAAGGAAUGUGUUGUUGAAUCAACUAGAGGUAAAAGUUUUGGGUCUUGAAAAUUUGAAAGAAAUGUAUAAUGAUGAUCCUGAAUUUUCAGAACCAUACAAUCAUUGUAAAGAUGGAAAAGGUUGGGAAAAAUAUCAUAUACAUGAUGGAUUUUUGUUUAGAGCUAACAAACUUUGUGUACCAAAUUCUUCGGUUAUAUUGCUUUUAUUGCAGGAGUCACAUGGAGGCGGUCUAACAGGUCAUUUUGGACAAAAGAAGACUUAUGAAUUGCUUAGUGAUCAUUUCUAUUGGCCCAAGAUGAGGAGAGACGUCAUCAUAUUUGUGGAGCGUUGUGUCACCUGUCACAAAGCUAAGUCAAAAUUGAACCCUCAUGGUUUAUAUACUCCUUUACCCGCUUCUAAAAUUCCUUGGGAAGACAUAAGCAUGGAUUUUGUUUUAGGACUGCCGAUGACUCGAAAAAAGAGAGAUUCUAUUUUUGUUGUGGUUGAUAGAUUUUAAAAAAUGGCUCAUUUUAUCCCAUGCAACAAGAGCGACGAUGCUUCACAUGUUGCCAAUUUGUUUUUCAGAGAAAUCUUGAGGCUACAUGGAGUGCCCAAGACCAUCGUAUCUGACCGUGAUGUGAAGUUUGUGAGCUAUUUUUGGAAAACAUUAUGGGCAAAGCUUGGGACUAAACUUUUGUUCUCUACAACAUGCCACCCCCAAACUUAUGGACAAACUGAAGUGGUGAAUCGUACAUUGUCAAAGCUGCUGCGAACAAUGGUAAAGAAGAACUUGAAGGAUUGGGAGGAAUGUUUGCGACACGUGGAGUUUGCUUAUAACAGAACAGUACAUUCUACAACUAAUUUAUGCCCCUUCGAAGUUGUAUAUGGGUUCAAACCUAUUGCUCCGAUAGAUUUGUUGCUCCUUCCAUUGCAGGAAAGAACCAAUAUGGAAGCUUCCGAGCGUGCUGCAUACAUAAAAAAGAUACAUGAGAAGACUAAGGAAGCAAUUGAGCUCAAAGCAGUGCGCAAGGCUACAAGCAUGAACAAGCAUAGGAAGAAAGUGUUAUUUGAACUGGGGGACUUGGUUUGGAUUCACUUGCGCAAGGAGCGUUUUCUUGAGCAGUGCAAAUCCAAAUUGAUGCCAUGGGGGGAUGGUCCAUUUCGUGUUCUUGCCAAAAUCAAUGAUAAUGCAUACAAGAUACAUCUUCCACCAAGCUAUGGCGUGAGCAACACAUUCAAUGUUGCUGACCUCUUACCAUAUACAAGUGAAGACACUUUAGAGUCGAGGACGACUCCUUUUCAAGGGGAGGAGGAUGAUACGACCACGCCAUUAAGCAACACGUUACAACCCCCAAGGCAUACUACAUCAACUCAAGUACAACCAACAUCAUCAUCAACCCAAGUCUUUGAUGGACCAAUUACACGUAGCCAAGCUAAGAAGGUACAACAAGAGGUUCACCAAAGAGGAAGGACAAAACAUAUCAAAGACAAAUCAACAAGAACAGCUAUGUCCGAGUCAGUCUAGCGCUACAGAACUAUCCAGAAGAAACAGUCAUAUCUUUUGAUUCCCAAAAGCUAUGAAGGCCCAUAAGUACUUUUUGGAAAGCUCUUGAAGUCUAGCUUCCAAUGCUUCUAAGGCCGACUUAAUCAAAUAUACCAGGAAGGCAGCCGACCUACUUUAGUGCUGACUGGUCAGAAGGUCAACACUCUGUUUGAUGACCAAGUUUUCGUAUUAAACUGCAUCAUUCUACGAAGUUUCAUUAAGCAUGCUAUACAUGGUGAGAAAGCUUAUCAAGUCAGCUUUCCAACGCAUCCAGCCCCACGUCAUUUGAAGAUUCCUAGAAGAAGUUAUUGUCAAAAUACAUUAGCACGUGAAAAUACUUUUGUUUCGUGUUUAUACCUUGCUAAGGCUGGUUGUUACUAGUAUAAAUACCCCCCUAUGUCUAUGAUGUAAGGCAGCUUUUGAUAAUCUAAAACAGAACCCCCUUUGUUCAGCUGUGUGCUAACAAAUAUUGAGAGUGAUCUCUAUCCCUUUGCUCUUGUGAAUUCCUUCGCGGGAUUGCAGAAGCGGCGGCUUCAUCCGCUCUCAAGUGGUGCUCCUACUCCCUUCGAGGUCUCCUCGAUUGAUUGUAGGUUGUGUUGGUUGGUUCUUUGAGAGUGUGGUUGGGCGAAUCCUCGAUUCAGGCUGCCGGUUAAAGACGGCGGUUGGCUUCGAGUUUUAUUUGUCAGGUUGCACUAGUUAUCGCUGCUUGCAGCAAGUUAUCUUGGCUUCUUUGAAGCUAGUUAUCUGAAGAUUGAUCCUACGUCGUGAAGAUCGGGCAUCGUGACGCAUCACACCACUUUAGGUGUUGGGAUGCAAAGGCUUUCGCCAAGGCACCCGAAAGCCACUACACAACUUUGAAUGGGUGGUCCACAGUUUGUAGGACUAGACCCAGGCACAUGCUCCACAAUUGACAUCCACACUAUCUGAUUGCCCCUGCUCGUGUUACAAGCAUUCGCUACUUGCUCAGCGAGUGAGGGGGUUAAAGACUCCCUAUUUAAGGUGGUGUUGUACUCUAUGAGCCGGCGAUGUGGUAUUUACCAACAACAAAUAGUGUCAUGCAUGCGAGUUGCUAGUUGGCAAAGUCUGUUGUUGAGCUAGCUGUGGGCUAGGGCUGAAGCACAUGAGGACAGAGUAGGCCUAUUACCAAAGAAAUAAUAAAAAACUAGAGAAUUAAAGUGGCAUUUUCAUUUGGUAAACUCAUAAAAGGAGUAGGAGUAUCAUAUGUUCCAAAUUUGGGUCGUAGAUGUAGAGUAGGAAUAUCAAUAUGUUGGAAUAAAAUUUCUAUAAGGCAAGGUUUAACACAAGUAGGGCUAAUAAAAAAUCAAUGAGGCUUUGGUCGCAUGGUCACAAAACUAGAGACAAGAAACAUGAAGAAACCAAGGUAAUUAAAAUUUAUAUUGUAGGCUCGGCUAAUGAUAUCAAAACAAUGGAGUCGGAGAAUAAGAGUUUCUAAAUUUGGUGUCUUGAUGUAGAAGAAAAAAUAUAUGACAAACAUUUUUUGCAAGGCACGGUAAAGUAGGUGGGAGUGAGCUAUGAAUUUCAUCCUAGAUUUAGAAAUAUAUAUUUCACUGAAUACGUUUUUUCGCAAUGCCAAGUUAAGCAAGUUGGACCGAGAAAACAAUUCCAGCAAGGCUUUUUGUACCUGCCCAAAACUAGAUACAACAGAGGAAAAAGGAAAAAAAGAUGGUCUACCAAAUAUGGCGCAUGAGCCUUAAGGUGGACCUAUAGCGAAGGAGAAGAAAUAAUAUAUAAUCGAAUAUGUUUUUGAAAGGGAAAUGAGCCCUUGGGCCAUUUCUAUGUUUAUUUGGUGAUUAGAUGCUCAACACACUGCUAUGGACUAACAACUCCACAUAUGAGCAUGAGUACAGGUAUUUGAAAGGCAAAUUGAGAAAUAUAGGAUUAUAUUGCAAAUCCUAUUGCAUUGAAGGAACAAAGGUAUGAUUCUAGCACUUAGCAAAUUGUUUUAGUUGUUAAUUAUGUUCAUCUAAGUGCUAGGAAACUUCUCAAGUUGAACCAAUUUGGAGGUAUAGUGUUUGGCUAAGUGAUUCUAGCAUUAUUAAGAUGAUUGAUGAUCAAUAAACACAAGACAAAAUAAUUGAAGAACUCAACAUGUACCAAGAUCAACAAGGGACAUUUGUACAUGAAAUUGUCGUAAGGCAAAGGAGAAAUAAGAACUUUAAUCCAGGUGUUUCUAUUUUGAAUACUUGGUUUUAGAAUUCAAUUUGUUUCUUGCCUCUCACAAUUAUGUAAUUAUUAACUUGUUUAUGCAGCGAAGUGGUGGCUAAACCAUGGCACAAUGAGAGCACCUAGAGGGGGUGAAUAGGUGAUCUUGCAAAAAUCAACUCUAAACAACACAAACUUGGUUUAUAAUGAGUGUUAGUGAAAACUAAAACCAAGUUGUUAUGUGUAGAGAUGGAGAGAGAGAGAGAGGAUCACUUCACUUGAUUGCUCCUUUUAAAUGUGUAUCAAACUUAGCAGCAAUAAUACAAGUGAUUAUGAGAAUUCAAGAAGACAACAAUCGUGAUAAAGUAAAUGCAUAAGAGACACGACAAUUUUAUCUCGUGGUUCGACCAAUGACUACUCCACGUUGUGGUGACCUCCUUCGGUCAAGGAUUGCACUCAACCCCUCUCAAGUGAUCCAAAGAUCAAACUUGAGUACCACGAUUUUAUUCCUUAUAUCAAAUCCCCUUUGCGAGGAAUCUCCACAAGUUGGAGUCUCUCACACCUUACACAAAUGAUCUUAAUCAAAGCACAAGAGUAAGGGGGGUACCAACACACACAAGAGCACAAGUGCAGCAACACCACACGCACAAGCAAAGAAGAGAGCGCAAGAAUCAAAACGACAGAGUUUCUCUCAAGACAACGCUUAGUUCUCUCUAGAAUAAGUCGAAAGUGUGGUUGUGUUGAAUCGGAGUAUCAGUGUGCUCUUGGUAUUCUUGGGAACAGCUCCAUACGCCUAGGGGUCCUUUUAUAUCCCCAAGGGCCAAAGGAGUCGUUGCUUCUUCGUUUUGAAGGCCCUGGUUGCCUUCUGUCCGGGUGUGUACCAGAGAGUCCAGUGCACACCGGACACUGCACCGUGCGCGAUUCACUUCCAUAAACAGUUGAGCCGAUCGUUGAGAGCCGUUGCUACCUUCGGUCAGUUGGCACAUCGGACAGUCCGGUGGCACACCAGAAAUUCGAUGUGGCCUGUUGACCAUUGGCCCAGCAGAUGUGGCCACCACGUGGCCAACGCUGAUUGCGCGCCGACUGUUGGCACAGGCGAGAGCCGUUGGCCACCUGGCUCACCGAACAGUUCGUUGCACACCAGAUAGUCCGGUGAAUUAUAGCUAGGGCACCCAACCAAUUUCCUGAGAGUGGCCAGUUCGGCCACUGUGCCGUCUAACACACCAGACACUGUCCGGUGCACACAUGACAGUCCGGUGCUAUCCAAUAAUGUUCACGUUAAUCACUGUGACAUGCUCAGGUUAAUUUGAUGGGACCUAAUAGGUUUACCUAGCAUUGUUUAUCCCCCACCUUGCAAAUAGACGAAUUAUUAGGUAGAUUGGCUAUUGCUCUACCUGGUUUUGGGAAACUAAUGCUUUAUUAUGAUCAUGUUCCAAUUCUGUUGUUAUUUAAUUAUUGCUCAUGAUAAGAUCAUAUUGUUAAUUGUACAUGGAGCGACCACCCGGGAAAAUAGUGCUACCACAAGGGUGGUAUGGGACGCCCUUGGCGGACUAAUUAGGAAAGCUAGUGGAGGACUACCUUACCCGAAAGGGAAAAGGGCAGUAGGGGAGUGGUCGGUAUAGGGAGGUUCUCGGGCUGAUUUUGUUGCGAUGGCUUUUCAGACGGGGGAUUCCUAUGCUGCGCUCCCUAGAAACUGUAGCGGGGUUUCUGAAGCUAGUGAAACUUUGUAAAGGCCUCGUAGUGGUACCCUGCCUCGCUUCCUUGGUAGAGGUGUAUGGGGUCUGAUCAACCAAGUGGCAAAUGGGUAACACGACUUAUGGGUAAAGAUGUGCAACCUCUGCAGAGUGUAAAACUGGUAUAUCAGUCGUGCUCACGAUCAUGAGCAGCUCGGACCCUCACAUGAUUAACUUAUGGAAUUAAACUCAAUUUGUCAUUUGUGUGGCGGAACUGCCCGAAUUAUUCCAACUUAAGUGCCUAAGUCCCGCCUUAGAGGCUAGACCACACUUAAAUGGGAAUAACCCGUCAAUCCCUCGGAUCUAGUCCGACGAGGCCACUAACAGGAUCAAGUACCACAAUCUCACUCGAUGGUGAGUCACAUAGCAAAUACAAUAAAGCAUAAAACCAUACAUUAAAGAGUGUUAGACUUAUUACAUCAUUAUUGGAGUUUUAGCAAAAGUAGUCAUCAUUGUUCGAAGUGCAGCGGAAUAAAACUAACGAUAAUUAAACAGAGAGAUGGGGAAGCCUGUCCCAUCACUCCUCAUGCUCCUCCUCAGCCGAGGCGGGGUCCCACUCGACAGUCCAACCCGGUGGCAAGAUGGACGGCCAAGUCACUCUAGCAGCCAUGUCCUCCAAGGAACCUGUAAAAUUAUGCCACAAGCAAGGCUGAGUAUACUAAUACUCAGCUAGACUUACCCGGUGUGAGGAGUCUACUCCUCUACCUCUAGACAUGCAGCUGUUUGGCUGUGGGGUUUGGUUGCCAAAAGCACUAGCUGAGUCUAAAAUUCAAGUUUUAGCUUUGUCAAGUUUAAGUGUGACUCUCUUAAGACUAAAUGUAUACCUAUCUAAUCAUACAUGGUAUCAAACAUUUAGCAAUCAACAACUUUUGCCAAGUCAUCUCAUUUCCACUUGUUACUCAAUGUAGCAGCAUGGAUCAAGCAGUCUCAUUAGCUGCGAGAAGCAGAUGAUUCGAAUCGAGUUUUAUCCUUGCAAGGUAAACCUAAACACACGACGUGGCGAGGCACUCCGUCCCCACACACAUCAACCGUCCCCAUCGAUUCCCCGUCAGCAGAUCAGGGCUCACCGCCUUGGCGUACAAUGCCUCACUGACCCCGAUUGUCGUCGUGCAGUGACCGCACUUGUACCCACCAUAACCGGAAUAGGAGACCACGUCUUAGGUCGCGUGAGGGGAAAUGUCCACUGCCAGGUUCACUCAGGUACUAGGCUUACCGAUUUACCAUAUUUCUCGGCAUGUGCUUAGUACGUUCAAACGCUUGACACACGGUACCACACCUUAAUCCUUAUUCCAAUUUCCACCUCGUAGACAACCAAUCCCCAUGGAUUGUUGUUCACAGGCCAACAUCAUUAUGCUAUGAAAGUGGAUACAACCAAGUCCUGACCUCGCGCGAGUGCUAGAAAAAUCACUCGACUUCUACCGAAAUCCCUAAUUAAUAAAGCAGCUACUCGGCUUAGCAUACUAGUAUUCAUCUCAAUGGGAUUCCUGAGAUCAUGCAACUAGGGUUUUAAACAACUCCUACACUUAAGUGCACAUUCAAUCCUACAAUCAUUAAGUGUAGUAAAAUAGCAUAAUAAAUAGGUUAUGCAUAAACCGGGGCUUGCCUUCCAAAGCUGGGGCAGGCAGAUCCUCUGGUGCAGGCUCUGGUGUUGGAUCCGGGGCUACCUCCUGAGCAGCUCCUUGCUCCGGCACGAGGACAUACUCUCCGUCAGCGAGGUUGCAAUCUAUCGAAUGCAAUGAAUAGGAAUAUGUAUGUCAUGAUUAUGCAGGAUUUAACAAACAUUAUGCUAAAUGAAGAAAAACUAAGUUAGUUAGUCACUUAGGUUUUUCUGGUCAUACGUGGCUCUUUAGUGGUUUAUGCUUAUCACUCUAGGUUUGGGUUUUGUUAGGGAUAAGCAUAGUGGAUUUGUAACUUGGAUUUCCCUUAGAUGUUUUAGUAGACUUUUUAAGGGAUUUUGCUGGUUGGGUUAGAAUGACAUUACUCUCAUUGUUAAUUUCCUCUUUCUUUUUCUAUUUAUGAAUUCUACGGUGGGUUUGAACUACAACAAUGAUUUAACCUAUUCCAAAAAUCCUUAAAAAUUUACAGUAGACUACUAUUGGCCCCUGUAGUCUGUCCAAGGAAUUUGAGGUCCAGAAUAAAUAGAGUAUGCUUUGGACAAAAAUAACAAAAGUUGGGCAAAGGGGGUCACUUUGCACUACAACUCUUAACUAGGGGUGGGUUCUGUCCUAAGGGUCAUUUUUGUUGGUAUCUAACAGUAAUCACAAGUUUCUGUGCCAAAAAUCACAGAAGGUUAUUUGGUGGUUAUUUAGUUGUGAUUUUCUAAAGUUUAAUGUCAAAAAGGCACUUUCUACUAUCUUGUUAUUUGAAAAAUGUCAAACAACAGAUUUCAUAUUUUUUCUAUAUUCUUAAUAACAAAACAUUAAUUAUCCCAAGGGUUGGGGUGUUUUCACCUUGGGGUUUUUUUUCUAGGGUUUUUCUAAGUUUUCCUUAUUUUCUUAAAAUAAAAGGUAUCCCAAUUAUUUUAUACUAAACCAGAGUAUAAUAAAUUUUUCUAGUGAACUAUACUGAAUAAGUAAACUAACAAAAAUGUGGGUGCUCACUGGUUCUUUAUUUAAAUUACCUUUUCUUAUUUCUUGAACUUUGAGCAUAAGGUGAUUUAAAUGGCAAACUCUACCUUAAUAGGGUAUACAGAGGGGUUUAUCAUUUUUAAACAGGUUAGUAGGUGAUUAAGUACUUCUCUAAAUUUUUUUAACCUCAGUCAAAUAGUAUAGCUAUUUUUCCCUAUUUCUUUUAGCUUUUGACCAGUUAAUUAUUUAAAUCAAAACUUUAAAGUUUUCUGUAACACUUAGGGGUUUCAUAUUUUUCUUAAGUAGUCUACAUUAUUUAAGAUCUGGCAAAAUUGGUUUGACUCGAUUUGGGUGAACAAAACAGAAGUUAUGAAUUUUUCAAGUUUUGUUUGAAUUUAAAUCAGAUUGUUAAAAAGGUUUCCUGGAAAAACAAUUUACACCGAGGACCCUGGGUUUAAUCCAAAUCAACCCACUCAAAUCUACCCCUGCGCCACUAUUCCCCUGAGUCACUGACAGUUCAAAAAUCCCCCCGACCUUUCCUUCUUCUUCCCCGAGGUCCUUCCCCUAAUGCAAACAGUACCCGCGGGAAAGAAAAGGGCGGCGCGGCUUACCGGCGGCGAGAGAGGUCCGACGAGGGGCGGGGUUGGCUCCGGGAGGUCCUGGCGGUCACAGCGGUGUACGGCUCAACGGCGAAGGUGGCCGGAAUCGUCCGGUCCACGAGCGCAGGCGGGUGAUCUCGUCGCGGCGGGUGUUCCGGCUGAACCACGGCGAUCUAGUUCAAUCAAAUGGCACGAUGAGCUCCACGGGGUGAUGUAGAGGCUAUGUGCACAAGGAAUCGAAGAAUGGGGUAGAGAUUUACCCGGUCUACGUUCACCGGCGGUCGGGCGAAGUCCGGCGACCGUGGACUGGCUUCUCCGGCGAAGCAAAGUCCGAUUCCUUGCUCAGGGAGCUUCACCGAGGCGUGCACAGUCUCUUCCAAGGGUCGGGCGUGGCUGGGAAAGGCUCUGUUGGCCGGUCUACGGUGGCAGGGGCUCGGGUGGCCGCGGGCACGCCGUGCGCGGGGCAAACGCCGGUGGUUUUGGGCUCUGGUGAGGUCGACCGUGCGCGGAGGAGUACGGUCGACGCCUGAGGGUGAUUUAUAGGUGCGGGCGCGAGCAGGAGACGCGGGCACGGCUUGGCGUGGCGCGGAGCGCGUGGGGUCGGGCGCGGGCGUGCUCUGGCGCGCCCAGAACGCGUCGAACACGUGGAGGUGUUCAUCUGCCCGUGUUCAAAAGCUUGCUGAGAUCGCAAACGUGUGAAUCUUGGCAAAAAUCCGGCGCAAACCUCUUCCUGGCACCUAUGGCUAUCUCUUUUAUGUGAGUUCCAAGGGAAGAUAAGCCCUAGGUCAGAAGAUAUGCGGACGCCAAAUCUGGCUUGUCUCCCUGCCCACUUCGCGACAAAAGUGAUGCCAAGACAUGUCAAAUGAGUUUGACUUGGGUUCAAAUUUUUCCAGGGGGUGCCUUAGGUGGUUUGGCACAUUUUUGGUAUUCAGACCAAGUGGUUUUGGUGCCAUUUACUAAGUGAACACGUCUGAUCUUUAGAUUAGGGUUAAAAAUUUGACUUAGAGAGAAUUAGAGAGCUCUAACUCUCUCUCUAUUUAAGGAAUGGAUUUGUGGUUUCUUAAGGGGUCUUUUUGCAAUGUUUCCUCUCUAUAUUUGUAGAUUAAGAUGUUACUUAACUUUGGCCAAAGGUUAGGUCAUGAUUUGCACAUUUGCUUAAUCUCCCCCCUUCAACCAAGGUUUUAGGAGAUAGGGGCUCAAGAGGGGUCUAGGGUUUAUUCCCCUCUUGCCCAAGGUGAUAAUUGUACAAAAGCUUGGGUAAUGCUUUUGGUCAUUCACAUUCUUGGGUAAAACAUGGUCUCCAAAGUUUUUAUGCUCUUCUCCUCAAGUUUCCUCCACAUGUGAUCACAGUCAUUAGUGCAUAGAUGUGCCAUGGCCAUAGUAAUACCUGGGGUGUUACAGCCCUCCCCCCUUAAAAGAAUCUCGCCCCGAUAUUUUAGGUAGAGUCCUCUUGAGGGGUGCCAUGAAGGUGGGUUAGUGCGUUGUUCCUUCUUUUAUUCAAGUUUCUCUAGUUAACUGCUCUUUGAAUGUCAUUCUCUUUGUGACUUCAGAAGGAAGUCCUUUUUAAGUCAAAUCCACAACUUAUACUACCCUUAUCAUUCUAAGUUUUUAUUAUAUUUGUGUUCAAAGGGCAGGUGGGGGUGGGGUUUUGGGUUACGUACCGACUCUUUUGGGCAGAAAGUCGGGGAAGCGAGAGCGUAGAAAAUCCUCAGUCUCCCAUGUAGCUUCUUCUACUGAAUGGUGACUCCACUGAACCUUAUACACUCUGAUCGACCUUGCCCGUGUUGACCACUCUUUCUGAUCCAAUACCUUGACAGGGUACUCUUGAUAGGACAAGUCUGGUUCUAUCUCAAUUUCUGGUUCAGGUAGCACUUCAAUGGGUAAGCGGACACAUUUUCGCAGCUGAGAUACAUGGAACACAUCAUGAAUAGCUGACAUGUGUGGUGGCAACUUCAAUUGAUAUGCUACUGGUCCACAAGUUUCCUUGAUCUCGUAGGGCCCAAUGUAGCGAGGAGCUAACUUGCCCUUGAUCCCAAAUCUCUGGACACCUUUGGUGGGUGACACCUUAAGAUAAACAUGAUCUCCCACUUCAAACUGUAGAGGUUUCCGCCUCUUAUCAUGAUAGCUCUUUUGCCUGGCCUGAGCAGCUUCUAAGUUCUUCUUGAUGACUCUGACCUUUUCCUCUGCUUCAAGUACCAAAUCUGGCCCAAAUAUUUCCCUCUCUCCUGCUUGAGACCAAUUCAGCGGGGUCCUACACCUUCUCCCAUACAAGGCUUCAAAAGGUGCCAUCUUUAGACUGGACUGGUAGCUGUUAUUAUAAGAAAACUCUGCCAAAGAAAGACACUUGUCCCAAUCCUUUCCAUAGUGUAGCACACAUGCCCUCAACAUGUCUUCCAAAAUCUGAUUUACCCUUUCGGUCUAGCCAUCUAUUUGAGGAUGGUAUGCUGAGCUUCGUAUUACAUGGGUCCCAAGUGAUUCCUGCAAUUGCUCCCAAAAUCGGGCCACGAAAGGUGCUCCUCUGUCCGAUACUAUAGUCCUUGGUAUUCCAUGCAAACGAACUAUUUGGUCGAUGUAGAUUUCUGCAUACUUCUCCGUCCUGUGGGUGGUGUGUACCGGCAAGAAAUGAGCUGACUUGGUCAAUCUGUCCACAAUGACCCAAAUGGAAUCAUGGUGCCGGGAGGUAUUGGGCAAUCCCAUGAUGAAAUCCAUGCAAAUGUCCUCCCAUUUCCAAGAUGGUAUGGGAAGGGGUUGCAAAGGGCCUGCUGCCUUCAAAUGACUGGCCUUGAUUCUCUGGUAGGUGUCACAUUCGGAUAUGUACUUAGCAAUUUCCCUCUUCAUUCUGGUCCACCAGUAUAAGGAUCUGAGAUCAUGAUACAUCUUGUUGCUGUCGGGGUGUAUGGAGAAUUUUGAAAGGUGAGCUUCAUCCAAUAUCUUCUUUCUGAGCUCAGGGACCUUGGGAACAACCAAUCGAUCUCCAAACUAGAGAAUUCCUUUGCAGUCCUGACGGAAGCAUUUGUAUUUUUCUGCUUUCUGCUUGAUCAUUUCCUUGAUAACCUGAACACCCUUGUCUUCAAUUUGUGCCCUGACUAUUUGCUCUUGUAAUGUGGGCUCCACCGAGAUAUAACUUAAGGCACCUGAAGAAACAACUUCUAGGUUUAGCUUGCACAACUCAUCACACAGGGUGGUAACUCUUGCUUCCAUGCUCAUACAAUUGCACUGGGCCUUUCUGCUCAAGGCAUCUGCCACAACGUUGGCUUUGCCAGGAUGGUAAUGCACCUCCAAGUCAUAGUCCUUGAUUAACUCUAACCAUCUUCUCUGCCUCAUAUUUAAACUGCCUGAGUGAAAAUGUAUUUAAGACUCUUAUGAUCAGUGUAAAUGUUACAGUGAGCUCCCAUCAAAUAAUGUCUCCAUAUCUUGAGAGCAUGAACCACAACUGCUAACUCCAGAUCAUGUGUGGGGUAGUUCUGCUCAUGGGGUCUAAGUGCUUGGGAGGCAUAAGCAAUUACUCUGUUGUCGGUGUUUCAACCCCGGGGGGUCCCUGGACCGACGAGUAAAUUGUCGCCGCGUGUCCUAGCCCAGAUGAGUCGGCGCGAGACGGAGCAUGAAGGGGGAAGAAACAGGCAAAGGGGAAACCCACGGCCUUCGUGUUGCCCUGCGCCCAGGUCGGGUGCGCUUGCAGUAGGGGGGUUACAAGCGUCCGCGAGGGAGAGAGAGAGACUGUCCGCCAACCUGUUCUCCCGUGCGGCCAACCUUCUCGUACGAGAGCCCUAGACCUUCCUUUUAUAGGCGUAAGGAGAGGGCCCAGGUGUACAAUGGGGGGUGUAGCAGUGUGCUAACGUGUCUAGCAGAGAGGAGCUAGAGCCCUAAGUACAUGCCGUCGUGGCAGUCGGAGAGGUUUUGGCACCCUGUUCAUAUGAUGUCGUGGCCGUCGAAGGAGCGCUUGGGCCCUGUGGAAGGACAGCUGUUGGGGCUGUCGGAUCCUUGCUGACGUCUCCUUGCUUCCGUAAGGGGUUGAGAACCGCCGUCGUCAUUGAGCAGGCGGGGCGCCAUCAUUACUUGUAUACCGGGGCGAGCCAGAUGGGACGCCGGUCUUGUUCCCCGUAGCCUGAGCUAGCUAGGGGUAGGGUAAUGAUGGCCCCCCCUGUGACGUGGUCGAUCCGAGCCUGAGGUCGGGCGAGGCGGAGGCUCCUCCGAGGUCGAGGUCGAGUCUGGGCCCUGGGUCGGGCGAGGCAGAGACCGUCUUCCGAGGACGAGGCUGAGUCCGAGCCCUGGGUCGGGCGAGGCGGAGACCGUCUUCCGAGGCCGAGGCUGAGUCCGAGCCCUGGGUUGGGCGAGGUGGAGUCCAUCUUCUGGGGUCGAGGCUGAGUCCGAGCCCUGGGUCGGGCGAGGCGGAGACCGUCUUCCACGGCCGAGGCUGAGUCCGAGCCCUGGGUCGGGCGAGGCGGAGUCUGUCUUCCGGGGUCGAGGCUGAUUUCGAGUCCUGGGUCGGGCGAGGCAGAGCUUCCCAUGGCGCCCGAGACUGGACUUAGCUGCUGUCAGCCUCACUCUGUCGAGUGGCACGGCAGUCACUUCGGCUCUGUCGACUGUGGCGCUGUUUUCCUGUCAGGUCGGUCAGUGGAGCGGCGAAGUGACUGCGGUCACUUUGGCUCUGUCGACUGAGGAGCGCGUGUUAGGAUAAGGUGUCAGUCGACCCUUGCAUUAAAUGCUCCUGCGAUACGGUCGGUUGGCGUGGCGAUCUGGCCAAGGUUGCUUCUCCGCGAAGACUGGGCCUCGGGCGAGUCGAAGGUGUGUCCGUCGCUUAAGGGGGCCCUCGGGCGAGACGUGAAUCCUCCGGGGUCGGCUGCCUUUGCCCGAGGCUGGGCUCGGGCGAGGCGAGAUCGUGUCCCUUGAGUGGACUGAGCCAUGACCUUAUUCGAGCCCAUCAGGCCUUUGCAGCUUUGUGCUGAUGGGGGUUACCAGCUGAGAUUAGGAGCCUUGGGGGUACCCCUAAUUAUGGUCCCCGACAGUAGCCCCCGAGCCUCGAAGGGAGUGUUGAUACUCGCUUGGAGGCUUUUGUCGCACUUUUUUGCAAGGGGAUCGGCCUUUCUCAGUUGCGUUUCGUUCCGGUGGGUGCGCGCGAGCGCACCCGCCGGGUGUAGCCCCCGAGGCCUCGGAGGAGUGGUUUGACUCCUUCGAGGUCUUAGCGCGUUUCAUGAUGCUUCGACCGGUCUGGUUGUUCCCUCAUGCGAACUAGCCGUAGCCCGGGUGCAUAGUCAGGUUCCAAGUUCUCGGGCUGGUAUGUUGACGCUGUCAACGGUUUGGCCGGAGCCGGGUUUGCGAGAGCAGCCCCCGAGCCUCCGCACAGAGCGAGAGGGCGGUCAAGGACAGACUCGGCUUUUUUCAUACGCCCCUGCGUCGCCUUUCCGCAAGGAGGAGGGGGGGAAAGCGCCAUGUUGCCCUCGGAGGGCACCGAACAUGGUGUCUCCAGUGAGUUGCUAGCGGGUGAUCCGAGUGGACGCCCGUGCCCCAUUCGAUAAGGGUCGGCUAGUGGCCCAGAGGCGCGCUCCAAAAGUACCUGCAGGUGAUUUGCCGGACCCGGUCCCGUUUGAUAGGGUCCGAGGGCUCGAUGCCUCCCUCUGAUGGGAUUCCGUUACAAAAUCGCUCCCGCUGGUCUCGGAAAUGUCCUAGGGUACCUCGGGAGCGUAGCCCGAGCCUUGGUUGUGUAUCGAACGUACCCAGAGUCAUCCCUCGCUCUGCGUGCUCUGAGGCGGCUGUCGAACCCUUCGGGGGCCAGCCUACAAACCCCUGAUCAGUAGUGGGCGCGGAGCCCGAGUGGCUUGAGGCGGCUGUCGAUCCCCUCCGAGGGGCCAGCCUUCGAACCUCUGACCAGUAGUGGGCACGGAGCCCGAGUGCUCUGAGGCGGCUAUCGAACCCUUCCGAGGGGCCAGCCUUCGAACCUCUGAUCAGUAGUAGGCGUGGAGCCUGAGUGCUCUAAGGUGGUUGCCGAACCCUUCCGAGGGGCCAGCCUUCGAACCUCUAAUCAGUAGGAGGGCUCGGGGCCCGCUUCCUUCGCAGAGAAGGAUCCCUUUCGGAGUAUCCCCUUUCCCGGUCCCUGUAGCAAGAGAGAGAAAGGGGAAGAGAAAAAGGGAUAUGAAUUUGAACGACGUGGCGUACCUUUUUGAUGCGGUCAUCAUGGCGGAGGUGAAGCGUCGCCUGCUUCACCUGCCAAAGGUGUCGCCUGUCCUGCCACAGAGUUAAUGCGACGGGACGAGUGGUUCGCGGGGCAGCCGUUGUGCGUGCACGAGCCGUUCGAGGAACGGGCGUCUCGCCUUUGAGCUUUGAAUCUCGCGGCGGGUUCGGGCGAAGUGUUGAAUGGGUCUUGCCUGGGCCUCGUCCGCACCGCCGCCACCUCUUCUGCUUGGUGAUGGCCGACCGGGUGACCGUUGUUUUGCCGCGCGACCCGUGGCCUUUUUCCACCGUCACGGCGGACGAUCUGGAGGCCCUUGUUGCCGAUGGCUUGCUUCGUCCUCUCUCCGGUGACUCGCAGCUAGAGUGGAUGGCCCCUCCGAGCGGAGCCGCCCCGUCCCCGCCGCCGGGGUAUGUGCUGAGCUUCGUCUCUUUUCAUGAGCGGGGGUUCGGAGUGCCGGCGAGUCGUUUCAUGCGGGCGAUUUUGCAUGUCUAUGGGGUGGAGCUGCACAAUCUCAGCCCCAACUCCAUCGCGCAAGCAGCCAUCUUCGCGGCGGUUUGCGAAGGGUUUUUGGGGAUUGCCCCCCACCGGGACCUGUGGACCCAUCUCUUCUCCGCGGAGCUUUUUGCCUCGACGACGGGGGAAAGAAGAGUUCGCAUGGCGGUGCGGGCUGGUGGCUGCAUCCUCCAGUUAAGGCAGGCAUGGGUGCAGCAGUACAUCCCUGCUAUCCUCGCGUCUUCGAACAAGGGGUGGCAGCGUCGGUGGUUUUAUCUCCGGAAUGACGACGGGAGGCUCCCGUCGUUUUCUCAACGAGCGGUGACCGCCGCCGGCGGUAACUGGCGCUACGGGGCCCCGUGCGAGAAACAGAAGAAUCUCCAGCCCCUUUCGAAGGCCUUGGAGGAGCUGCGAGAAGGAGGGCUCACCGCCGCGGGGGUGGUUGCUGCCAUUCAUCGCCGGAGGGUGCUCCCCUUGACGGAGCGGCGGCUGCCGCUUUGGGAGAUGACACCGGGGGUCGACUUGGAGGGUUUGCAGAUGUCCUCGGACCCCCUUCCCGCCGAUGACCUUCACAGGCGGGUAGCUGGCACGGUAGGGAAGUUAGACGCCGGCGCCCUUUCUCAGCUCCCGAUGCGUCCCGAUCGCGGGCGUGUGUCCCUGGUGAGUGUCCGCUCCUUCUUCCUUCUUGUGUCGGAUUGCCCUUGGCUCUCACAGCCGAGACUUUUCGUCUGUCUCCAGGAGGUGGGGUUUCACAAGCCUUCCCUGCCACCGGUCCCGGAGGACGCGUUGGACCGAGCCAUGCGGAGGGUCGCCGCGGAGAAGAGGAAGGAGAAGAAGGACGCGAAGAAGGCUCGGGCCCGCGAGCGGAUGCGGGCUCGGGACGCCUUGGAGAGGCUUCGUCGUCGAUAGGAGAGGGAUGGGCUCCCGAGGGAGCCACCGCCGGAGACGCCUGACGAUGACGACGACGACGAUGAAGAUGAUGAUGAAGACGACGACAUGGCUGCCCGCCUCGGCCUCAGCCCGGAUCUGAGGCUGGGCCUGGGGUCAUCGAGCCAGCCCCCGAGCGAGCUGGCGCCGUCGGUAUCCGGGGCCGGGACGUCGGGGUCCCGGUCCGAAGAACGAGGGCAGGCCGAGGGGGUACUUGACCCCUUGGCCGAGGUAGUUGAGGUGACCCCGGGGAGUCAGGCCGACCCGCCUGUUCCCCAAGAACCGUUGCACGUGCCGAUUGCACAGGAGGGUGAUCCUCGGGUCACCGUGGCUGCGCCUGGGCAGUCCGUCCCUCUGGUGCCUCGGGCGCCCGAGGCAAGGAUGGUGCCGAAGCCGGCAGUGGGGCUAACCUCGGUGGUACCUUUGGGGACCCAGGCUCGAGGGACCUCCCCGCAGGCACGAUUGGUCGUGGCCUGGAGUGGGUAAGUAUCUUAGGAUAUCUUCGUCCUGGAUCCUCCUUCGUGUGUCCUGAUCCUGCUCUUCCUUUUCUUCUCAGCAAACGGAAGCACGGUUCGACCGGUCUGGCUCCCCGGAAGGUCCUCAAGACGGCGUCGGCUUCUGCAGCCAGUGCCGCACCGGGCCUUGCCGGCCAGCUGGCCUCCUCAAAAGAUGUCCCAAAGCAGGGGGCUCAGGCGGCACAAGUUGCUGUGGGGCGAGCUCCCGAGGCUGACCCCUCCGUCGAGGCGGUCGUCUUGUCGAGGGAGGCUGCUGGCGUGGCUGUGGCCUCAAGCCCACCAGACGUGUUGCCGGCGCUAGCACCGGCUUCUGCCGAGGCUGUUGCCGUUCUGGUCGUGGAGACGCCCAUCGCCGCCGACGCUGAGAUGGCCGAGGCCCCGCUACUCGAUACCUCGAAGGAGGGGGCACAGAACCGCGACCUGUCCUGGGGAGCGGCAACCUCGUCCUCGCGCGAUGCAGUCCCGACGGGCGGCGUCAGUCGCUUCGGUUCUGGACCAGUGGGGCUUCGGAUCCCCUCUUCGUUCUUGACGAUGAGCGAGAGGAGCAGUCUUGGGACGGGCUUCAUGAGUGUGCCAAGGCAACGGUGGGGUCGCUUCAGCCGACCUUGGAGGUCCUUUGCAGGGACGUUCCCAAGAUCCUCUAGGUAAGGAUUUCAAGCAUACCUUUCACGUGAUCAAGGUAUUCUUUGUGACGCCCCGCUUCCUUUCCUCAGGAUAUGACGGAUAUGAGCGCCGCCAAGUCGUCGUUCAUCCACCGCGAGGCCGACGUCUGGGGUUCGCUGCGGUUCCUGAGGACCACGCUUGCCGGGGCUACCGAGCGCCUCUCCCAAUGGAGCGCCGAGGUGGCGGACCUUCGGUUGCUCUGUGUCGAUCUGGGAGCGGAGGCAGCGGCGGCACGCGCAGAGGCGCAGCGGCAGCAGUUGGAGCUUGGCCAGGUCAUCGGCGAGCGGGACCAAUCUCGGGGCCGGGCCGCCGAGGCUGAAAGCCGGGCUGAGGACCUUGGAGACCAGUUAGCCGAGGCGUCUGCUCGGGCUGGAGCCCUUGCGGCAGACCUAGCCGUGGCCCAAGCCGCAUCCUCAGAGCAGCGUGCCCGAGCCGAAGGUUUGUCUUGGCUGUUUUAAGAUUUUGAUUCAGCUUCGUUCUUCAACUCGUGUUUGAAGUCUCCUGCUUUGGCUGUUUGCAGAGCUCGAGUCUGCCCUCGAUGAGUCCACCAAGGCACUUGCCCAGGCGGCCGAGCAGAGGGAGGCCGACCACGCGGCCAUGUCCGAGGCCAUCUCGGCCUUCUGCCGGGUCUUUGGUCUCGACGACGUCCCCUUGGGGAGCUCCCCUCAGAGUCGCCUGCAGGCCUUGGGUGACCACGCGCGCGACAGACUCCGCGAGGCGCUACAUCACGGCGUUAGGCGGGCCUUCGCCGUGCUCGCUUCCCACUAUGACGUGGAUCUGGAGCGGGUCAGCGAGGGGUAUUGCCUUCCCGACGAAGAUGAAGUUGCCCUGGCCGAAGUCCAGAGGCUUGACGCGGCCGCCGCGGGCCCAAGCGCGGUGCUGGCGACCACCUUCGAAGCAGAGAUCCUCCCGCUUGCGCCAUCGUCCGAGGCUGGGGCGGAUCACGCCGAGGGUGGAAACGAAGCCGACGGCGCGGCUCCUUCUCUGGGCGACGCCUGAUUCUGCCAGAGCAGUUUAUUUUGAAUGCAUAUGUGUCUUUUGCGGCCGCCGAGGCCCGAACACUUUAUCGUCGUAAUAUAAGGUUGUGUCUCUUUUCCUCCUGUUUUGCGUAUCCGGACUCGUUCGUCAGUAGCAGGAUUGCUUACCCAAGUAAGAGUUAUUUUUCGUGGUAGGUGACGAGUGAGGUAUCCGUAUCCCAGAGGCGUAGGAGUCCCUCGGCUCGGUCGGCCUUGCCACUUACAUGCACUCUUAUUCGUUUCUUGGGGUCCUGUUACUGAUAUAGUCGGGAGACGCGAAAGUCAUUUUAAUGGAAGACUUUUUCCGAGGAAAAUUUUGACGCAGAGGGGGUUCGCCCCUUCUAGCCCCCGAGGGAGGGUCGGGCUUUGCCUAGGCAAGGCUGACCCUUCCUUGAUGGUUAGACUUUGUUGGCGUAUGUAAACGAGGUGUAUGAACGACUUGAAAACAUCUUAAGGGUAGAAGCGACGUAGCUGUCGGAUGUUCCAAGUGUUGCUGUAGACCUCGCCUUGACUGUUGGCCAGCUUGUAUGUUCCGGGCUUCAAAAUCUUGGCGAUGAUGAAUGGCCCUUCCCAGGGAGGCGUGAGCUUGUGGCGCCCUCGGGCGUCUUGUCGCAGCCAAAGCACCAAGUCGCCCACCUGGAGGUCUCGGGACCAAACCCCUCGGGCGUGGUAGCGUCGCAGGGACUGCUGAUACCGCGCCGAGUGUAGUAAGGCCAUGUCCCGAGCCUCUUCCAGCUGGUCCAGUGAGUCUUCUUGGUUGGUUCGAUUGCUUUGGUCGUCGUACACCCUCGUCCUCGGGGAACCGUAUUCUAAGUAUGUGGGCAAGAUGGCCUCGGCCCCAUAGACUAGAAAGAACGGCGUGAAGACCGUGGCUUGGCUCAGCGUUGUCCUCAGACUCCAGACCACCGAGGGGAGUUCUUUCAUCCAUCGCUUGCCGAACUUGUUGAGGUCCUUGUAGACCCGUGGCUUGAGCCCUUGCAGAAUCAUGUCGUUGGCACGCUCUACUUGCCCAUUCGUCAUGGGGUGAGCUACGGCAGCCCAGUCCACCCGGAUGUGGUGAUCCUCGUAGAAGUCCAGGAACUUUCUGCCGGUGAACUGGGUGCUGUUGUCGGUGAUGAUGGAGUUCGGGACCCCGAAGCGAUGGAUGAUGUUGGUGAAGAACGCCACUGCCUGUUCGGACCUGAUGCUGUUUAGGGGUCGGACCUCGAUCCACUUGGAGAAUUUGUCGAUGGCGACCAGCAGGUGCGUGUAGCCCCCGGGUGCCUUCUACAAGGGACCGACGAGGUCUAGAUCCCACACAGCAAACGGCCAGGUGAUGGGUAUUGUCUAUAGAGCCUGAGCGGGCAGAUGGGUCUGCUUCGCGUACAAUUGACACCCUUGGCAGGUGCGUACAAUCCUAGUGUCAUCGGCCACCGUGGUUGGUCAGUAAAAACCCUGUCGGAAGGCAUUCCCAACGAGGGCUCGAGGUGCUGCAUGGUGACCGCAAGCCCCGAGUGUAUUUCUUGUAAUAACUCCUGACCUUCGGCGAUGGAUAUGCAUCGCUGGAGGAUGCCUGAGGGGCUGCGGUGGUAGAGCUCUUUCCUGUCCCCCAGCAAGACGAACGACUUGGCGCGCUGCGCCAAUCGCCGAGCUUCGGUUCGGUCGAGGGGCAACUCUCCUCGGUGGAGAUAUUGUAGGUACGGGGUCUGCCAGUCUCGAUUAGGCGGGACCCCAUUUCGCUCUUCCUCGACGCGCAGUGCCUCACCCUCGGGGGCCGAGGGUGCCUCGGGCUGAGCCGAGGGCGCCUCGGGCAGGGCCGAGACCUUCUCAGGCUCGGGCGUGUCGUCGGUCUUGACUGAGGGUUGAUGUAGGUCUCGGGAGAAGACGUCCGGGGGAACCGUUGUCCGCCCCAAGGCUAUCUUAGCCAGCUCGUCCGCAGUCUCGUUGUAUCGUCGGGCGAUGUGGUUGAGCUCGAGCCCGUAGAACUUGUCCUCCAGGCGCCGAACCUCAUCGCAGUAGGCUUCCAUCUUCGGGUCACGGCAAUGGGAGUUCUUCAUGACUUGGUCGAUGACAAGGUGCGAGUUUGCCACGAGCGUCGAGGCGUCGGACCCCUAGCUCGAUGGCGAUGUGCAACCCGUUAACCAGAGCCUCGUACUCGGCCACAUUGUUGGACGCCGGGAAAUGGAGGCGCAACACAUAGCGGAGGUGCUUCCCGAGGGGUGAGAUGAAGAGCAGGCUCACGCCCGCUCCUGUUUUCAUCAGUGACCCAUCGAAAAACAUGGUCCAGAGUUCCGGCUGAAUCGGAGCCGCUGGAAGCUGGGUGUCGACCCAUUCAGCCACAAAGUCCGCCAAGACUUGGGACUUGAUGGCCUUCCGAGGGGCGAACGAGAUUGUCUCGCCCAUGAUCUCCACCGCCCACUUUGCAAUCCUACCCGAGGCCUCUUGGCACUAGAUGAUCUCCCCUAGGGGGAAGGAUGACACCACAGUCACCGGAUGAGACUCGAAGUAGUGUCGCAACUUUCGCCGCGUCAGAAUUACCGUGUACAGUAGCUUCUGGAUUUGUGGGUAGCGGAUUUUGGUCUCGGACAGUACUUCACUGAUGAAGUAGACCGGCCUCUGGACGGGCAAUGCAUGUCCCUCUUCUUGUCUCUCAACCACGAUCGCGGCGCUGACCACCUGAGUGGUAGCGGCGACGUAGAUCAAGAGGGCUUCUCUGGCAGCGGGGGGCACCAAGAUGGGCACGCUGGUAAGGAGCGCUUUUAGGUUCCCGAGGGCUUCCUCGGCCUCGGGGGUCCAAGUGAAGCGCUCGGUCUUCCUCAAGAGGCGGUACAGAGGUAGGCCUCUUUCGCCGAGGCACGAGAUGAAACGGCUCAGGGCCGCAAGACAUCCCAUGACCCUCUGUACUCCUUUCAAGUCCUUGAUGGGGCCCAUGUUGGUGAUGGCCGCGAUUUUCUCCGGGUUGGCCUCGAUGCCCCGCUCGGAGAUGAUGAACCCCAGGAGCAUGCCUCGGGGGACUCCGAAGACACACUUCUCGGGAUUGAGUUUUACGCCUUUCGCCUUGAGACACCGGAAUGUCGUUUCAAGGUCGGAGGGGAGGUCGGAGGCUUUCCUUGUCUUGACUAUGAUGUCAUCGACGUAAGCCUCGAUCGUUCGACCAAUGUGCUCUCCGAACACGUGGUUCAUGCACCUUUGGUAUGUCGCACCCGCAUUCCUCAAACCGAAUGGCAUAGUAACGUAGCAGUACAUGCCAAAAGGUGUGAUGAAAGAAGUCGCGAGCUGGUCGGACUCUUUCAUCCUGAUUUGGUGAUACCCUGAGUAGGCAUCGAGGAAAGACAGGGUUUCACACCCAGUAGUGGAAUCCAUGAUUUGAUCGAUGCGAGGCAGAGGGUAGGGAACCUUCGGACAUGCUUUGUUUAGACCAGUGUAGUCUACACACAUCCGCCAUUUCCCUCCUUUCUUUCUCACAAGCACAGGGUUGGCAAGCCAUUCGGGAUGGAAUACCUCUUUGAUGAACCAUGUGGCCAUCAGCUUGUAGAUCUCCUCGCCUAUGGCUCUGCGCUUUUCUUCGUCGAAUCGGCGCAGAGGCUGCUUCAUGGGUCAGGCUCCAGCUCGGAUAUCCAGCGAGUGCUCGGCGACAUCCCUCGGUAUGCCAGGCAUGUCCGAGGGACUCCACGCAAAAACUUCGGUGUUCGCGCGGAGAAAGUCGACGAGCACUGCUUCCUAUUUGGGGUCGAGCUCGGAGCCGAUCCGUAUCUGCUUGGAGGCGUCGUUGCUGGGGUCGAGAGGGACGGAUUUGACCGUCUCAGCUGGCUCGAAGUUGCCGGCAUGGCGCUUCGCAUCUGGCGCCUCCUUGGAGAGGCUCUCCAGGUCGGCGAUGAGGGCCUCGGAUUCGGUGAGGGCCUCGGCGUACUCCAUGCACUCCACGUCGCAUUCGUACACGUGUCGGUGAGAGCACCUAGAGGGGGGUGAAUAGGUGAUCCUGUAAAACUUGAACUUUAAUGCCACAAAAACUUGGUUAGGAGUUAGCACAAUAAAGCCAAGUGGCUAGAGAGGAGUCUUUGCAAGACACGAUAAUCACAAGAAGAUCAAUCACAGAUAGACACAGUGGUUUAUCUCGUGGUUCGACCAAGUUCAACACUUGCCUACUCCACGUUGUGGCGUCCCAACGGACGAGGGUUGCAAUCAACCCCUCUCAAGCGGUCCAAAGACCCACUUGAAUACCACGGUGUUUUGCUUUGUUUAUUUUAUCCCGCUUGCGAGGAAUCUCCAGAACUUGGAGCCUCUCGCCCUUACACUUUGGUGUUCACAAAGAAGCUCGGAGUAAGGGAGGGAUGAGCAACGCACACAAGACACAAAAUCAGAGCGACAAUACGCACACAAGUCACAACACGAGCUCUCAACACAACUCAAAGAGUUCUCUACUCAAAUGGAGCUCUAGUUGCUAUCACAAAGAAUCGAAUGCGCGGAAUUGAAGUCUUGGUGCUUAGGAAUGCUUAGAGAAUGCUUGGUGUACUCCUCCAUGCGCCUAGGGGUCCCUUUUAUAGCCCCAAGGCAGCUAGGAGCCGUUGAGAGCAUUCCAGGAAGGCAAUUCUUGCCUUUUGUCGCCUGGCGCACCAGACAAUCCGGUGCACCACCGGACACUGUCCGGUGCGGAUUUCUUUCCUUCUUUGGCGAAGCCGACCAUUGGCGGUUCAGAGCCGUUGGCGCACCGGACACUGUCCGGUGCACACCGGACAGUCCGGUGCCCCCUUCUAACCGUUGGCUCUGCCACGCGUCGCGCGCGGAUUACGCGGCCGACCGUUGGGCCGGCCGACUGUUGGCUCACCGGACAGUCCGGUGCACCACCGGACAGUCCGGUGAUUUAUAGUCGUACGCUACCGUCGAAACCCGAGAGCAGCCAUUUCGCAGACGCCAGCCUGGCGCACCGGACACUGUCCGGUGCACCACCAGACAGUCCGGUGCACCCAGACUGCACAGAGUCUUGGCUGCUCAGCCAAGUCUUUUCCAAUUUGGUCUUUUCCUGUUUCUAGCACUUAGACACAAUACAUUAGUCUUCAAAACAAUGUACUAAGUCUUAGAAACAUACCUUUACUCUUGAUUUGCACUUUGUCCAUCAUUUGGCAUAGAUUAAUACUUAGGCACUUGUGUUGGACACUUAAUCACCAAAAUACUUAGAAAUGGCCCUAGGGCACAUUUCCCUUUCAAUCUCCCCCUUUUUGGUGAUUUAUGCCAACACAAUACAAAGCAACUAAAAGAAGUGCAACAUCAAUGCAAAUGAAAACUCAUAUUUGUUUUGAUUCAAAUUUGGCAUAUUUGGAUCAUUCUUUGCCACCACUUGGUUUGUUUUUGCAAAUCAAUCUCAAUUUCCUAUCUCUAAGUCAAACACACUUGUUGAGACAUAAAGAAAGGUAUUCCAUGUGAAAUUGAUCAAGGAUUUCAAAAACUCCCCCUUUUUCCCAUAAUCAACCAUUCUUCCCACAAGAAGCCAACUUUUGACAAAAGAGACAAUAAGAGAUUUUUGACAAACCCAAAAGCUCUAUUCUACAAUUUUCAAAAUUCUCAAGUGGUAGCUGAUCCAUUUAUUGCUUUGGCCUUAUUUUCUCCCCCUUUGGCAUCAAGCACCAAAACGGAAUCAAUCUUGGCCCUUUAACCCCAUUGCCUCACCAAAAUCUUCAACUAAGAGUAAAAAGGCAAUAAGAGUACAAAGAUGAACUUGGAAUCAGUUACUCUUUCAUCGGAGUGCAGUGGAAGUCUUGCAUGGUCCAAGUCCACCUUUUUCCUUUCAACCCUCCUUUGAGACUAAAUUAAGCAAACUCGAGCACACAGUUAGUCUCAAUGGGUCAAGUUGUAGCACAUCUCCCCCUAAAUAUGUGCAUCACUUGCAAAUGGACUUGUGAGGUUCGGGGAGUGCUUGUACAACUUGAGCACCAUUAAUAAACAAUAAAAUACAUUAAGGAACGUGAUCAAGGAAUAAAACACAUGUAUGCUAUAAAUCAAUCCAGGUUUCGCGAAUCUAAGACAUUUAGCUCACUUCGCAGCAUGCAAAAGGUCGACUCAUCUAGAGGCUUGGUAAAGAUAUCGGCUAGCUGGUUCUCGGUGCUAACAUGAAACACUUCGAUAUCUCCCUUUUGCUGGUGGUCUCUCAAAAAGUGAUGUCGGAUGUCAAUAUGCUAUGUGCGGCUGUGUUCAACAGGAUUAUCCGCCAUGCGGAUAGCACUCUCAUUAUCACAUAGGAGUGGGACUUUGCUCAGAUUGUAGCCAAAGUCCCUGAGGGUUUGCCUCAUCCAAAGUAGUUGCACAACACUGUCCUGCGGCAACAUACUCGGCCUCAGCGGUGGAUAGGGCAACGGAAGUUUGUUUCUUAGAACUCCACGACACCAGGGACCUUCCUAAGAAUUGGCACAUCCCUGAUGUACUCUUCCUAUCGACCUUACAUCCAGCAUAGUCGGAGUCUGAAUAUCCAAUCAAGUCAAAGGUAGACCCCUUUGGAUACCAGAUCCCGAAGCAAGGCGUAGCGACUAAAUAUCUAAGAAUUCGCUUCAUGGCCACUAAGUGACACUCCCUUGGAUCGGAUUGAAAUCUAGCACACAUGCAUACGCUAAGCAUAACAUCCGGUCUACUAGCACAUAAAUAAAGUAAAGACCCUAUCAUAGACCGGUAUGCUUUUUGAUCAACGGACUUACCUCCUUUGUUGAGGUCAGUGUGUCCAUCGGUUCCCAUUGGAGUCUUUGCGGGCUUGGCGUCCUUCUUCCCAAACCGCUUGAUCAAGUCUUGCGUGUACUUCGUUUGGGAGAUGAAGGUCCCAUCCUUGAGUUGCUUCACUUGGAACCCAAGGAAGUAUCUUAACUCGCCCAUCAUCGACAUCUCAAACUUUUGAGUCAUCACCCUGCUAAACUCUUCACAAGACUUUUGGUUAGUAGAACCAAAUAUUAUGUCAUCGACAUAAAUUUGGCACACAAAAAGAUCACCAUCACAAGUCUUAGUAAAAAGAGUUGGAUUGGCUUUCCCAACCUUGAAAUCAUUAGCAAUUAAAAAGUCUCUAAGGCAUUCAUACCAUGCUCUUGGGGCUUGCUUAAGUCCAUAGAGCACCUUAGAGAGCUUACACACGUGGUCGGGGUACCGUUCAUCCUCGAAGCCAGGGGGUUGCUCAACGUAUACCUCCUCCUUGAUUGGCCCGUUGAGGAAGGCGCUCUUCACAUCCAUUUGGAACAAUCUGAAAGAAUGGUGAGUAGCAUAGGCUAACAAUAUGCGAAUUGACUCUAGCCUAGCCACAGGAGCAAAAGUCUCCUCAAAGUCCAAACCUGCGACUUGGGCAUAACCGUUUGCCACAAGUCGGGCCUUGUUCCUUGUCACCACCCCGUGCUCGUCUUGUUUGUUGCGGAACACCCACUUGGUUCCCACAACAUUUUGCUUGGGACGAGGCACCAGUGUCCAAACUUCAUUUCUCUUGAAGUUGUUGAGCUCCUCUUGCAUGGCCAACACCUAGUCCGGAUCUAGCAAGGCCUCUUCUACCCUGAAAGGCUCAAUAGAAGAGACAAAGGAGUAAUGCUCACAAAAAUUCACUAAUCUAGAACGAGUAGUUACUCCCUUGCUUAUGUCACCCAAUAUUUGGUCGAUGGGAUGAUUCCUUUGAAUCGUCGCUCGAACUUGGGUUGGAGGUGCCGGUUGUGCUUCUUCCUCCAUUAAAUGAUCAUCUUGUGCUCCCCCUUGAUCACACGCCUCCUCUUGAUGAACCUGUUCAUCUUCUUGAGUUGGGGGAUGCACCGUUGUUGAGGAAGAAGGUUGAUCUUGCUCCUUUUGUUCCAGUGGCCUCACAUCUCCAAUCACCAUGGUGCGCAUUGCGGCCGUUGGAACGUCUUCUUCAUCUACAUCAUCAAGAUCAACAACUUGCUCUCUUGGAGAGCCAUUAGUCUCAUCAAAUACAACGUCGCUAGAGACUUCAACCAAACCCGAUGAUUUGUUGAAGACCCUAUACGCCUUUGUAUUUGAGUCAUAACCUAACAAAAACCCUUCUACAGCUUUGGGAGCAAACUUAGAAUUCCUACCUUUCUUCACUAGAAUGUAACAUUUUCUCCCAAAUACACGAAAGUAAGACACAUUGGGUUUGUUACCGGUUAGAAGCUCAUAUGACGUCUUCUUGAGGAGGCGAUGAAGGUAGACCCGGUUUAUGGCGUGGCAAGCCGUGCUCACGGCUUUCGUCCAAAACCGUUCGGGUGUCUUCAAUUCACCAAGCAUCGCCCUCGCCAUGUCUAGUAGCGUCCUGUUCUUCCUCUCUACCACACCAUUUUGCUGUGGUGUGUAGGGAGCGGAGAACUCGUGCUUGAUUCCUUCCUCCUCAAGAUACUCCUCCACUUGAAGAUUCUUGAACUCGGAUCCAUUGUUGCUCCUUAUCUUCUUCACUUUGAGCUCAAACUCGUUUUGGGCUCUCCUCAGGAAGCGCUUGAGGGUCCCUUGGGUUUCGGAUUUAUCCUGCAAAAAGAAUACCCAAGUGAAGCAGGAAAAAUCAUCAACUAUAACAAGACCAUACUUACUUCCUCCUAUACUUAGAUAGGCGACGGAUCCGAAGAGGUCCAUAUGAAGUAACUCCAGGGGUCUUGAUGUUGUCAUCACAUUUUUGGCAUGAUGAGAGCUUCCCACUUGUUUACCUGCUUGACAAGCUGCACAAGGUCUAUCUUUUUCGAAAGUUACAUUAGUUAGACCUAACACGUGUUCUCCCUUUAGAAGCUUGUGAAGGUUCUUCAUCCCCACAUGUGCUAAGCAGCGAUGCCACAGCCAACCCAUGUUAGUCUUAGCAUUUAAGCAUGCAUCUAGACCGGCCUCCUCUUUUGCAAAAUCAACUAAAUAAAGUUUGUCGUCUAGUGCACCCUUAAAAGCUAAUGAACCAUCACUUCUUCUAAAGACAGACACAUCUACAUUUGUGAAUAAACAGUUAUAUCCCAUAUUACAAAGUUGACUCACAAACAACAAGUUAUAUCCAAGUGACUCAACUAAGAACACAUUAGAAAUAGAGUGCUCGGAUGAAAUAGCAAUUUUUCCUAACCCUUUCACCUUGCCUUGGUUGCCAUCACCGAAUAUGAUUGAAUCUUGGGGAUCCUUGUUCUUGACGUAGGAAGAGAACAUCCUCUUUUCCCCCGUCAUGUGGUUUGUGCAUCCGCUGUCGAUAAUCCAGCUUGAGCCCCCGGAUGCAUAAACCUGCAAGGCAAAUUUAGGCUUGGGUCUUAGGUACCCAACUCAUGUUGGGUCCUACAAGGUUAGUUACAAUAGUCUUAGGGACCCAAAUGCAAGUCUUGUCUCCCUUACAUUUGGCCCCUAAUUUCCUAGCAAUUACCUUCUUAUCCUUUCUACAAAUAGCAAAGGAAGCAUUGCAAGCAUAAUAAAUUGUAGAAGGUUCAUUCAUUACUUUCCUAGGAACAUGAACAAUAUUUCUUCUAGGCAUAUGAUGAAAAACAUUUUUCCUAGCCAAAUUUCUAUUAUGCAUAAUAGAGGAACUUGAAGCAAACAUUGCAUUUGAAUCAUAAGCAUGUGAACCAACAUCAUUGCAACUUCUAUCAUGAUGAAUAUUCCUAGAAUAUCUCCUAUCAUGGUACAUGAAAGCAUGGUUCUUUUGAACACUACUAGCCAUAGGGGCCUUCCCUUUCUCCUUGGCGGAGAUGAAAGCCUUAUGGCUUGUUAAGUUCUUGACUUCCCUCUUGAAGCCAAGACCAUCCUUAAUUGAGGGGUGUCUACCAAUUGUGUAGGCAUCCCUUGCAAAUUUUAGUUUGUCAAAUUCACUCUUGCUAGUCUUAAGUUGGGCAUUAAGACUAGCCACUUCAUCAUUCAAAUUAGAAAUUGAAACUAGAUGUUCACUACAAGCAUCAACAUUAAAAUCUUUACACCUAUUGCAAAUUGCAACAUGUUCUACACAAGAUGUUGAUUUAUUAGCUAUUUCUAACUUAGCACUCAAAUCAUCAUUUAUGCUCUUUAAGCUAGAAAUAGAGUCAUGACAUGUAGACAAUUCACAAGAAAGCAUUUCAUUUCUUUUAAUUUCUAAAGCAAGGGAUUUUUGUGCCUCUACAAACUUGUCAUGUUCUUCAUACAAAAGAUCCUCUUGCUUUUCUGAUAACCUAUUCUUAUCAUUCAAUGCAUCAAUUAAUUCAUUAAUCUUAUCAACCUUAGUUCUAUCUAGGCCCUUAAAUAAACAUGAAUAGUCUAUUUCAUCAUCGCUAGAUUCUUCAUCACUUGAGGAAGCGUAAGUACUAGUAUCACGAGUGCUUACCUUCUUUUCCCUUGCCAUGAGGCAGGUGUGAUGCUCGUUGGGGAAGAGGGCCGACUUGUUGAAGGCGAUGGCGGCGAGUCCUUCGUUGUCGGAGUCGGACGACAAACAAUCCGAGUCCCACUCCUUUCCAAGGUGUGCCUCGCCCUUAGCCUUCUUGUAAGUCUUCUUCUUUUCCCUCUUGUUCCCUUGUUCCUGGUCACUAUCAUUAUCGGGAUAGUUAGCGAUAAAAUGACCAAUCUUACCACAUUUGAAGCAUGAGUGCUUCCCCUUUGUCUUGGUCUUGUUGGGAUGCUCCUUGCGACCCCUUAGCGCUGUCUUGAAAUGCUUGAUGAUGAGGGCCAUCUCUUCCUCAUUGAGCCCCGCCGCUUCAACUUGUGCCACCUUGCUAGGUAGCGCCUCCUUGCUCCUCGUUGCUUUGAGAGCCACGGUUUGAGGCUCAUGGAUUGGGCCAUUCAACGCAUCAUCAACGUACCUAGCCUCCUUGAUCAUCAUCCGCCCGCUUACGAACUUUCCAAGUAUCUCCUCGGGCGUCAUCUUGGUGUACCUAGGAUUCUCACGAAUAUUGUUCACAAGAUGUGGAUCAAGGACGGUAAAAGACCUUAGCAUUAGGCCGACGACGUUGUGGUCCGUCCAUCGCGUGCUUCCAUAGCUCCUUAUUUUGUUGACGAGGGUCUUGAGCCGGUUGUAUGUUUGGGUUGGCUCCUCGCCCCUGAUCAUUGUGAAUCUCCCAAGUUCGCCCUCCACCAAUGCCAUCUUGGUGAGCAUGGUGACGCCGUUCCCCUCAUGUGAGAUUUUGAGGGUGUCCCAAAUCUUCUUGUCGUUAUCCAAGCCGCUCACCUUAUGGUAUUCAUCCCUGCACAAUGAAGCUAGAAGAACAGUAGUAGCUUGUGCAUUUUUGUGAAUUUGCUCAUUAAUGAACAUGGGGCUAUCUGUACUAUCAAAGUGCAUUCCAUUUUCUACUAUCUCCCAUAUACUUGGAUGGAGAGAAAACAAGUGGCUACGCAUUUUGUGACUCCAAAAUCCGUAGUCCUCUCCAUCAAAGUGGGGGGGGGGUUUACCGAGUGGAAUGGAAAGCAAAUGAGCAUUGGAACUUUGCGGAAUACGAGAAUAAUCAAAGGAGAAGUUGGAAUUAACCGUCUUCUUUUUCUCGUAGUCGUUGUCGUCGUCCUUUUGGGAAGAGGAAGAUUUGUCGCUGUCGUAGUAGACUAUCUCCUUGAUCCGCCUUGUUUUCUUCUUCCUCCCGUCUUUUCUUUUGUGGCCCGAGCCUGAGUCAGUAGGCUUAUCAUACUUUGGAUCAUUGACGAAGGACUCCUUCUCCUUAUCAUUGACCACCAUCCCCUUGCCCUUAGGAUCCAUCUCUUCGGGCGAUUAGUCCCUUUCUUGAAGAGAACGGCUCUGAUACCUAUUGAGAGCACCUAGAGGGGGGUGAAUAGGUGAUCCUAUAAAACUUGAACUUUAAUGCCACAAAAACUUGGUUAGGAGUUAGCACAAUAAAGCCAAGUGGCUAGAGAGGAGUCUUUGCAAGACACGAUAACCACAAGAAGAUCAAUCACAGAUAGACACAGUGGUUUAUCCUGUGGUUCGGCCAAGUUCAACACUUGCCUACUCCACGUUGUGGCGUCCCAACGGACGAGGGUUGCAAUCAACCCCUCUCAAGCGGUCCAAAGACCCACUUGAAUACCAUGGUGUUUUGCUUUGUUUAUUUUAUCCCGCUUGCGAGGAAUCUCCACAACUUGGAGCCUCUCGCCCUUACACUUUGAUGUUCACAAAGAAGCUCGGAGUAAGGGAGGGAUGAGCAACGCACACAAGACACAAAAUCAGAGCGACAAUACGCACACAAGUCACAACACAAGCUCUCAACACAACUCAAAGAGUUCUCUACUCAAAUGGAGCUCUAGUUGCUAUCACAAAGAAUCGAAUGCGCGGAAUUGAAGUCUUGGUGCUUAGGAAUGCUUAGAGAAUGCUUGGUGUACUCCUCCAUGCGCCUAGGGGUCCCUUUUAUAGCCCCAAGGCAGCUAGGAGCCGUUGAGAGCAUUCCAGGAAGGCAAUUCUUGCCUUCUAUCGCCUGGUGCACCGGACAGUCCGGUGCACCACCGGACACUGUCCGGUGCGGAUUUCAGUCCUGUGCCCCCUUCUGACCGUUGGCUCUGCCACGCGUCGCGCACGGAUUACACGACCGAUCGUUGGCCCGGCCGACUGUUGGCUCACCGGACAGUCCGGUGCACCACUGGACAGUCCGGUGAUUUAUAGCCGUACGCCGCCGUCGAAACCAGAGAGCAGCCAUUUCGUAGACGCCAGCCUGGCGCACCGGACACUGUCCGGUGCACCCCCGGACACUCCGGUGCACCCAGACUGCACAGAGUCUUGGCUGCUCAGCCAAGUCUUUUCCAAUUUGGUCUUUUCCUGUUUCUAGCACUUAGACACAAUACAUUAGUCUUCCAAACAAUGUACUAAGUCUUAGAAACAUACCUUUACUCUUGAUUUGCACUUUGUCCAUCAUUUGGCAUAGAUUAACACUUAGGCACUUGUGUUGGACACUUAAUCACCAAAAUACUUAGAAAUGGACCAAGGGCACAUUUCCCUUUCAGUCGGUACGUGGAGCCGACGGUGAUGACCCCGUUGGGGCCCGUCAUCUUGAGCUUGAGGUAGGUGUAGUUGGGGACGGCCAUGAACUUGGCGUAGCAUGGCCUCCCCAGCACUGCGUGGUAGGUUCCUCGGAACCCGACCACCUCGAACGUGAGGGUUUCCUUUCGGAAGUUGGAGGGAGUCCCGAAGCAGACGGGCAGAUCGAGUUGCCCAAGGGGUUGGACGCGUUUCCCGGGGAUGAUCCCGUGAAAAGGCGCCUUGCUGGCCCGGAUCGAGGACAGAUCGAUCUGCAGGAGCCGAGGGUCUCGGCGUAGAUGAUGUUGAGGCUGCUGCCUCCGUCCAUGAGGACCUUGGUAAGCCUGAUGUUGCCGAUUGACGGGAUCGACAAUGAGCGGGUACUUCUCUGGGCUCAGCACACGGUCGGGGGGUCGCCCUGGUCGAAGGUGAUGGGCUUGUCGGACCAGUCCAGGUAGACUGGCGCCGCCAACUUUACCGAGCAGACCUCCCGGCGCUCUUGCUUGCGGUGCCGAGCCGAGGCAUUUGCCACAUGCCCACCAUAGAUCAUGAAGCAGUCGUGGACCUCGGGGAACUCCUUUGCCUUGUGAUCCUCCUUCUUGUCAUUGUUGUGGGCUCGGCCACCUUCCGCCGGUGGCCUGGCCCUGUGGAAGUGGCGCCGAAGCAUGAUGCAUUCCUCAAGGGUGUGCUUAACGGGACCCUGAUGAUAGGGGCACGGCUCCUUGAGCAUUUUGUCGAACAGGUUGGUGCGUCUGGGAGGCUUCCGAGGGUUCCUAUGCUCGGCGGCGGCGACAAGGUCCGCGUCGGCGGCAUCGCGUUUCGCUUGCGACUUCUUCUUGCCCUUCUUCCUCGCACCGCGCUGAGCGGACGCCUCGGGGACGUCUUCCGGCUGGCGCCCCUGAGGCUGCUUGUCCUUCCGAAAGAUGGCCUCGACCGCCUCCUGACCAGAGGCGAACUUGGUGGCGAUGUCCAUCAGCUCGCUCGCCUUGGUGGGAGUCUUGCGACCCAGUUUGCUCACCAGGUCGUGGCAAGUGGUGCCGGCGAGGAAUGCGCCGAUGACAUCCGAGUCGGUGAUGUUGGGCAACUCGGUGCGCUGCUUCGAAAAUCGUCGGAUGUAGUCCCAGAGGGAUUCUCCUGGCUGCUGGCGGCAGCUUCGGAGAUCCGAGGAGUUCCUAGGGCGCACGUAUGUGCCCUGGAAGUUGCCGGCGAAGGCUUUGACCAGGUUGUCCCAGUUGGAGAUCUGCGCAGGAGGCAGUUGCUCCAGCCAGGCUCGGGCGGCGUCGGAGAGGAACAGGGGAAGGUUGCGGAUGAUGAGGUUGUCAUCGUCCGUCCCACCCAGCUGGCAGGCCAGCCGGUAGUCCGCGAGCCACAGCUCCGGCUUUGACUCCCCCGAGUACUUGGUGAUGGUAGUCGGGGUUCGGAACCGGGUCGGGAACGGUGCCCAUCGUAUGGCCCGGCUGAAAGCCCGCGGACCGAGUGGUUCGGGCGAGGGGCUCCGAUCCUCCCCGCUGUCGUAGCGUCCCCCACGCCUGGGGUGGUAGCCUCGGUGCACCCUCUCGUCGAGGUGGGCUCCACGGUAGCGGCGGGGGUGCUCGUUGCCGAGGCGACCCGGGGCCGCAGGCGCUGAGUUCCGCGUUCGCCUGGUGUGGACCGAGGCUUCCCGCAUGAAUCGGGAAGUCGUGGCACGAUGCUCCGGGGGGUACCCCUGCCUUCGGGAGGCAGAGCUUUCGGCCCGUCGGACCGCGGCAUCUUCCAGGAGAUUCUUGAGCUCUCCCGGGAUGCGCCGCCCCUCGGUGGUGGAUGGUUCCGGCAUCGCUCGGAGUAGUAUCGCUGCUGCUGCCAGGUUCUGGCCGACCCCACUGGAAGCCAGAGGCAGCCUUGCCCUGGCAUCAUCGGCGAUGCGGUGCUGGACGUCCUAGGCCCGGUGACGCGCUUCUCCGGCCGGUGCUCGGCCUGCCCACUCCUGCCUAAUAUUUUGCCGAAGCUGCACAAGUUGUCCUGCUUCCUCGUCGAGCCUGGCCUGUACCUUGCGGAUUUGCUCGAGCUGUGCGUCCUGACCCCCGUAGGGACUAGGACCACAGCUAGCUUCCGAAGGAUGUCAACGCAAGGCGCAGGCCUAGGGGGAUCACCGUCCUCCAGCAUACCAAGAUGGUUGCCUUCAUCGAGACCCCCUAGAUCGACGUGGAAGCAUUCGUGACUUGGGCCACAGUCCUCGUUGCCGAGGCUGUGGCUGCUAUCGGAGCAAUCAGAGAGGCAGUAGUCACAUGCGGUCAUGAAGUCCCGCAUGGCACUGGGGUUAUCGAGCCCGGAGAAAUCCCAACCAGAGUCGGGCUCGUCAUCUUCCUCGGAACCCAGAGGCCCGUAGGUCGAGACGGCCGUCAGCCGGUCCCAGGGUGACCGCAUAUGGUACCCCGGAGGGUUUGGACACGCCUUUAUGAAAGCGUCCACCGAAGCGGGGUCGCUUGGUGGGUCACAGCUGGAUCCAAAAGGCAUGGAACGGGAAAUGGACGGUACCUCUUGAUCGACGGGUGGUGACGAAGUCACGUCAGGGAUGGACUGCACCGUUGUCUCAGGUACGAGGCUAACGCCCAGCAUGUCCUUCGCGAGCGUGCUGGCGUUGUCCGUCUGCAUGGAGUUGGCGUGUUGCGGGGAAACGGCGCUCGCCUUCGUCUCAGAUGCGAGGUCGACGCCCGAUGUGUCCCCCGUUGGAGCGCCCGCGCCGUCGACUUGCUCGAUAGCCGACGAGGUGCCGCCUCCUGCUUGGCCAUGCCUACCCCGCCUCCUCCUCCGUCGGCGGGGAAGGCGACGGGACAGACCCGGAUGUUGCUCUUCCGCCACGAGGGGAAGACGUCGUCGAUUCCACCGCCGGCGGGCGGGCUGACGGCCGCCAUUGUCAUUGUCGCACGGCAGAGGAAGGAGUAUCAUGUCGUAGCUGCCGUCGAGGGACAUGAACUCCAGGCUCCCGAAACGAAGCAUCAUCUCGGGUUGAAGAGGUUGCUGGAGACUACCCAUCUGGAGCUUGAUGGGAAGCUGUUCGUCAACACGCAGCAGGCCCCUACCUGGCGCGCCAACUGUCGACGUUUCGACCCCGGGGGGUCCCUGGACCGACGAGUAAAUUGUCGCCGCGUGUCCCAGCCCAGAUGGAUCAGCGUGAGACGGAGCACGAAGGGGGAAGAAACAGGCAAAGGGGAAACCCGCGGCCUUCGUGUUGCCCUACGCCCAGGUCGGGUGCGCUUGCAGUAGGGGGGUUACAAGCGUCCGCAAGGGAGAGAGAGAGACUGUCCGCUAGCCCGUUCUCCCGCGCGGCCAACCUUCUCGUACGAGAGCCCUGGACCUUCCUUUUAUAGGCGUAAGGAGAGGGCCCAGGUGUACAAUGGGGGGUGUAGCAGUGUGCUAACGUGUCUAGCAAAGAGGAGCUAGAGCCCUAAGUACAUGCCGUCGUGGCAGUCGGAGAUGUCUUGGCACCCUGUUCAUAUGAUGUCGUGGCCGUCGGAGGAGCGCUUGGGCCCUAUGGAAGGACAGCUGUCGGGGCUGUCGGAUCCUUGCUGACGUCUCCUUGCUUCCGUAAGGGGCUGAGAACCGCCAUCGUCAUGGAGCAGGCGGGGCGCCAUCAUUACUUGUUUACCGGGGCGAGCCAGAUGGGACGCCGAUCUUGUUCCCCGUAGCCUGAGCUAGCUAGGGGUAGGGUAAUGAUGGCCCCCCUGUGACGUGGUCGGUCCGAGCUCGAGGUCGGGCGAGGCGGAGGCUCCUCCGAGGUCGAGGUCGAGUCUGGGCCCUAGGUCGGGCGAGGCGGAGACCGUCUUCCGAGGCCGAGGAUGAGUCCAAGCCCUGGGUCGGGCGAGGCGGAGACCAUCUUCCGAGGCCGAGGCUGAGUCCGUCUUCCGGGGUCGAGGCUGAGUCCGAGCCCUGGGUCGGGCGAGGCGGAGACCAUCUUCUGAGGCCGAGGCUGAGUCCGAGCCCUGGGUCGGGCGAGGCGGAGUCCAUCUUCCGGGGUCGAGGCUGAGUCCGAGCCUUGGGUCGGGCGAGGCGGAGCUUCCCAUGGCGCCCGAGACUAGACUUAGCUACUGCCAGCCUCACUCUGUCGAGUGGCACAAUAGUCGAAGCGGGGCAGGCGGCGCUGUUUUCCUGUCAGGUCGUUCAGUGGAGCGGCGAAGUGACUGCGGUCACUUCGGCUCUGUCGACUGAGGAGCGCGUGUCAGGAUAAGGUGUCAGUCGACCCUUGCAUUAAAUGCUCCUGCGAUACGGUCGGUUGGCGUGGCGAUCUGGCCAAGGUUGCUUCUCCGCGAAGACUGGGCCUCGGGCGAGUCGAAGGUGUGUCCGUCGCUUGAGGGGGCCCUCGGGCGAGACAUGAAUCCUCCGGGGUCGGCUGCCUUUGCCUGAGGCUGGGCUCAGGCAAGGCGAGAUCGUGUCCCUUGAGUGGACUGAGCCUUGACCUUAAUCGCGCCCAUCAGGCCUUUGCAGCUUUGUGCUGAUGGGGGUUACCAGCUGAGAUUAGGAGCCUUGGGGGUACCCCUAAUUAUGGUCCCCAACAUUUGUUGUCUUGCAUUAAGACACAUCCCAAUCCAGUACCUGAAGCAUCGCAAUACACUUCAAAGGUCUUGGUGUUGUCAGGUUGAGCUAGCACUAGGGCUGUUGUCAAGUGCUGCCUUAGUGUAUGGAAGGCAUCUUCACACUUCUGGCUCCAAUUAUACUUGACUCCCUUCUUCAACAGUUUAGUCAUUGGCUUGGCAAUUCUGGAGAAAUCCGGAAUGAAUCGUCGAUAAUACCCUGCCAAUCCCAGAAAACUUCGAAUCUGCCUCACUGUAGUAGGAGGUUUCCAAUCCAUUACUUCUUGUACCUUCUCAGGAUCAACUGAUAUCCCAUUCUGAGAAAUUGUGUGACCCAAGAAUUUAAUUUCUCUCAGCCAGAAUUCACAUUUAGACAACUUAGCAUAAAGACGAUGAUCGCGCAGUUGCUGAAGCACGAUGUGCAGAUGCUCAGUAUGCUCGUCUUUAUUCUUGGAAUAGACCAGGAUAUCAUCAAUGAAAACCACGACAAAUUUGUCCAGCUCUGGCAUGAAUACUGAGUUCAUCAGGUACAUGAAAUAAGCCAGGGCAUUGGUCAGCCCAAAAGACAUCACCAAGAACUCAUAGAGCCCAUAUCUGGUAGAGAAAGCAGUCUUUGGAAUAUCACUGGCACGGAUCUUGAUCUGAUGGUAGCCCGAGCGAAGGUCUAUCUUGGAGAAUACCUUGGCUCCCACCAACUGAUCAAACAAAACAUCAAUGCGGGGAACUCCUUGAUCAUCAUCCGCCCGCUUACGAACUUUCCAAGUAUCUACUCGGGCGUCAUCUUGGUGUACCUAGGAUUCUCACGAAUAUUGUUCACAAGAUGUGGAUCAAGGACAGUAAAAGACCUUAGCAUUAGGCGGACGACGUCGUGGUCCGUCCAUCACGUGCUUCCAUAGCUCCUUAUUUUGUUGACAAGGGUUUAUCCCAUGGUUCGGCCAAGUUCAACACUUGCCUACUCCACGUUGUGGCGUCCCAACAGACGAGGGUUGCAAUCAACCCCUCUCAAGCGGUCCAAAGACCCACUUGAAUACCAUGGUGUUUUGCUUUGUUUAUUUUAUCCCGCUUGCGAGGAAUCUCCACAACUUGGAGCCUCUCGCCCUUACACUUUGAUGUUCACAAAGAAGCUCGGAGUAAGGGAGGGAUGAGCAACGCACACAAGACACAAAAUCAGAGCGACAAUACGCACACAAGUCACAACACGAGCUCUCAACACAACUCAAAGAGUUCUCUACUCAAAUGGAGCUCUAGUUGCUACCACAAAGAAUCGAAUGCGCGGAAUUGAAGUCUUGGUGCUUAGGAAUGCUUAGAGAAUGCUUGGUGUACUCCUCCAUGCGCCUAGGGGUCCCUUUUAUAGCCCCAAGGCAGCUAGGAGCCGUUGAGAGCAUUCCAGGAAGGCAAUUCUUGCCUUCUAUCACCUGGCGCACCGGACACUGUCCGGUGCGGAUUUCUUUCCUUCUUUGGCGAAGCCGACCGUUGGCGGUUCAGAGCCGUUGGCGCACCAGACACUGUCCGGUGCACACCGGACAGUCCGGUGCCCCCUUCUGACCGUUGGCUCUGCCACGCGUCGCGCGCGGAUUACGCGGCCGACCGUUGGCCCGACCGACUGUUGGCUCACCGGACAGUCCGGUGCACCACCGGACAGUCCGGUGAUUUAUAGCCGUACGCCGCCGUCGAAACCCGAGAGCAGCCAUUUCGUAGACGCCAGCCUGGCGCACCGGACAAUGUCCGGUGCACCACCGGACAGUCCGGUGCACCCAAACUGCACAGAGUCUUGGCUGCUCAGCCAAGUCUUUUCCAAUUUGGUCUUUUCCUGUUUCUAGCACUUAGACACAAUACAUUAGUCUUCAAAACAAUGUACUAAGUCUUAGAAACAUACCUUUACUCUUGAUUUGCACUUUGUCCAUCAUUUGGCAUAGAUUAACACUUAGGCACUUGUGUUGGACACUUAAUCACCAAAAUACUUAGAAAUGGACCAUGGGCACAUUUCCCUUUCAGUCGGUACGUGGAGCCGACGGUGAUGACCCCGUUGGGGCCCGGCAUCUUGAGCUUGAGGUAGGUGUAGUUGGGGACGGCCAUGAACUUGGCGUAGCAUGGCCUCCCCAGCACUGCGUGGUAGGUUCCUCGGAACCCGACCACCUCGAACGUGAGGGUUUCCUUUCGGAAGUUGGAGGGAGUCCCGAAGCAGAUGGGCAGAUUGAGUUGCCCAAGGGGUUGGACGUGUUUCCCGGGGAUGAUCCCGUGAAAAGGCGCCACGCUGGCCCGGAUCGAGGACAGAUCGAUCUGUAGGAGCCCGAGGGUCUCGACGUAGAUGAUGUUGAGGCUGCUGCCUCCGUCCAUGAGGACCUUGGUAAGCCUGAUGUUGCUGAUUGACGGGAUCGACAACGAGAGGGUACUUCCCUGGGCUCGGCACACGGUCGGGGGGUCGCCCUGGUCGAAGGUGAUGGGCUUGUCGGACCAGUCCAGGUAGACUGGCGCCGCCACCUUUACCGAGCAGACCUCCCGGCGCUCUUGCUUGCGGUGCCGAGUUGAGGCGUUUGCCACAUGCCCACCGUAGAUCAUGAAGCAGUCGUGGACCUCGGGGAACUCCUCUGCCUUGUGAUCCUCCUUCUUGUUGUUGUUGUGGGCUCGGCCACCUUCCGCCGGUGGCCUGGCCCUGUGGAAGUGGCGCCGAAGCAUGACGCAUUCCUCAAGGGUGUGCUUAACGGGACCCUGAUGAUAGGGGCACAGCUCCUUGAGCAUUUUGUCGAACAGGUUGGCGCCUCCGGGAGGCUUCCGAGGGUUCCUAUGCUCGGCGGCGGCGACAAGGUCCGCGUCGGCGGCGUCGCGUUUCGCUUGCGACUUCUUCUUGCCCUUCUUCCUCGCGCCGCACUGAGCAGACGCCUGAGAGCACCUAGAGGGGGGGUGAAUAGGUGAUCCUGUAAAACUUAAAACUUAACACCACAAACUUGAUUAAGAGUUAGUAUAAUGAAAUCAAGUGAGUAGAGAGAAGAGCUCUUGUGAAGCACAAUAGACACAAUAAGGACAAGCACAAGAGUCACGAGGAUUUUAUCUCGUGGUUCGGCCAAGUACAAAACUUUCCUACUCCACAUUGUGGCGUCCCAAUGGACGAGAGUUGCACUCAACUCCUCUCAAGUGAUCCAAUGAUCAACUUGAAUACCACGGUGUUCUUUUUACUUUGCUCUUUUCCUGUUUGCGAGGAAUUUCCACAACUUGGAGUCUCUCGCCCUUACAAUAAGAAUCAAUAUGAAGCACACGAGUAAGGGAGGGAAGCAACACACUCAAAAACCACAGCAAAUACGCACACACACGAUCAAGACUUGAGCUCAAGACAAUAUCUCAAGGUUCUCACUAGAACAGAGCUCAAAUCACUAAGAAUGUCGAACUAGUGCGCAAGGGUGAACUGUGAAUGAUCAACAAUGCUCAAAGGUUGCUUGGUAUCCUCCUCCAUGCGCCUAGGGGUCCCUUUUAUAGCCCCAAGGCAGCUAGGAGCCGUUGAGAGCAUUCCAGGAAGGCAAUUCUUGCCUUCUGUCGCCUGGCGCACCGGACAGUCCGGUGCACCACCGGACACUGUCCGGUGCGGAUCUCUUUCCUUAUUUGGCGAAGCCGACCGUUGGCGCUUUGGAGCCAUUGGCACACCGGACACUGUCCGGUGCACACCGGAUAGUCCGGUGCUCCCCUUCCGACCGUUGGCUCGGCCACGUGUCCCGCGCCGGAUCGCGUGGCUGACCGUUGGCCCGGCCGACCGUUGGCUCACCGGACAGUCCGGUGAAUUAUAGCCGUACGCCGUUAAUCAUUUCCCGAGAGCAGCAAGUUCGCCUGAGCCAGCCUGGCGCACCGGACACUAUCCGGUGCACCACCGGACACUGUCCGAUGCACCACCGGACACUGUCCGAUGCACCACCGGACAGUCCGGUGCACCCAGACAGAGCUGACUAUGGCUGAAUAAAGCCAUCUUUAAUCGCAACUUGAUUUUUCCUGUUUCCAGCACUUAGACACAAUACAUUAGUCUCUAAAACAAUGUACUAAGUCUGAGAAACAUACCUUUAUACUUGGUUUGCACUUUGUCCACCAUUUAACACUUAGGCACUUGUGUUGGACACUAAAUCACCAAAAUACUUAGAAAUGGCCCAAGGGCACAUUUCCCUUUCAAUCUCCCCCUUUUUGGUGAUUUUAUGCCAACACAACAUAAAGCAAGUAGAACAAGUGCAAAAUCACUUCAAAUAAGAACUCAAAAUUGUUUUUAUUCAAAUUUGACAUAUAUGGAUCAUUCUUUACCACCACUUGGUUUGUUUUUGCAAAUCAAACUCAAUUUCCUAUCUCUAAGUCAAACACACAUGUUGAAACAUAAAGAGAGAUUUUUCACGAGAAAUUGAUCAAGGAUUCAAAAACUCCCCCUUUGUCCCAUAAUGAAGCCUUCUCCCCAUAAGAGACCAACUUUUGACAAUAAGAGACAAACACGAGUAUUUUGACAAACAAAAACUAUAACUCUACUAUUUUCAAAAUUCACAAGUGGUAGCUGAUCCAUUUCUUGCUUUGGCCGUAUUUUCUCCCCCUUUGGCGUCAAACACCAAAACAGGAUCAACUUUGGCCCUUUAACCCCAUUGCCUCACCAAAAUCUUCAACUAAGAGUAAAAAGGCAAUAAGAGUACAAAGAUGAACUUGGAAAAGUUACUCUUUCAUCGGAGUGCAGUGGAAGUCUUGCAUGGUCCAAGUCCACCUUUUCCCUUGCAAACUCAAGCAUACAGUUAGUCUCAAAGGGUCAAGUUGUAGCACAUCUCCCCCUAUAUAUGUGCAUCACUUGCAAGUGGACUUGUGAGGUCCGGGGAGUGCUUGUACAACUUGAGCACCAUAAAUAAACAACAAUAUGUAUUAAGGAACAUGAUCAAGGCAUAAACACAUGUAUGCUAUAAAUCAAUCCAAGUUCCGCGAAUCUAAGACAUUUAGCUCACUACGCAACUUGCAAAAGGUCUGCUCAUCUAAAGGCUUGGUAAAGAUAUCGGCUAGCUGGUUUUCGGAGCUAACAUGAAACACUUCGAUAUCUCCCUUUUGCUGGUGGUCUCUCAAAAAGUGAUGCCGGAUGUCUAUGUGCUUUGUGCGGCUGUGUUCAACAGGAUUAUCCGCCAUGCGGAUAGCACUCUCAUUAUCACAUAGGAGUGGGACUUUGCUCAGAUUGUAGCCAAAGUCCCUGAGGGUUUGCCUCAUCCAGAGUAGUUGCGCGCAACACUGUCCUGCGGCAACGUACUUGGCCUCAGCGGUGGAUAGGGCAACGGAAGUUUGUUUCUUAGAGCUCCAUGACACCAGGGACCUUCCUAAGAAUUGGCACGUCCCUGAUGUACUCUUCCUAUCGACCUUACAUCCAGCAUAGUCGGAGUCUGAAUAUCCAAUCAAGUCAAAGGUAGACCCCUUUGGAUACCAGAUCCCGAAGCAAGGCAUAGCAACUAAGUAUCUAAGAAUUCGCUUCACUGCCACUAAGUGACACUCCCUUGGAUCAGAUUGAAAUCUAGCACACAUGCAUACGCUAAGCAUAAUAUCCGGUCUACUAGCACAUAAAUAAAGUAAAGACCCUAUCAUAGACCGUUAUGCCUUUUGAUCAACGGACUUACCUCCUUUGUUGAGGUCGGUGUGUCCGUCGGUUCCCAUUGGAGUCUUUGCGGGCUUGGCAUCCUUCAUCUCAAACCGUUUGAUCAAGUCUUGCGUGUAUUUUGUUUGGGAGAUGAAGGUCCCAUCCUUGAGUUGCCUCACUUGGAACCCAAGGAAAUAGCUUAACUCGCCCAUCAUCGACAUUUCGAACUUUUGAGUCAUCACCCUGCUAAACUCUUCACAAGACUUUUGGUUAGUAGAACCAAAUAUUAUGUCAUCGACAUAAAUUUGGCACACAAAAAGAUUACCAUCACAAGUCUUAGUAAAAAGAGUUGGAUCGGCUUUCCCAACCUUGAAAGCAUUAGCAAUUAAGAAGUCUCUAAGGCAUUCAUACCAUGCUCUUGGGGCUUGCUUAAGUCCAUAGAGCGCCUUAGAGAGCUUACACACGUGGUCGGGGUACCAUUCAUCCUCGAAGCCAGGGGGUUGCUCUACGUACACCUCCUCCUUGAUUGGCCCGUUGAGGAAAGCGCUCUUCACAUCCAUUUGGAAUAACCUGAAAGAAUGGUGAGCGGCAUAUGCUAGCAAAAUGCGAAUGGACUCUAGCCUAGCCACAAAAGCAAAAGUCUCCUCAAAGUCCAAACCUGCGACUUGGGCAUAACCUUUUGCCACAAGUCUAGCCUUGUUCCUUGUCACCACCCCGUGCUCAUCUUGUUUGUUGCGAAACACCCACUUGGUUCCCACAACAUUUUGCUUGGGACGAGGCACCAGUGUCCAAACUUCUUUUCUCUUGAAGUUAUUGAGCUCCUCUUGCAUGGCCAACACCCAGUCCGGAUCUAGCAAGGCCUCCUCUACCCUGAAAGGCUCAAUAGAAGAGACAAAAGAGUAAUGCUCACAAAAAUUAAGUAAUCGAGACCGAGUAGUUACUCCCUUGCUAAUAUCACCCAAAAUCUGGUCGACGGGAUGAUCCCUUUGAAUCAUCGCUCGAACUUGGGUUGGAGGUGCCGGUUGCGCUUCUUCCUCCAUUACUUGAUCAUCUUGUGCUCCCCCUUGAUCACUUGCCUCCUUUUGAUGAACCUGUUCAUCAUCUUGAGUUGGGGGAUGCACCAUUGUUGAGAAAGAAGGUUGAUCUUGCUCCUUUUGUUCCAUUGGCCUCACAUCUCCAAUCGCCAUGGUGCGCAUUGCGGCCGUUGGAACGUCUUCUUCAUCUACAUCAUCAAGAUCAACAACUUGCUCUCUUGGAGAGCCAUUAGUCUCAUCAAAUACAACGUCGCUAGAGACUUCAACCAAACCCGAUGAUUUGUUGAAGACCCUAUACGCCUUUGUAUUUGAGUCAUAACCUAACAAAAACCCUUCUACGGCUUUGGGAGCAAAUUUGGAAUUCCUACCCUUCUUCACUAGAAUGUAGCAAUUACUCCCAAAAACUCGAAAAUACGAAACAUUGGGUUUGUUACCGGUUAGUAGCUCAUACGAAGUCUUCUUAAGGAGACGAUGAAGGUAGACCCGGUUGAUGGCGUGGCAAGCCGUGUUCACGGUUUCCGACCAAAAGCACUUGGGGAUCUUGAACUCUCCAAGCAUCGUCCUUGCCAUGUCUAUAAGCGUCCUGUUCUUCCUCUCUACCACACCAUUUUGCUGUGGUGUGUAGGGAGCGGAGAACUCGUGCUUGAUUCCUUCCUCCUCAAGAUACUCCUCCACUUGAAGGUUCUUGAACUCGGACCCAUUGUUGCUUCUUAUCUUCUUCACCUUGAGUUCAAACUCAUUUUGAGCUCUCCUUAGGAAGCGCUUGAGGGUCCCUUGGGUUUCAGAUUUAUCCUACAAAAAGAAUACCCAAGUGAAGCGGGAAAAAUCAUCAACUAUAACAAGACCAUACUUACUUCCUCCUAUGCUUAGAUAGGCGACGGGUCCGAAGAGGUCCAUAUGAAGUAACUCCAGGGAUCUUGAUGUUGUCAUCACAUUUUUGGCAUGAUGAGAGCUUCCCACCUGUUUCCUUGCUUGACAAGCUGCACAAGGUCUAUCUUUUUCGAAUGUAACAUUAGUUAGACCUAUCACGUGUUCUCCCUUUAGAAUCUUGUAAAGGUUCUUCAUCCCCACAUGUGCUAAGCGGCGAUGCCAUAGCCAGCCCAUGCUAGUCUUAGCAAUUAAGCAUGCAUCUAGACCGGCCUCAUCUUUUGCAAAAUCAACUAAAUAAAGUUUGUCGUCUAAUACACCCUUAAAAGCUAAUGAACCAUCACUUCUUCUAAAGACAGACACAUCUACAUUUGUGAAUAAACAAUUAUAUCCCAUAUUACAUAAUUGACUUACGGAUAAUAAAUUAUAUCCAAGAGACUCUACUAAGAAUACAUUAGAAAUAGAGUGCUCAUUUGAGAUUGCAAUCUUGCCUAAACCUUUCACCUUGCCUUGGUUCCCAUCACCGAAUAUAAUUGAGUCUUGGGGAUCCUUGUUCUUGAUGCAGGAAGAGAACAUCCUCUUCUCCCCCGUCAUGUGGUUUGUGCAUCCGCUGUCGAUAAUCCAGCUUGAGCCCCCGGAUGCAUAAACCUGCAAGGCAAAUUUAGGCUUGGGUCUUAGGUACCCAACUCUUGUUGGGUCCUACAAGGUUAGUACAAAUUGCCUUAGGGACCCAAAUGCAAGUUUUAUCUCCCUUGCAUUUUGCCCCUAAUUUUCUAGCAACUACUUUCAUAUCCUUUCUACAAAUAGCAAAGGAGGCAUUUAAAGCAUGAUAAAUUGUAGAAGGUUCAUUAACUUUCCUAGGGACAUUAGCAACAUUUCUCCUAGGCAUAUGAUGAACAACAUUUCUCCUAGCUAAAUUUCUAUCAUGCACAUAGGAAGAGCUUGAAGCAAUCAUUGCAUUUGAACCAUAAGCAUUACAAUUCCUAUCAUGAUGAACAUUUCUAGCAAAUUUCCUAUCAUGGUAUAAGAAAGCAUGGUUCUUUUGCACACUAUUUACCAUAGAGGCCUUCCCUUUCUCCUUGGCGGAGAUGGAAGCCUUAUGGCUUGUUAAGUUCUUGACUUCCCUCUUGAAGCCAAGACCAUCCUUAAUUGAGGGGUGUCUACCAAUCGUGUAGGCAUCCCUUGCAAAUUUCAACUUUUCAAAUUCAUUCUUGCUAGUCUUAAGUUGGGCAUUAAGACUAGCCACUUCAUCAUUUAAUUUUGAAAUGCAAACUAAGUGUUCACUACAAGCAUCAACAUUAAAGUCUUUGCACCUAUUGCAAAUUUCUACACAAGAGUUAGAUUUAUUUGCUACUUCUAGUUUAGCAUUUAAAUCAUCAUUAACACUCUUUAAAGAAGAAAUGGUUUCAUGACAAGUAGAUAGUUUACAAGAAAGCAUUUCAUUCCUUUUAACUUCUAGAGCAAGAGAAUUUUGAGCACUAACAAAUUUAUCAUGCUCUUCAUAUAAAAGGUCCUCUUGUUUUUCUAGUAGUCUAUUCUUGUCAUUCAGAGCAUCAAUCAAUUCAUUAAUCUUAUCGAUCUUAGUUCUAUCUAAGCCUUUGAAUAAGCAUGAGUAAUCUAUUUCAUCAUCAUCACUAGACUCAUCCUCGCUCGAAGAAGCAUAAGUAGUAUUGUUUCGAGUACAUACCUUCUUCUCCUAUGCCAUGAGGCAUGUGUGAUGCUCGUUGGGGAAGAGUGAUGACUUGUUGAAGGCGGUGGCGGCGAGUCCUUCAUUGUCGGAGUCAGACGAGGAGCAAUCCGAAUCCCACUCCUUUCCAAGAUGUGCCUCGCCCUUCGCCUUCUUGUAGUUCUUUUUCUUCUCCCACUUUCCACUCUUCUUUUACUGGUCACUAUCAUUAUCAGGACAGUUAGCGAUAAAAUGACCAAUCUUACCACAUUUGAAGCAGGAGCGCUUCCCCUUCGUUUUGUUCUUGUUGGGGUGCUCCUUGCGACCUUUUAGCGCCGUCUUGAACCGCUUGAUGAUAAGGGCCAUCUCUUCAUCAUUAAGCCCGGCCGCCUCAACUUGAGCCACCUUGCUCGGUAGCGCUUCCUUGCUUCUUGUCGCUUUGAGGGCAACGGUUUGAGGCUCGUGGAUUGGGCCAUUCAAUGCAUCAUCCACGUAUCUCGCCUCCUUGAUCAUCAUUUGCCCGCUUACAAAUUUUCCAAGAAUUUCUUCGGGCGACAUCUUGGUGUACCUAGGAUUUUCAUGAAUAUUGUUUACCAAAUGUGGAUCAAGUACGGUAAAGGACCUUAGCAUUAGGCGAACGACGUCGUGGUCCGUCCAUCGCGUGCUUCCAUAGCUCCUUAUUUUGUUGACAAGGGUCUUGAGCCUGUUGUACGUUUGGGUUGGAUCCUCCCCCCUUAUCAUCGCAAAUCUCCCGAGUUCGCCUUCCACCAACUCCAUCUUGGUGAGCAUGGUGACGUCGUUCCCCUCAUGUGAGAUCUUGAGGGUGUCCCAAAUCUUCUUGGCGUUAUCCAAGCCGCUCACUUUAUGGUAUUCAUCCCUGCACAAAGAUGCUAGAAGAACAGUAGUAGCUUGUGCAUUUUUGUGAAUUUGCUCAUUUAUGAACAUGGGACUAUCACUACUAUCAAAAUGCAUUCCAUUCUCAACUAUCUCCCAUAUGCUUGGAUGGAGAGAGAACAAAUGACUACACAUUUUGUGACUCCAAAAUAUGUAGUCCUCUCCAUCAAAGUGAGGAGGUUUACCAAGUGGAAUGGAGAGUAAAUGAGCAUUUGUGCUUUGCGGAAUACAAGAAUAAUCAAAAGAAAAGUUUGAAUUGACCGUUUUCUUUUUCUCGUAGUCGUCAUCGUCCUUUUGGGAAGAAGUGGAUUCGUCGCUGUCGUCGUAGUAGAUGAUCUCCUUGAUGCGCCUUGUCUUCUUCUUCUUCCCAUCUCUUCUUUUGUGGCUCGAGCCCGAGUCCAUAGACUUGUCAUCUUUCGGCUCAUUGAAGAUAGACUCCUUCUCGUUGUUGUUGACCACCAUCCCCUUUCCCUUAGGAUCCAUCUCUUCGGGCGAUUAGUCCCUUCUUGAAGAGAACGGCUCCGAUACCAAUUAAGAGCACCUAGAGGGGGGGUGAAUAGGUGAUCCUGUAAAACUUAAAACUUAACACCACAAACUUGAUUAAGAGUUAGUAUAAUGAAAUCAAGUGAGUAGAGAGGAGAGCUCUUGUGAAGCACAAUAGACACAAUAAGGACAAGCACAAGAGACACAAGGAUUUUAUCCCGUGGUUAGGCCAAGUACAAAACUUGCCUACUCCACGUUGUGGCGUCCUAAUGGACGAGAGUUGCACUCAACACCUCUCAAGUGAUUCAAUGAUCAACUUGAAUACCACGGUGUUCUUUUUACUUUGCUCUUUUCCCGUUUGCGAGGAAUUUCCACAACUUGGAGUCUCUCGCCCUUACAAUAAGAAUCAAUAUGAAGCACACGAGUAAGGGAGGGAAGCAACACACUCAAAAACCACAGCAAAUACGCACACACACGAUCAAGACUUGAGCUCAAGACAAUAUCUCAAGGUUCUCACUAGAACAGAGCUCAAAUCACUAAGAAUGUCGAACUAGUGCGCAAGGGUGAAGUGUGAAUGAUCAACAAUGCUCAAAGGUUGCUUGGUAUCCUCCUCCAUGCGCCUAGGGGUCCCUUUUUUAGCCCCAAGGCAGCUAGGAGCCGUUGAGAGCAUUCCAGGAAGGCAAUUCUUGCCUUCUGUCGCCUGGCGCACCGGACAGUCCGGUGUACCACCGGACACUGUCCGGUGCGGAUCUCUUUCCUUAUUUGGCGAAGCCGACCGUUGGCGCUUUGGAGCCGUUGGCGCACCGGACACUGUCCGGUGCACAUCGGUCAGUCCGGUGCUCCUUUUCCGACCGUUGGCUCGGCCACGUGUCCCGCGCGGAUCGCGCGGCCGACCGUUGGCCCGGCCGACCGUUGGCUCACCGGACAGUCCGGUGCACACCGGAUAGUCCGGUGAAUUAUAGCCGUACGCCGUUAAUCAUUUCCCGAGAGCAGCAAGUUCGCCUGAGCCAGCCUGGCGCACCGAACACUGUUCGGUGCACCACCGGACAGUCCGGUGCACCCAGACAGAGCUGACUAUUGCUGAACAAAGCCAUCUUUAAUCUCAACUUGAUUUUUCCUGUUUCCAGCACUUAGACACAAUACAUUAGUCUCUAAAACAAUGUACUAAGUCAGAGAAACAUACCUUUAUACUUGGUUUGCACUUUGUCCACCAUUUAACACUUAGGCACUUGUGUUGGACACUAAAUCACCAAAAUACUUAGAAAUGGCCCAAGGGCACAUUUCCCUUUCAACGCCUCAAGGACGUCUUCCGGCUGGCGCCCCUGAGGCUGCUUGUCCUUCCGAAAGAUGGCCUCGACCGCCUCCUGACCAGAGGCGAACUUGGUGGCGAUGUCCAUCAGCUCGCUCGCCUUGGUGGGAGUCUUGCGACCCAGUUUGCUCACCAGGUCGCGGCAAGUGGUGCCGGCGAGGAAUGUGCCGAUGACAUCCGAGUCGGUGAUGUUGGGCAACUCGGUGCGCUGCUUCGAAAAUCGCCGGAUGUAGUCCCGGAGGGAUUCUCCUGGCUGCUGGCGGCAGCUUCGGAGAUCCCACGAGUUCCCAGGGCGCACGUAUGUGCCCUGGAAGUUGCCGGCGAAGGCUUUGACCAGGUCGUCCCAUUUGGAGAUCUGCGCAGGAGGCAGAUGCUCCAGCCAGGCUCAGGCGGCGUCGGAGAGGAACAGGGGAAGGUUGUGGAUGAUGAGGUUGUCAUCGUCCGUCCCACCCAGCUGGCAGGCCAGCCGGUAGUCCACGAGCCACAGCUCCGGCUUUGACUCCCCCGAGUACUUGGUGAUGGUAGUUGGGGUUCAGAACCGGGUCGAGAACGACGCCCAUCGUAUGGCCCGGCUGAAAGCCCGCGGACCGGGUGGUUCGGGUGAGGGGCUCCGAUCCUCCCCGCUGUCGUAGCGUCCCCCACGCCUGGGGUGGUAGCCUUGGUGCACCCUCUCGUCGAGGUGGGCUCGACGGUCGCGGCGCGGGUGCUCGUUGCCGUGGCAACCCGGGGCCGCAGGCGCUGAGUUCCGCGUUUGCCUGGUGUGGACCGAGGCUUCCCGCAUGAAUCGGGAAGUCGCGGCACGAUGCUCCGGGGGUACCCCUGCCUUCGGGAGGCAGAGCUUUCGGCCUGUCGGACCGCGACAUCUUCCAGGAGAUUCUUGAGCUCUCCCUGGAUGCGCCGCCCCUCGGGGGUGGAUGGUUCCGGCAUCGCUCGGAGUAGUAUCGCUACUGCUGCCAGGUUCUGGCCGACCCCACUGGAAGCCGGAGGCAGCCUUGCCCUAGCAAUGUCGGCGAUGCGGUGCUGGACGUCCUGGGCCCGGUGACACGCUUCUCCGCCCGGUGCUCGGCCUGCCCACUCCUGCCUGAUAUUUUGCCGAAGCUGCACAAGUUGUCCUGCUUCCUCGUCGAGCCUGGCCUGUACCUCGCGGAUUUGCUCGAGCUGUGCGUCCUGACCCCUCGAAGGGACUGGGACCACAGCUAGCUUCCGAAGGAUGUCAACGCGAGGCGCAGGCCUAGGGGGAUCACCGUCCUCCGGCAUACCAAGAUGGUUGCCUUCGUCGAGACCCCCUAGAUCGACGUGGAAGCAUUCGCAACUUGGGCCACAGUCCUCGUUGCCGAGGCUGUGGCUGCUAUCGGAGCAAUCAGAGAGGCAGUAGUCACAUGCGGUCAUGAAGUCCCGCAUGGCACUGGGGAUAUCGAGCCCGGAGAAAUCCCAACCAGAGUUGGGCUCGUCAUCUUCCUCGGAACCCAGAGGCCCGUAGGUCGAGACGGCCGUCAGCCGGUCCCAGGGUGACCGCAUAUGGUACCCCAGAGGGUUUGGACACGCCUUUACAAAAGCGUCGACCGAAGCGGGGUCGCUUGGUGGGUCGCAGCUGGAUCUAAAAGGCAUGGAAUGGGAAAUGGACGGUACCUCUUGAUCGAUGGGUGGUGACGAAGUCGCGUCAGGGACGGACUGCACCGUUGUCUCAGGUACGAGGCUAACGCCCAGCAUGUCCUUCGCGAGCGUGCUGGCGUUGUCCGUCUGCUUGGAGUUGGCGUGUUGCGGGGAAACGGCGCUCGCCUUCGUCUCAGAUGCGAGGUCGACGCCCGACGUGUCCCCCGUUAGGGCGCCGGCGUCGUCGACUCGCUCGAUAGCUGACGAGGUGCCGCCUCCUGCUUGGCCAUGCCUGCCCCGCCUCCUCCUCCGUCGGCGGGGAAGGCGACGGGACAGACCCGGAUGUUGCUCUUCCGCCAUGAGGGGAAGACGUCAUCGAUUCCGCCGCCGGCGGGCGGACUGACGGCCGCCAUUGUCAUUGUCGCGCGGCGGAGGAAGGAGUAUCAUGUCGUAGCUGCCGUCGAGGGACAUGAACUCCAGGCUCCCGAAACGAAGCAUCGUCUCGGGUUGAAGAGGUUGCUGGAGACUACCCAUCUGGAGCUUGACAGGAAGCUGUUCAUCAACACACAGCAGGCCCCUACCUGGCACGCCAACUGUCGGCGUUUCGACCCCGGGGGGUCCCUGGACCGACGAGUAAAUUGUCGCCGCGUGUCCCAGCCUAGAUGGGUCGGCGUGAGACGGAGCACGAAGGGGGAAGAAACAGGCAAAGGGGAAACCCGCGGCCUUCGUGUUGCCCUACGCCCAGGUCGGGUGCGCUUGCAGUAGGGGGGUUACAAGCGUCCGCGAGGGAGAGAGAGAGAGACUGUCCGCCAGCCCGUUCUCCCGCGCAGCCAACCUUCUCGUACGAGAGCCCUAGACCUUCCUUUUAUAGGCGUAAGGAGAGGGCUCAGGUGUACAAUGGGGGGUGUAGCAGUGUGCUAACGUGUCUAGCAAAGAGGAGCUAGAGCCCUAAGUACAUGCCGUCGUGGCAGUCGGAGAGGUUUUGGCACCCUGUUCAUAUGAUGUCGUGGCCGUCGGAGGAGCGCUUGGGCCCUGUGGAAGGACAGUUGUCGGGGCUGUCGGAUCCUUGCUGACGUCUCCUUGCUUCCGUAAGGGGCUGAGAACCGCUAUCGUCAUGGAGCAGGCGGGGCGCCAUCAUUACUUGUUUACCGGGGCGAGCCAGAUGGGACGCCAGUCUUAUUCCCCGUAGCCUGAGCUAGCUAGGGGUAGGGUAAUGAUGGCCCCCCUGUGACGUGGUCGGUCCGAGCCCGAGGUCGGGCGAGGCAGAGGCUCCUCUGAGGUUGAGGUCGAGUCUGUGCCCUGGGUCGGGCGAGGUGGAGACCGUCUUCCGAGGCCGAGGAUGAGUCUGAGCCCUAGGUCGGGCGAGGCGGAGACCGUCUUCCGAGGCCGAGGCUGAGUCCGAGCCCUGGGUUGGGCGAGGCGGAGUCCGUCUUCCGGGGUCGAGGCUGAGUCCGAGCCCUGGGUCGGGCGAGGCAGAGACCAUCUUCCGAGGCCGAGGCUGAGUCCGAGCCCUGGGUCGGGCAAGGCGGAGUCCGUCUUCCGGGGUCGAGGCUGAGUCCGAGCCCUGGGUCGGGCGAGGCGGAGCUUCCCAUGGCGCCCAAGACUGGACUUAGCUGCUGUCAGCCUCACUCUAUCGAGUGGCACAACAGUCAGAGCGGGGCAGGCGGCGCUGUUUUCCUAUCAGGUCGGUCAGUGGAGCGGCGAAGUGACUGCGGUCACUUCGGCUCUGUCGACUGAGGAGCGCGUGUCAGGAUAAGGUGUCAGUCGACCCUUGCAUUAAAUGCUCCUGUGAUAUGGUCGGUUGGCGUGGCGAUCUGGCCAAGGUUGCUUCUCCGUGAAGACUGGGCCUCGGGCGAGUCGAAGGUGUGUCCGUCGCUUGAGGGGGCCCUCGGGCGAGACGUGAAUCCUCCGGGGUCGGCUGCCUUUGCCCAAGGCUGGGCUCAGGUGAGGCGAGAUCGUGUCCCUUGAGUGGACUGAGCCUUGACCUUAAUCGCGCCCAUCAGGCCUUUGCAGCUUUGUGCUGAUGGGGGUUACCAGAUGAGAUUAGGAGCCUUGGGGGUACCCCUAAUUAUGGUCGCCGACAUCUGUUGUCUUGCAUUGAGACACAUCCCAAUCUAGUACCGGAAGCAUCGCAAUACACUUCAAAGGGCUUGGUGUUGUCAGGUUGAGCUAGCACUGGGGCUGUUGUCAAGUGUUGCCUUAGUGUAUGGAAGGCAUCUUCACACUUCUGGCUCCAAUUAUACUUGACUCCCUUCUUCAACAGUUCAGUCAUUGGCUUGGCAAUUCUGGAGAAAUCCAGAAUGAAUCGUCGAUAAUACCCUGCCAAUCCCAGAAAACUCUGAAUCUGCCUCACUGUAGUAGGAGGUUUCCAAUCCAUUACUUCUUGUACCUUCUCAGGAUCAACUGAUAUCCCAUUCUAAGAAAUUGUGUGACCCAAGAAUUUAAUUUCUCUCAGCCAGAAUUCACAUUUAGACAACUUAGCAUAAAGACGAUGAUCGUGCAGUUGCUGAAGCACGAUGUGCAGAUGCUCAGUAUGCUCGUCUUUAUUCUUGGAAUAGACCAGGAUAUCAUCAAUGAAAACCACGACAAAUUUGUCCAUCUCUGGCAUGAAUACUGAGUUCAUCAGGUACAUGAAAUAAGUCGGGGCAUUGGUCAGCCCAAAAGACAUCACCAAGAACUCAUAGAGCCCAUAUCUGGUAGAGAAAGCAGUCUUUGGAAUAUCACUGGCACGGAUCUUGAUCUGAUGGUAGCCCGAGCGAAGGUCUAUCUUGGAGAAAACCUUGGCUCCCACCAACUGAUCAAACAAAACAUCAAUGCGGGGCAGUGGGUAUUUGUUCUUGAUGGUCAUCGCAUUGAGAGGGCGGUAAUCAACACACAUUCUCAAACUCUCAUCCUUUUUCUUCACAAAUAAGGCCGGACAUCCCCACAGUGAAGUACUUGGGCGAAUGAACCCCUUGUCCAACAACUCUUGCAGUUGCUUCUUUAAUUCUGCCAAUUCUGCUGAAGGCAUAUCCUAUAGGGUCUCUUGGAGAUAGGAGCGGUCCCGGGUUGCAAUUCAAUUGCGAACUCAAUGUCUCUAUCAGGUGGCAUCCCUGGCAAUUCGUCCGGAAAAACAUCUUGGUAGUCACGGACCACUGGGAUCCUUUCCACUGGGGACUCUAUCAUAAUGAAGGCACAAGAACGGGUACAACCCUGGUCGGGCAAAUAUAAUGUGGUUUCACCACAGGUCGGUGAGUGCACUUCAAUGGCCCUAGCUGCAAUAUUAAUCACUGCCUGAUGUUUGGUCAACCAGUCAGUUCCCAAUAUGAUAUCCACGCUAUCUAAACCCAAAAUGAGGAGGUUGGUUUUGAUUAUUAGGCUACCAAACUUUAUAGGCACAUUCUUGUUGAUUUGGUAGGUGGCAACCCUGCCUCCUGGUGUGGAAAUUGUAAUACCCCCAUUGGUGUGGUGAAAAGGUAAUUGACACUUGGCACUAAAUUUGGUACUGAUAAAACUAUGUGAUGCACCAGAAUCGAAGAUAAUAAUAGCCAUAUAAUUCAGAACUGUAAAGAUACCAGUCAUGACAGGUGCUCCCUCUAGAAUAUCAACCAUGGUGGUGAAGUUCAGCCUGCCUUGCCUCACUUGCACCUUCUGCCUCUUGCCUUGGUUCUGAUUAACAUUCUGUCCCUACCUCUGCUAGUUUCUGGGGCAAUUCUUGGCAUAAUGUCCGGUGUUACCACAAGUGAAACACCUGUUGUCAUUUGCCUGACGAUAUUGCUGCUGCUGUUGAUUGUUCCUCUGAGCUGGAAACUAAGUGCGGUUGGGUGCCUGCUGCUGCUGCUGCUGUGGUCGGAUCACCCAUCGCCCUUGCUGCUGCUGAGAUCCUCUGUUCUGAGUGUCAGACACGAUCCUGAAGCGCUGUGGCUGAGCUGAAGGUCCUGCCACAGUGGUCUUCCUCUUCUUCUCUGCUUGACGAGCUGUGAUACAGUCCUCCUGAGAAAUGGCCAUGUUGACUAACUCAUUAUAGCUGUUGGCCCUGACUGUGUUGAGACGGUCACGGAGCUUAGUGCUGAGCCCCCUCCUGAACCUGUCCCCUAAAAGCUGCCUUGAACUCUCUCCAUUCCACCUCUCGGUCAUCUGGCUGCAUAGCAAGAAAAUGGUCCCACCAUGUCCGCGCGGGACCGUGAAGCUACUGGGUGGCGAACCUGACCUUAGUGACCUCUGAACAAACUCCAUGGAGUAGCGGGAAUUUGGAUUCCACCACUCUCAACCAUACAUCCACAUCAAGUGGGUCCUCUGCCCUGGUGAACAAUGGUGGCUGGGUACUGAGGAACUCCUGGUAGGUGGCUGCCGCGGGGUGACGCUGAUGAUCACCACCACCAUAGUGCUGAGGUGGUGGCUGACGCUGAGCUAGCUGUCUCAAGAUCUCAUUCUGCUGAGCCAUUAGCUCCUACAGAGUAGGAGGCGGUGGCGGUGGUGGAGGAACUCGCUCAUUUUGACCACGACAUGCUCUCCCGGCCAUCUGAAAAAUCACAUAUAUUUUCAAUAAUACAACUUUGAGGUUCAAGGUUCAAUCGCGGCGAAAGAGUCAAAGGCGAAAUCGAUAGAUUCUUACAUAAUCACAAAAGAUUUCACAUGGCAUAAACUUUUCUUCUUAAAUUAAGACUGACGUCAUUUAUCAACCAUGCUUCCAAAAGAGUUCAUCGCGAUUACAUCAAUACCCCAAAAGACUCAACUCUAUCUAGCCUAGUACCCCAAGGGUGCAAAAGCUAAGCUAGCUUCGAGGAGUUCUACCCUCAUCGACUUCUAACUCUAUCUCUGCGACCUAGUGAGCAGACGAGGCAACACUCGACUCGGGGGAAGGUGGUCUCCCUGAGCCAGCAGUGUCCAAGCUGGAGGCAGGCUCCUCUCCUCCCUCGAUGUCGACAUCCUCGUUGGCCUCCAAAUCCUGGAUCUCCUGGUGAUGCAUAUCCAGGUGCUCGUUAGCCUCCGCAAGUUGCUGCUGAGUGUUGAUAAGCUGAUCCUCGAGAACCUCGAUGGUGUUCUCCCUGGUUCCCACUAGUUCCUCAAGCUCUUGGAUCUCAUUUGACAGUUGCUCCACCUGUAAGUCCUUUUCCACCAUCUCAGCGGAUAAGUCAACCACAAGCUCCUCUCUGUUAUCCAAGGUGAUCUUAGUUGCCUCCAACAAUGCCAUCAGAUGAGACAUUGCCUCACCAUGCAUCACUUGCAGACGAUACAGGGCAUUCAUGCACCGCACCAUCAAGUGAGCAGUCUGGCCUGGGUAGAUAGCCCAGAUGUCCUUGGCAUGCUCCACUCGGUCCUUCCACAUUGGGUCGUCCUCCCUCUCAGCGGGGAACAAGCCAAUGGGGUGAAUGGACAGCUCCAAGGGGUGGAAUCCGCAGAAGGUGGUCAGUCCGUGAAGGGCAAUCACCUCGAUCGUAUCCUCAGCCCGGUAUCCAAAGGACUCAGAGUCUAGCGAACGCCAGCCUGGCUGCAGGGGAUGAGGCUCUAGGGUCAUCCUCACCCUACACCGGGGCACUCGGUGCUUUUCGAACUGCUGCACCGCGUACUGAGGAGGCGUCGUGUAACCAGCCCCCUGAAGUACCUCCCACAAAAUACGGGGAAAACCCUCUCGUGCAAGCCCGUCAGUGUGGGACUGUGCAUUCCCUUCGUCCGAUGAUCCGUGAGAAGUCAUCUGUGUAUGGUUAAGCGUAAGUAAAAGAAAAAGAAUUAUAAAAAGAAAAAGGGAUCACAACUCAGCCUCUCUAUAAUUACGACAGUGGUACUGGGGUGCUUAGUUUGUCAUUAUUUUGUAUUAAAGUUCUUACCCAAUUAUUUAAUAGUUUAAUUAAUAAUGCAUGCAUGCUCGUCCUAAACGACCUCACAUCCACUUAGAGAGAAUAGGGAGGAACUCCCAUCCCUUAUAGUAGCCUGUAGUGCUUACUCAAUUAGCCACCUAGCUACCCCCUAUCAUCCUAAGGCUUCACGUCCUAGGUCUAUCCUGAUCGUCCUACGAUCUAUCCAACAAUUGUUUCUAUCAAGUUUUACUUUGGAAAAGGAUGGUAUUUAUAGUUUAUUGAUUCCUCUGUGGUGGUACAAGCUCCGAUACCAGCUGUGGCGGAACUGCCCGAAUUAUUCCAACUUAAGUGCCUAAGUCCCGCCUUAGAGGCUAGACCACACUUAAAUGGGAAUAACCCAUCAAUCCCUCAGAUCUAGUCCGACGAGGCCACUGACAGGAUCAAGUACCACAAUCUCACUCGAUGGUGAGUCACAGAGCAAAUACAAUAAAGCAUAAAACCAUACAUUAAAGAGUGUUAGACUUAUUACAUCAUUAUUGGAGUUUUAGCAAAAGUAGUCAUCAUUGUUCGAACUGCAGCGGAAUAAAACUAACAAUAAUUAAACAGAGAGAUGGGGAAGCCUGUCCCAUCACUCCUCAUGCUCCUCCUCAGCCGAGGCGGGGUCCCACUCGACAGUCCAACCCGGUGGCAAGAUGGACGGCCAAGUCACUCCAGCAACCAUGUCCUCCAAGGAACCUGUAAAAUUAUGCCACAAGCAAGGCUGAGUAUACUAAUACUCAGCUAGACUUACCCGGUGUGAGGAGUCUACUCCUCUACAUCUAGACAUGCAGCUGUUUGGCUGUGGGGUUUGGUUGCCAAAAGCACUAGCUGAGUCUAAAAUUCAAGUUUUAGCUUUGUCAAGUUUAAGUGUGACUCUCUUAAGACUAAAUGUAUACCUAUCUAAUCAUACAUGGUAUCAAACAUUUAGCAAUCAACAACUUUUGCCAAGUCAUCUCAUUUCCACUUGUUACUCAAUGUAGCAGCAUGGAUCAAGCAGUCUCAUUAGCUGCGAGAAGCAGACGAUUCGAAUCGAGUUUUAUCCUUGCAAGGUAAACCUAAACACACGACGUGGUGAGGCACUCCGUCCCCACACACAUCAACCGUCCCCAUCGAUUCCCUGUCAGCAGAUCAGGGCUCACCGCCUUGGCGUACAAUGCCUCACUGACCCCGACUGCCGUCGUGUAGUGACCGCACUUGUACCCACCAUAACCGGAAUAGGAGACCACGUCUCAGGUCGCGUGAGGGGAUAUGUCCACUGCCAGGUUCACUCAGGUACUAGGCUUACCGAUUUACCAUAUUUCUCGGCAUGUGCUUAGUACGUUCAAACGCUUGACACACGGUACCACACCUUAAUCCUUAUUCCAACCACCUCGUAGACAACCAAUCCCCAUGGAUUGUUGUUCACAGGCCAACAUCAUUAUGCUAUGAAAGUGGAUACAACCAAGUCCUGACCUUGCGUGAGUGCUAGAAAAAUCACUCGACUUCUACCGAAAUCCCUAAUUAAUAAAGCAGUUACUCGGCUUAGCAUACUAGUAUUUAUCUCAAUGGGAUUCCUGAGAUCAUGCAACUAGGGUUUCAAACAACUCCUACACUUAAGUGCACAUUCAAUCCUACAAUCAUUAAGUGUAGUAAAAUAGCAUAAUAAACAGGUUAUGCAUAAACCGGGGCUUGCCUUCCAAAGCUGGGGCAGGCAGAUCCUCUGGUGCAGGCUCUGGUGCUGGAUCCGGGGCUACCUCCUGAGCAGCUCCUUGCUCCGGCACGAGGACGUACUCUCCGUCAGCGAGGUUGUAAUCUAUCGAAUGCAAUGAAUAGGAAUAUGUAUGUCAUGAUUAUGCAGGAUUUAACAAACAUUAUGCUAAAUGAAGAAAAACUAAGUUAGUUAGUAACUUAGGUUUUUCUGGUCAUACGUUGCUCUUUAGUGGUUUAUGCUUAUCAAUCUAGGUUUGGGUUUUGUUAGGGAUAAGCAUAGUGGAUUUGUAACUUGGAUUUCCCUUAGAUGUUUUAGUAGACUUUUUAACGGAUUUUGCUGGUUGGGUUAGAAUGACAUUACUCUCAUUGUUAAUUUCCUCUUUCUUUUUCUAUUUAUGAAUUCUAGGUUGGGUUUGAACUACAACAGUGAUUUAACCUAUUGCAAAAAUCCUGAAAAAUUUACAGUAGACUACUAUUGGCCCCUGUAGUCUGUCCUAGGAACUUGAGGUCCAGAAUAAAUAGAGUAUUCUUUGGACAAAAAUAACAAAAGUUGGGCAAAGGGGGUCACUUUGCACUACAACUCUUAACUAGGGGUGGGUUCUGUCCUAAGGGUCAUUUUUGCUGGUAUCUAACAGUAAUCACAAGUUUUUGUGCCAAAAAUCACAGAAGGUUAUUUGGUGGUUAUUUAGUUGUGAUUUUCUAAAGUUUAAUGUCAAAAAGGCACUUUCUACUAUCUUGUUAUUUGAAAAAUGUCAAACAACAGAUUUCAUAUUUUUCCUAUGUUCUUAAUAACAAAACAUUAAUUAUCGCAAGGGUUGGGGUGUUUUCACCUUGGGGUUAUUUUUCUAGGUUUUUUCUAAGUUUUCCUUGUUUUCUUAAAAUAAAAGGUAUCCCAAUUAUUUUAUACUAAACCAGAGUAUAAUAAAUUUUUCUAGUGAACUAUACUGAAUAAGUAAACUAACAAAAAUGUGGGUGCUCACUGGUUCUUUAUUUAAAUUACCUUUUCUAUUUUCUUGAACUUUGAGCAUAAGGUGAUUUAAAUGGCAAACUCUACCUUAAUGGGGUAUACAGAGGGGUUUAUCAUUUUUAAACAGGUUAGUAGGUGAUUAAGUACUUCUAUAAAUUUUCUUAACCUCAGUCAAAUAGUAUAGCUAUUUUUCCUUAUUUCUUUUAGCUUUUGACCAGUUAAUUAUUUAAAUCAAAACUUUAAAGUUCUCUGUAACACUUAGGGGUUUCAUAUUUUUCUUAAGUAGUCUACAUUAUUUAAGAUCUGGCAAAAUUGAUUUGACUCGAUUUGGGUGAACAAAACAGAAGUUAUGAAUUUUUCAAGUUCUGUUUGAAUUUAAAUCAGAUUGUUAAAAAGGUUUACUGGAAAAACAGUUUACACCGAGGACCCUAGGUUUAAUCCAAAUCAACACACUCAAAUCUACCCCUGUGCCACUAUUCCCCUGAGUCACUGACAGUUCAAAAAUCCCCCCGACCUUUCCUUCUUCCUGAGAGCACCUAGAGGGGGGGUGAAUAGGUGAUCCUGUAAAACUUAAACUUAUAGCCACAAAAACUUGGUUAAUUGUUAGCACAAUAAUUGCCAAGUGGCUAGAGAGGAGUCAAAACACAAUAACCACAAGAAUUCAAUCACAGAGAUGACACGGUGGUUAUCCCGUGGUUCGGCCAAGUACAAAACUUGCCUACUCCACGUUGUGGCGUCCCAACGGACGAGAGUUGCACUCAACUCCUCUCAAGUGAUCCAAUGAUCAACUUGAAUACCACGGUGUUCUUGCUUUUCUUUUCUUAUCGCGUUUGCGAGGAAUCUCCACAACUUGGAGUCUCUCACCCUUACACUAGAAGUUCACAAAGAAGCACGGAGUAAGGGAGAGAAGCAACACACACAAAUCCACAGCAAAAUGCGCACACACACUGCCAAGAAUCGAGCUCAAGAGACUAUCCUUGCCUUCUGUGCGUCGUUGAGAGCAAAUCUGGAAGGCCAUCCUUGCCUUCUGUCGUCGGGUGCACCGGACAGUCCGGUGCACACCGGACACUGUCCGGUGCCCGAUUUAUUUCCUUGAACAGCACAGUCGACCGUUGCCGACCGUUGCAGAUCUGGCGCACCGGACAUGUCCGGUGCACACCGGACAGUCCGGUGCCCUCCGGACAGUCCGGUGAAUUAUAGCCGUACGCCGUCGGCAAUUUCCCGAGAGUGGCCUCUUCGCCCGAGGCAGCCUGGCGCACCGGACACUGUCCGGUGCACCACCGGACAGUCCGGUGCCCCAGACCGAACUGAGUCUUGGCUGUACACAGCCAAGUCCUUUUCACCUCUUUUCUUUUCUUCUUCUUUCUGUUUCUAACACUUAGACAAGUAUAUUAGUACACAAAACCAAUGUACUAAGGCUUAGAAACAUACCUUUACUUGUGAUUUGCACUUUGUUCAUCCAUGGGCAUAGAUUCACAUUUAAGCACUUGUGUUUGCACUCAAUCACCAAAAUACUUAGAAAUGGCUCAAAGGCACAUUUCCCUUUCAAUCUCCCCCUUUUUGGUGAUUUAUGCCAACACAACAUAAAGCAACUAGAACGAGUGCAAAAUCACUUCAAAUGAAAUAAAUUUGAUUUGGCAUAUAUAUGGAUCAUUCUUUGCCACCACUUGGUUUGUUUUUGCAAAUCAAACUCAAAUCUCUAUCUCUAAGUCAAACACACAUGUUGAAGCAUAAAGAGAGUCAUUCCAAAAGAGAUUGAUCAAGGAUUUCAAAAACUCCCCCUAUUUCCCAUAAUCAACACUUCUCCCCACAAGAAGCCAACAUUUGACAAAAGAGACACUACAAGAGUUUUGACAAACCAAAAGCUCUAUUCUACUAUUUUCAAAAUUUCUCAAGUGGUAGUUGAUCCAUUUAUUGCUUUGGCCUUUAUUUUCUCCCCCUUUGGCACCAAGCACCAAAACGGGAUCAAUUUUGGCCUUCUAACCCCAUUGCCUCACCAAAAUCUUCACUUAAGAGCAAAUGGCAAUAAGAGUUCAUGAGAUGAACUUGGAAUAAGUUACCCUCUCAUCGGAGUGCAGUGGAAGUCUUUCAUGGUCCAAGUCCACCUUUUCCCUUUCAAUUCUCCUUCGAGACUAAAUCAAGCAAACUCAAGCAUAUAGUUAGUCUCAAAGGGUCAAGUUGUAACACAUCUCCCCCUAAACAUGUGCAUCACUUUGCAACGGACUUGUGAGGUCCGGGGAGUGUUUGUACAACUUGAGCACCACAAUAAGCAACAAAAUGCAGAAUGAACAUGAUCAAAGGCAUAAACACAUGUAUGCUACAAUUCAAUCCAAGUUCCGUGAAUCUAAGACAUUUAGCUCACUACGCAGCCUGCAAAAGGUCUUCUCAUCUAGAGGCUUGGUAAAGAUAUCGGCUAGCUGGUUCUCGGUGCUAACAUGAAACACUUCGAUAUCUCCCUUUUGCUGGUGGUCUCUCAGAAAGUGAUGCCGGAUGUCUAUGUGCUUUGUGCGGCUGUGCUCAACAGGAUUUUCCGCCAUGCGGAUAGCACUCUCAUUAUCACAUAGGAGUGGGACUUUGCUCAGAUUGUAGCCAAAGUCCCUGAGGGUUUGCCUCAUCCAAAGUAGUUGCGCGCAACACUGUCCUGCGGCAACAUACUCGGCCUCAGCGGUGGAUAGGGCAACGGAAGUUUGUUUCUUAGAGUUCCACGACACCAGGGACCUUCCUAAAAAUUGGCACGUCCCCGAUGUACUCUUCCUAUCGACCUUACAUCCAGCAUAGUCGAAGUCUGAAUAUCCAAUUAGGUCAAAGGUAGACCCCUUGGGAUACCAGAGCCCGAAGCAAGGCGUAGCAACUAAAUAUCUAAGGAUUCGCUUCACCGCCACUAAGUGACACUCCUUAGGAUCGGAUUGAAAUCUAGCACACAUGCAUACGCUAAGCAUAAUAUCCGGUCUACUAGCACAUAAGUAAAGUAAUGACCCUAUCAUUGACCGGUAUGCUUUUUGAUCAACGGACUUACCUCCUUUGUUGAGGUCGGUGUGUCCGUCGGUCCCCAUCGGAGUCUUUGCGGGCUUGGCGUCCUUCAUCCCAAACCGCUUUAGCAGAUCUUGCGUGUACUUCGUUUGGGAGAUGAAGGUGCCGUCCUUGAGUUGCUUCACUUGGAACCCAAGGAAGUAGUUCAACUCGCCCAUCAUUGACAUCUCGAAUUUCUGCGUCAUCACCCUGCUAAACUCUUCACAAGACUUUUUAUUAGUAGAGCCAAAUAUUAUGUCAUCGACAUAAAUUUGGCACACAAACAAAUCACCAUCACAUGUCUUUGUAAAAAGAGUUGGAUCAGCUUUCCCAACCUUGAAAGCAUUAGCAAUUAAGAAAUCUCUAAGGCAUUCAUACCAUGCUCUUGGGGCUUGCUUAAGUCCAUAAAGCGCCUUAGAGAGCUUACACACGUGGUCGGGGUACCGUUCAUCCUCGAAGCCAGGGGGUUGCUCUACGUACACCUCCUCCUUGAUUGGCCCGUUGAGGAAAGCGCUCUUCACAUCCAUUUGGAACAACCUGAAAGAAUGGUGAGCGGCAUAUGCUAGCAAGAUACGAAUUGAUUCUAGCCUAGCCACAGGAGCAAAUGUCUCCUCAAAGUCCAAACCUGCGACUUGGGCAUAACCUUUUGCCACAAGUCGAGCCUUGUUCCUCGUCACCACCCCGUGCUCGUCCUGUUUGUUGCGGAACACCCACUUGGUUCCCACAACAUUUUGCUUGGGACGAGGCACCAGUGUCCAAACUUCAUUGCGCUUGAAGUUGUUGAGUUCCUCCUGCAUGGCCAAUACCCAAUCCGGAUCUAGCAAGGCCUCCUCUACCCUGAAAGGUUCACUAGCAGAGACAAAGGAGUAAUGCUCACAAAAAUUAACUAAUCGAGAUCGAGUAGUUACUCCCUUGCUAAUGUCACCCAAAAUUUGGUCGACGGGAUGAUCCCUUUGAAUCAUCGCUCGAACUUGGGUUGGAGGUGCUGGUUGUGCUUCUUCCUCCAUCACGUGAUCAUCUUGUGCUCCCCCUUGAUCACACGCCUCCUUUUGAUGAACCUGUUCAUCGUCUUGGGGUGGGGGAAGCACUGUUGUUGAGGAAGAAGGUUGAUCUCGUACAUCAUGUUCCUGUGGCCGCACUUCUCCAAUCGCCAUGGUUCGUAUAGCGGCCGUCGGAACAUCUUCUUCAUCUACAUCAUCACAAUCAACAACUUGCUCUCUUGGAGAGCCAUUAGUCUCAUCAAAUACAACGUCGCUAGAGACUUCAACCAAACCCGAUGAUUUGUUGAAGACUCUAUACGCCUUUGUAUUUGAGUCAUAACCUAAUAAAACCCCUUCUACAGCUUUAGGAGCAAAUUUAGAAUUUCUACCCUUCUUCACUAGAAUGUAGCACCUGCUCCCAAAUACACGAAAGUAAGAUACAUUGGGUUUGUUACCGGUUAGUAGCUCAUACGAAGUCUUCUUGAGGAGGCGGUGAAGGUAGACCCUGUUGAUGGCGUGACAAGCCGUGUUCACAGCUUCCGACCAGAAACGCUCGGGGGUCUUGAAUUCUCCAAGCAUCGUCCUCGCCAUAUCGAUUAGCGUCCUGUUCUUCCUCUCUACCACACCAUUUUGCUGUGGUGUGUAGGGAGCGGAGAACUCGUGCUUGAUCCCUUCCUCCUCAAGGAACUCCUCCACUUGAAGGUUCUUGAACUCGGACCCGUUGUCGCUCCUUAUCUUCUUCACCUUGAGCUCAAACUCAUUUUGAGCUCUCCUGAGGAAGCGCUUGAGGGUCCCUUGGGUUUCAGACUUAUCCUGCAAAAAGAAUACCCAAGUGAAGCGGGAAAAAUCAUCAACAAUAACUAAACCAUACUUACUUCCUCCUAUGCUCAGAUAGGCGACGGGUCCGAAGAGGUCCAUAUGUAGUAACUCCAGGGGUCUUGAAGUGGUCAUCACAUUCUUGCUGUGAUGUGCUCCUCCCACCUGUUUACCUGCUUGACAUGCUGCACAAGGUCUAUCUUUUUCGAAUUGCACGUUAGUCAAACCUAUCACGUGUUCUCCCUUUAGAAGCUUGUGAAGGUUCUUCAUCCCCACAUGUGCUAAGCGGCGAUGCCACAGCCAGCCCAUGCUAGUCUUAGCUAUUAAGCAUGCAUCUAGACCGGCCUCUUCUUUUGCAAAAUCAACUAAAUAAAGUUUGCCGUCUAAUACACCCUUAAAAGCUAGUGAACCAUCACUUCUUCUAAAGACAGACACAUCUACAUUUGUAAAUAGACAGUUAUAUCCCAUAUGACAUAAUUGACUAACAGAUAGCAAGUUAUAUCCAAGACUCUCCACUAGAAACACAUUAGAGAUAGAAUGCUCAUUGGAGAUUGCAAUUUUACCUAGCCCUUUUACCUUGCCUUGAUUCCCGUCACCGAAUAUAAUUGAAUCUUGGGAAUCCUUAUUCUUGACAUAGGAGGUGAACAUCUUCUUCUCCCCCGUCAUAUGGUUUGUGCAUCCGCUGUCGAUAAUCCAGCUUGAACCCCCGGAUGCAUAAACCUGCAAGGCAAAUUUAGGCUUGGGACUUAGGUACCCAACUCUUGUUGGGUCCUACAAGGUUAGUGCAAAUAUCCUUAGGGACCCAAAUGCAAGUUUUGUCUCCCUUGCAUUUUGCCCCUAACUUCCUAGCAACUAUCUUCCUAUCCUUUCUACAAAUAGCAAAGGAAGCAUUUAGGGCAUGAUAAAUUGUAGAAGGUCCAUGAACUUUCCUAUGAGCAUUAACAACAUUUCUUCUAGGCAGAUUAUGAACAACAUUCCUUCUACCAACAUUUCUAUCAUGCACAUAUGAAGAACUAGAAGCAAACAUAGUAUGGGAAAAAUCAUUGUAAGCAUUAUAACUCCUAGUUUGUCUUCUAUCAUUAUACAAAAAGGCAUGGUUCUUUUUAGCACUAGUAGCCAUAGGGGCCUUCCCUUUCUCCUUAGCGGGAAUGGGAGCCUUAUGGCUUGUCAAGUUCUUGGCUUCCCUUUUGUAGCCAAGUCCAUCCUUAAUUGAGGGGUGUCUACCAAUCGUGUAGGCAUCCCUUGCAAAUUUUAGCUUAUCAAAUUCGCUUUUGCUAGCCUUAAGUUGAGCAUUAAGACUAGCCACUUCAUCAUUCAAUUUAGAAAUUGAAACUAGAUGUUUACUACCAGCAUCAACAUUAAGAUCUUUACACCUAGUGCACGUUUCAACAAUUUCUACACAUGAUGUUGAUUUACUAGCUACUUCUAGUUUAGCAUUUAAGUCAACAUUAACACUCUUUAAAGUAGCAAUGUUUUCAUGACAAGAAGAUAAUUCACUAGAAAGCACUUCAUUUCUUUUAACUUCUAAAGCAUAGGAUUUUUGUGCCUCUACAAACUUAUCAUGUUCAUCAUACAACAAAUCCUCUUGCUUUUCUAAAAGCCUAUCCUUUUCAUUCAAGGCAUCAAUCAAUUCAUUGAUUUUAUCAAUUUUAUUUCUAUCCAAUCCCUUGAACAAACUAGAAUAAUCUAUUUCAUCAUCACUAGACUCAUCGUCACUAGAAGAAUCAUAAGUGACAUCAUUAUGAGUGAUUACCUUCUUCUCUCUUGCCAUGAGGCAAGUGUGACGCUCGUUGGGAAAGAGGGAUGAUUUGUUGAAUGCAGUGGCGGCGAGUCCCUCAUUGUCGGAGUCAGACGAGGAGCAGUCCGAAUCCCACUCCUUGCCAAGAUGAGCCUCGCCCUUUGCCUUCUUAUAAUUCUUCUUCUUCUCCCUCUUGUUCCCUUGGUCCUGAUCACUAUCAUUGUCGGGACAGUUAGCAAUAAAAUGACCAAGCUUACCGCAUUUGAAGCACGAAUGCUUCCCCUUGGCUUUGGUCUUGCUUGGCUGUCCCUUGCGACCUUUAAGCGUCGUCUUGAAUCUUUUGAUGAUGAGGGCCAUCUCUUCAUCAUUAAGUCCAGCCGCCUCAAUUUGUGCCACCCUGCUAGGUAGCGCCUCCUUGCUUCUUGUUGCCUUGAGAGCAAGGGGUUGAGGCUCGUUGAUCGGUCCAUUCAAGGCGUCGUCCACGUAUCUUGCCUCCUUGAUCAUCAUCCGCCCGCUUACGAAUUUUCCGAGUACCUCCUCGGGCGUCAUUUUCGUGUACCUGGGAUUCUCACGAAUAUUGUUCACGAGAUGAGGAUCAAGAACGGUAAAUGACCUUAGCAUUAGGCGGACGACGUCGUGAUCCGUCCAUUGCGUGCUUCCGUAGCUCCUUAUUUUGUUGAUAAGGGUCUUCAGCCUGUUGUAAGUUUGGGUUGGCUCUUCUCCCCUUAUCAUUGCGAAUCGUCCAAGCUCGCCCUCCACCAACUCCAUUUUAGUGAGCAUGGUGAUGUCGUUCCCCUCGUGAGAGAUUUUGAGGGUGUCCCAUAUCUGCUUGGCGUUGUCCAAGCCGCUCACCUUAUUGUACUCUUCCCUGCACAAAGAUGCUAAUAGAACAGUAGUAGCUUGUGCAUUUCUAUGGAUUUGUUCAUUUAUAAGCAUAGGGCUAUCCGAGCUAUCAAAUUUCAUUCCAUUCUCUACAAUCUCCCAUAUGCUUGGAUGGAGAGAGAAUAAGUGACUACGCAUUUUGUGACUCCAAAAUCCGUAGUCUUCCCCAUCGAAGUGUGGAGGUUUGCCAAGAGGAAUGGAAAGCAAAUGCGAAUUCGAACUAUGUGGAAUACGAGAAUAAUCAAAUGAAAAGUUUGAAUUGACCGUCUUCCUGUAGUCGUUGUCGUCGUCCUUUUGCGAAGAAGUCGACUCAUCGCUAUCGUCGUAGUAGACGAUCUCCUUGAUGCGCCUUGUCUUCUUCUUCUUCCCAUCUUUACGCUUGUGGCCCGAGCCCGAGUCAGUAGGCUUGUCAUCCUUCGGCUCGUUGACGAAGGACUCCUUUUCCUUGUCGUUGAUCACGAUUCCCUUCCCCUUAGGAUCCAUCUCUUCGGGCGAUUAGUCCCUUCUUGAAGGGAACGGCUCUGAUACCAAUUGAGAGCACCUAGAGGAGGGGUGAAUAGGUGAUCCUGUAAAACUUAAACUUAUAGCCACAAAAACUUGGUUAAUUGUUAGCACAAUAAUUGCCAAGUGGCUAGAGAGGAGUCAAAACACAAUAACCACAAGAAUUCAAUCACAGAGAUGACACGGUGGUUAUCCCGUGGUUCGGCCAAGUACAAAACUUGCCUACUCCACGUUGUGGCGUCCCAACGGACGAGAGUUGCACUCAACUCCUCUCAAGUGAUCCAAUGAUCAACUUGAAUACCACGGUGUUCUUGCUUUUCUUUUCUUAUCGCGUUUGCGAGGAAUCUCCACAACUUGGAGUCUCUCACCCUUACACUAGAAGUUCACAAAGAAGCACGGAGUAAGGGAGAGAAGCAACACACACAAAUCCACAGCAAAAUGCGCACGCACACUGCCAAGAAUCGAGCUCAAGAGACUAUCUCAAAGUUCUCACUAGAACGAAGCUCGAAUCACUUAGAAAGACAAACGAAUGCGCAAAGACUGAGUGUGGAUGAUCAAGAAUGCUCUAAGGUUGCUUGGUUGUCUUCUCCAUGCGCCUAGGGGUCUCUUUUAUAGCCCCAAGGCAGCUGGGAGCCGUUGAGAGCAAAUCUGGAAGGCCAUCCUUGCCUUCUGUCGUCGGGUGCACCGGACAGUCCGGUGCACACCGGACACUGUCCGGUGCCCGAUUUAUUUCCUUGAACAGCACAGUCGACCGUUGCCGACCGUUGCAGAUCUGGCGCACCGGACAUGUCCGGUGCACACCGGACAGUCCGAUGCCCUCUCCCGACCGUUGGCUCGGCCACGUGUCUCGCGCAGAUCGCGCGGCCGACCGUUGGCCCGGCCGACCGUUGGCUCACCGGACAGUCCGGUGCACACCGGACAGUCCGGUGAAUUAUAGCCGUACGCCGUCGGCAAUUUCCCGAGAGUGGCCUCUUCGCCCGAGGCAGCCUGGCGCACCGGACACUGUCCGGUGCACCACCGGACAGUCCGGUGCCCCAGACCGAACUGAGUCUUGGCUGUACACAGCCAAGUCCUUUUCACCUCUUUUCUUUUCUUCUUCUUUCUGUUUCUAACACUUAGACAAGUAUAUUAGUACACAAAACCAAUGUACUAAGGCUUAGAAACAUACCUUUACUUGUGAUUUGCACUUUGUUCAUCCAUGGGCAUAGAUUCACAUUUAAGCACUUGUGUUUGCACUCAAUCACCAAAAUACUUAGAAAUGGCUCAAAGGCACAUUUCCCUUUCACUUCCCCGAGGUCCUUCCCCUAAUGCAAAUAGUACCUGUGGGAAAGAAAAGGGCGGCGCGGCUUACCGGCGGCGAGAGAGGUCCGGCGAGGGGCGGGGUUGGCUCCGGGAGGUCCUGGCGGUCACAGCGGUGUACGGCUCGACGGCGGAGGUGGCCGGAAUUGUCCGGUCCACGAGCGCAGGCGGGUGAUCUCGUCGGCGGUGGGUGUUCUGGCUGAACCACGGCGAUCUAGUUCAAUCAAAUGGCACGAUGAGCUCCACGGGGUGACGUAGAGGCUAUGUGCACAAGGAAUCGAAGAAUGGGGCAGAGAUUUACCCGGUCUACGUUCACCAGCGGUCGGGCGAAGUCCGACGACCGUGGACUGGCUUCUCCGGCGAAGCAAAGUCCGAUUCCUUGCUCGGGGAGCUUCACCGAGGCGUGCACAGUCUCUUCCAAGGGUCGGGCGUGGCUGGGAAAGGCUCUGUUGGCCGGUCUACGGUGGCAGGGGCUCGGGUGGCCGCGGGCACGUCGUGCGCGGGGCAAACGCCGGUGGUUUCGGGCUCCGGUGAGGUCGAGCGUGCGCGGAGGAGUGCGGUCGACGCCUGAGGGUGAUUUAUAGGCGCAGGCGCGAGCAGGAGACGCGAGCACGGCUUGGCAUGGCGCGGGGCGCGCGGGGUCGGGCGUGGGCGUGCUCUAGCACGCCCAGAACGCGUCGAACACGUGGAGGUGUUCAUCUGCCCGUGUUCAAAAGCUUGCUGAGAUCGCAAACGUGCGAAUCUUGGCAAAAAUCCGGCGCAGACCUCUUCCUGGCACCUAUGGCUAUCUCUUGUAUGUGAGUUCCAAGGGAAGAUAAGCCCUAGGUCAGAAGAUAUGCGGACGCCAAAUCUGGCUUGUCUCCCUGCCCACUUCGCGACAAAAGUGAUGCCAAGACAUGUCAAAUGAGUUUGACUUGGGUUCAAAUUUUUCUAGGGGGUGCCUUAGGUGGUUUGGCACAUUUUUGGUAUUUAGACCAAGUGGUUUUGGUGCCAUUUACUAAGUGAACACGUCUGAUCUUUAGAUUAGGGUUAAAAAUUUGACUUAGAGAGAAUUAGAGAGCUCUAGCUCUCUCUCUAUUUAAGGAAUGGAUUUGGGGUUUCUUAAGGGGUCUUUUUGCAAUGUUUCCUCUCUAUAUUUGUAGAUUAAGAUGUUACUUAACUUUGGCCAAAGGUUAGGUCAUGAUUUGCACAUUUGCUUAAUCUCCCCCCCCUUCAACCAAGGUUUUAGGAGAUAGGGGCUCAAGAGGGGUCUAGGGUUUAUUCCCCUCUUGCCCAAGGUGAUAAUUGUACAAAAGCUUGGGUAAUGCUUUUGGUCAUUCACAUUCUUGGGUAAAACAUGGUCUCCAAAGUUUUUAUGCUCUUCUCCUCAAGUUUCUUCCACAUGUGAUCACAAUCAUUAGUGCAUAGAUGUGCCAUGGCCAUAGUAACACCUGGGGUGUUACAAUUUGCAUUGCAUUGUGGGUGUUGUUAUUAAUCUUGAUCUCUUAUUUAAUUGGGUUGGUAUCUACUUACAUUUAGUAACUGCUAAUAAAAUUUUGACCGACUUUAAAACCAAUGCUCAGCUUUAACCAUCCUCUUUGGUAAGCCUUACACUUCACAUGGGCUCCCACAUUUGGUGAGUUCAUGCACAUUAUUCCCCAUAACUUGUUGAGCAAUGAACGUAUGUGAGCUCACCCUUGCUGUACUCACAUCCCCCAGGUCAAGAACAUGUACCACAGGAUGAGGCGCAUGGAGGAUGUUGCGAUGAGAACAAGAGAGGUCUAGGUUGUCGUCUCCCAGUCAACUUUGGUUACUGGAUCGUUGUCUUCAUAUGAUGUAAUUAUUUAACUAUUUUGUACAGAACUUCUAUUAUAUAGUAAAGAUGUGACAUUCGUUUCUGUACCAUGAGUCAUCAUAUGUGUGAGACUUGUUCCUAGCACACUUGGUGAUUAUUUCAAGGCCAGUUUUUGGACCCCUAGAAUCCAGAUGUGACAUCCAUCCACAAGGCUUGGUUGCACAUGAAAAGAUAGGGAGAGAAAUGUAGACGCGGGACUAGGAGAAAAAACAUUCAAUGAGGCGUGAUUGCAUAGACAUAGAACUAGAUAGAAGUAAAGAGUUAAAGAAAAAUAAAGGGACUAAAUUUUCUUUUGCACACUUAGCAUGAAUGGAGUUGUAGUAUGUGAGAUCCCAAUUUUAAUUUUAUCCAAGAUGUAGAACAAAAUUGCGAGACUCAUCAUGGUUACGUAGGGACAAAAGUAGAUAAGAAAAAUAGCAAACAUAUAGUGGUCUACCAGAGAGGGCACAUGUGCCCUAAUUGGCCUAGAGCUUAGCGGUUCAUUAUCCUUCCACCACUGCUAGUUGACAAAGUCUGUUGUCGAGCUAGGUGGGCUAUGGUUGAAGCACAAUAGGAUAGAGUAGACCUAUUCUGUUUUUUGUUGUUUUUGGGACAUUAUGGACUUUAUGUUGAUAUUGUGAAUUUUUUUCAUGUGUUUCCUCUUGCCUACGAAGUGGAAGAUGGGUGCGUCAGAGAAGAAAGAAAGAGUGGCCAGCAUUGAUUUUACGUCAUCCCCUUGAGAACACUAAUCAAAAGAAGAAGCAACAAUAUUUAAUACAUAUACAACACUUGUAAUCCAUAUAAACAACUUUCCUUCAAAAAAUAAUAUAAAGCACAUUAUUUAUAUCAUGUGUCGGUCAACUCCACAAAGGGCAAGAAAACACUCUUAGGUUUGUAGUAUAGAACUAAGAGUGUCUACUCUCACGAUUUCUUCCCAACUUUUGCAAACUACACACUAAUCACAUGAAAUAAAGACAUAUGUGGUAACACGAACUUAUAUCAUGUACUACAACCUAUAGAUUUUUGAUUAUUAAUGCAGAUUAUAUAAUAUAGGGGUUCCCGAAGAAAUACAUAAAAAACAAGUGCAUUAAAUUUUCCUUUUCAGAUUUGGCUAACUGGUAAAAGGAGUUGGAGUAUCUGAGUUUCUAAAUUUGGCACGUCGAUGUAAAGAAGGAAUAUAAAUACGUUGGGAAAACAUUCUACAAGGCAAGGUUUAACACAAGUAGGGCUAAGAAAAAAUCAAUGAGGCUUUGGUCACAUAGUCACAAAACUUGAGACAAGAAACAUGAAGAAACCAAGGUAAUUAGUAUGAGAGUUUUCGAAAUUUGGUGUCUUGAUGUAGAAAAAAUAAAUAUAUGACAAACAUGUUUUUCUACAAGGCAUGGUAUAAUAAGUCGGAGUGAGUAAUAAAUUUCAUCAUAGAUUUAGAAGGAAGAAAUAUAUCACUAAAUAUGUUCUUUCAUAAUGCCAAGUUAAGCAGGUGGAGCCGAGAAAACAAUUCUAGCGAGGCUUGGUUGUACUAGCCCCAAACUAGAUACAACAGAGGAAAAAUGAAAAAAUGUUGGUCUAACAAAUAUGGCGCAUGAGCCUUAAGGUGGACCUAGAGGGAAGUAGAAGAAAUAAAUAUAUAACUGAAUAUAUUUUUCGCAAUGCAAGGUAAAGUGUAGAUGCGCUCUAACUAGGCUUAAAUUGCAGCGACACGUUAUCCAUCCACAAGGCUUAGUUGCACAUAGAAAAAAAGGUGAAGAGAAAAAUGUAGACGCAACAUCGGUUGAAAAACAUUCAAUGAGGCAUGAUUGCACGGACAUAGAACUAGAUAGAAGAAAAGAGUUAAAGAAAAAUAAAGGAAGUAAAUUUUCUUUUGCACACUAAGCAUGAAUGGAGUUGUAGUAUCUGAGAUCCCAAAUUUAAUUUGUUCUAAGAUGUAGAACAAAAUUGCGAGAAUCGUAAUGAUUACAUAGGGACAAAAGUAGUUAAGGAAAAUAGCAAAAAGAUAGUGGUCUACCAUAGAGGGCACAUGUUCCCUAAUUGGCCUAGAGCAUAGCGGCUCAUUAUCCUUCUACCGCUGGGGGCGGGCGGUACUCGCUGCUCUGUGAAGCCAGCCUCACGCAAUGUCCGCCACUUUAGGUGUUAGGAUGCAAAGGUGUUCGCCAAGGCACCCGAAACCCACUACACAACUUGGAAUGGGUGGUCCACAGUUUGUAGCACUAGACCCAAGCACAUGCACCACGAUUGACAUCCACACUUCCUUAUUGCCCCCGCUCAGGUUACAAGCAAUCGCUACUUGCUCAGCGAGUUAAGGGGUUCAGGACUGCCUAUUUAAGGUGGUGUUGUACUCUUUGAGGCGGCGAUGUGGUAUUAACCAACAACAAAUAGUGUCAUGCAUGUGAGUUGCUAGUUGGCAAAGUCUGUUGUUGACCUAGCUAUGGGCUAUGGCUGAAGCACAUGACGAUAGAGUAGGCCUAUUAUGUUUUGUUGAUUUUGGGCCUUUGUGGACUUUAUGGUGAUGUCCAGAAAUUUUUUAUGUGUUUCCUCUUCCCAAUGAAGUGGAAAGUGGGUGCGUCAGAGAAGAAAGAAAGAGUGGCUAGCAUUGAUUUUAUGUCAUCCCCUUGAGAACAUUAAUCAAAAGCAGAAGCAACAAUAUUUGAUACAUAUACAACACAUGUAAUCCAUAUAAACAACUUUCCUUCAAAAAUAAUAUAAACCACAUGAUUAUAUCUUAGGUCGGUCAUAUCCACAAAGGGCAAGGACACACACCUAAGUUUGUAGUUUAGAACUAAGAGUGUCUACUCUCACGAUUUCUUCCCGACAUAUGCAAACUGGACACUAAUCACGUAAAGUAAAGACAUAUGUGGUAACACGAACGUAUAGCAUGUAUUUCAACCUAUAGAUUGUUGAUUAUUAUGGUAGAUUAUUUAAUAUAGGGAUUCCCGAAGAAAUACGUAAAAAUGAGAGAAUUAAAUUUUCCUUUUCAGAUUUGGCUAACUGGUAAAAGGAGUUGGAGUAUCUGAGUUUCCAAAUUUGGGACGUACAUGUAUAGAAGGAAUAUAAAUACGUUGGAAAUUUUUCUACAAGGCAAGGUUUAACACAAGUUGGGACAAGAAAAAACCAACGAGGCUUUGAUCGCAUGGUCACAAAACUAGAGACAAGAAACAUGAAGAAACCAAGGUAAUUAGUAUGAGAGUUUUCCAAAUUUGGUGUCUUGAUGUAGAAAAAAUAAAUAUAUGACAAACAUGUUUUUCUACAAGGCAUGGUAUAAUAAGUCGGAGUGAGUAAUAAAUUUCAUCAUAGAUUUAGAAGGAAGAAAUAUAUCACUAAAUAUGUUCUUUCAUAAUGCCAAGUUAAGCAGGUGGGGCCGAGAAAACAAUUCUAGUAAGGCUUGGUUGUACUAACCCCAAACUAGAUACAACAGAGGAAAAAUGAAAAAAUGUUGGUCUACCAAAUAUGGCGCAUGAGCCUUAAGGUGGACCUAGAGGGAAGUAGAAGAAAUAAAUAUAUAACUGAAUAUGUUUUUCGCAAUGCAAGGUAAAGUGUAGAUGUGCUCUAACUAGGCUUAAAUUGCAGCGACACGUUAUCCAUCCACAAAGCUUGGUUGCACAUAGAAAAAAGGUAAAGAGAAAAAUGUAGACGCAGGAUCGGUUGAAAACAUUCAAUGAAGCAUGAUUGCACGGACAUAGAACUAGAUAGAAGAAAAGAGUUAAUUAAAGAAAAAUAAAGGAAGUAAAUUUUCUUUUGCACACAAAGCAUGAAUGGAGUUGUAGUAUCUGAGAUCCCAAAUUUAAUUUGUUCCAAGAUGUAGAACAAAACUGCGAGACUCGUAAUGAUUACAUAGUGUAACACCCCAGGAUCCUCAAACACCCAGAAUGCUACUAAACUACACAUCUAACAGUCAUAUAUAAAAUUUCGAUAACAUCCCCUUUGAAAAUUACAUAAACGGGGAAGCAACAAAAUAUAAAUAGAUAUCAUGAUAAGAGAACAUAAUAGACAUUAAUAAUCUGCUAGCAAUGGAAAGACAACCAUAACGGCAUGAACUAAAUCAACCAGUGCGCACAACUAGUUAGAAACAACAUCCUUUGACAAGAAGUUUCUAAUUAAAUCCUGACUGCGCCUAAGCAGCGUUAUUAUGAGAGUGAAGGUGGAUGUGCUGCUACUUCCCACUUCCCUUGAUGAGCAACAAGCACCUGCAUUGAGUAAUGCAAGAGUGAGAUGAAACAUCUCAGCAAGCGAAUUAUUUUGACAAGAUAUUUAAACCACAAAUUGAAUUAAUCAACAUUUUAAAAGAAUCACAAUUAAGAUCAGAAAUUCUUGUAGAUAUAGAACUCAGUAGUCUCAAUAUAACCAAUACCAUCUCAUUUCCUUAAACAACCACAAUAGUUUGUAUAACACUUCCCUGCGUCAACAAUACCUACAAAUAUCACUUCAAUGUAUGCAUAGGAACACAAAGUGUAGUUACUCUGUCUUCAUACCUCUGAGGGUAUAAAACCACAUCAUAUGCAAAUAUCACUUCAAUGAAUGCAUAUGAAUGCAAUGCAUAUGUCAUCUGCCUUCAUACCUCUAAGGGUAUGAAGCCGCAUCGUACCCCUCCUCGGGCAACGUACGAUGCUAAGUUGUACCGGUACGGUCGGACCAUAGGUCACGACCCAACUUCAGAUGCAAGUGAAUCAUGCAAUGUAUAUGGCAUGCUGCAUUUAUCAAUAUACUUCACUUUCUUCACAUACAAUACAACCUCAAAUAAUACUUCAUUUACCUUCAGAUACAAUACCAACCUCAAAUAAUACUUCAUUUACCUUCAGGGGUGUGAAUUAAUCUCAUGAGUCAUACUCGAAUCAUAAUCAUCAUCAAUAUAUGAUUGAGCAUCAGUAUAAUGCAAGUAAGUAAAGCAUCACCAUAGAGUCCAAUUAUGAAAGAAUCCAAUACUUCUGAAUAUUAGAGUGUAGGCAAUAGAAAUAACAGGUCAGAACGGAAGCAACCACCGCUACAUUCACUUGCCUUCAUCGAAGAAGAAAAAUGUACUAGGCAUGAUCUGGAGUGUAGCCACCUGCUAGCGGGCAUAAAACUUAGUACAAAUAUUUCACAAACAUUUGCCAACAAUUAACAAAUCGAUCCUACACCUGAAACCAAGACCUGGGGGAAAACCUCCCACUCUGAACCACAUGCCAUACAACAGCAAUGUUGUUUGUUAAUUUUGUAUCUUUAAAAUUAUAACAGUGGUGAUAUCAAACAAAUACUCCAUGAGUAUCUACACAAAAUAUUCUACAACUUCGGUAUUCGAUGGAUAAUUAAAUUCUGCCAUCUAUAAGUUCUAAAACAUCUAACAAGAUAACUGACUGAAUCUAUUUUAGACAGCAGCAUAGUUAACUUUCAAAAUUCGAUAUCUCACAAACUACUCAACCAAAAAUCAUGAAAUUCUUCUGAAAGUAAGAAUUUUUAUCCCUCUACAAAAGUCUCCAUAGCUGGGAGAGCCAAUUCGGCCAUUUACUUGAUGAAACCUACCAGUGAACAGACCCGCUCAUUUCUGUUAGGCUAACAGAAACAGCCACAGUAAAACAAACAUAACUGGAGUUUCAUAAUUCAUAUGAAUGCACUCUUUAACAAUCUGGAAAGAUUAUGAAAUUAUCUACAUCUUUUCUUACAAACCUAAGGUUUAAUUCUGUUGAUAAAAUUGCCUAAAUCUUAAGAGAACAGAUUCUGUACAGAAUUAAGAGACUGAAAAACUGCUAUAAUCAAACUGCGAUAACUCUCUGAUCUGAUGUCUGGUUGAGGUGUUCUUCGCGGCCAUGGAAAGAUCUACAAAUUAUCUACGACUUAUAUAUAGACUUUUUAUUUUUUUGAGGCCUCUAAGACCACGGAAAACUGGGAUUAACAGAAACUGUCGAAUCUGCCAUUCUGCAGAAAACUAAAUUCGAGAUCAAAACCUAACCCCACAUCUAAUCCAACCUCUAAUCCUUUAAUUCCCAUGAUCCACAACCUCCAAAAGCACAUAAUUACAGGGAGGAACAAGGAUCUCAUCCAUACCUAGGGUUUCCCCAAGAAAUUCUGCAAGAAGAGAUGGGGAAGAACAUCUCCUUGAUCCUCUCUUCCCCUUCAACUCAAUGUGCUCCUCUUCUCGAUCCUUGUUGCGCGGGGGGAGAUCUAGAGGGAGGAGGAAGCCGUGGAGAGGGGCUGCCAUGGGAGGAGAGGGCAGCCAGCCCAAGGAAAAAGGAGAGAGGGGCGGCCAAGUGUUGGAGGAGGGGAAAGGGUUGGCGACCAAGUAGGGGCAAAAGGGGGAAAAGGCCACCACUAGGGUUUUCUUUGCGGGAGAAAAGAAGCGAUGCCACAGAUGACUCCGACUUAGCAUCCAACGGCCCACAACCCUUUUCCCACAUCCACGCACCGAAAAUCAACCUUUGGCAACAUUUUUUUGGGAUAUUACACUCUACCCGCCUUAAAAAGAAUUCGUCCUCGAAUUCGUCCACUCCAAACAAAACAUCCAUGGUACCCCAUAUAACACCACCAUUCCAAAACAUGGGUCCAUUAUUGGUCUUAAUUAACACAAGAACUUCGACCUCAGACUAAAUGUCUAAGGAAACUACACCACCUGACAUCAAGCAUGAACCAACAUGUAAUGAAGCUCAAACCAAGUCAUAGAUGCAAUCAACACUACGAUUUCACAACAUCGAAUUUGGAUGCAGCCAUACAUCCGCAUCAAUGUCUUAAAACGACACUCUUUGAUGAAGGGGUAAUAUGCACUAAGCACAACCUUUACCAACUUCAACAAUUCAUUUUAAUUUAAUGGUGAAACAUCCACACCAGAUGAAUGUAUAAGAAGAUCAAACACCUCACCUCACAGCACCACGAAACAAUUAGUUCUAUUGAAACAAAACUCCUAAUCUUCCUAAACCUUGUUCUUGCCAUAAUGAAAAUAUAAUCAUGUAAUCUAACAUUCUUUGCACCCCACCGAAAGGGAGAUAAUCUACAGAACUAAUGGAGCAAUAAAACCGACAAGAAGCCAAUAACAUUAUGCACGGCACAGUUCAUCGAAGAAAUGCCAAAAACUCCACAUAGAGCACAGACAGCCCAACGACAACACAAUACUUGCUUAACCCAUGUCACUAUACUUCAUCCAACAACUUAACUAAGAAAAAUAUCCAAACUAGUAAGGUUAACCUACACAUAAUAUAAGUCUUCAUCUACUGUAGUUCAGAAACUUACAUUUCAUUCUAUCAUAUGAUGCACUCCGAGUACCAGACAUAAAAGGUCAAUACUAGCCCGUAAUCCUUCACACAUUUAGAAAACAUCCCAAGCUGAUGUUAAAACCACAUCAUCUAGGAAUAGGUGACUAACCACACACAACCAACUCUAGGCUAAGCAAUGACUUCAUUCAAACCAAUAGAUAAGUGGUCCGACAAUGGCUCCACAAACAUGCAUCGGGAAGAGAACCAUCAAAUCCUCAACGUAUUAAUACAUAAUCAAUGGAUCAAGAAAAAUCAAAGAUUUAUUCUACAAUUAGCAUGACUAACAUGCAACCACUUUAAACCACAUCUAGGCUUUGUGGCUACUAAAACACACGAUAGAAGAGAGAGACAUGUAAGCCAUUCUGGCUAUGUAAAGACUUCCCCCAAAAAUCCAUAUAAAAGUACCAAUAUUCAUUUCUUUGAUAACUGGUUUCUCAACAUAAACAAUCAUUCUUUGUAAAGAUAGUUGGAGCUAUCCACCAACCGCUCAACAACUUAAAUUCAAAUUGAUGAUUACCUUGUACCCCAAAACACGCAAUUCACACUCCUCUUAGAAACAUCCUCAAUAAGGCAUAUAUAACAAUAUUAUUGUAAUAAAACUCAACCAUGAAAAACAUGGUGAAAACAAGAUAGGCAUACUUGUAUAUCACAAGCAUAAUAACAACUUCAUUCUCACAAAUGACCAGCGAUAUCUACAGCAUUAAACAAACAAUAUUAAAAUUUCAGAAAUAAAUUAUAUCAAGCAUUAAGCCAUAAACAACUUACCACAUCACCAUAAAGGAAUAGGGAGGGGUGAGGUUAUUGUCAUCUGCACUUCAAAGACACUAACAUAUAUCAAAGAUAUUUAAACCCAUACCCUUUCUAUAUGUGCGAGUGUGUCAAAUUUAUCUUCAAAUUGCCAAGAAUCUAAAGCCUAUGCUUUGAUACCAAUUGUAACACCCCGGGAUCCUCAAACACCCAGAAUGCUACUAAACUACACAUCUAACAGUCAUAUAUAAAAUUUCGACAACAUCCCCUUUGAAAAUUACAUAAACGGGGAAGCAACAAAAUAUAAAUAGAUAUCAUGAUAAGAGAACAUAAUAGACAUUAAUAAUCUGCUAGCAAUGGAAAGACAACCAUAACGGCAUGAACUAAAUCAACCAGUGCGCACAACUAGUUAGAAACAACAUCCUUUGACAAGAAGUUUCUAAUUAAAUCCUGACUGCGCCUAAGCAGCGUUAUUAUGAGAGUGAAGGUGGAUGUGCUGCUACUUCCCACUUCCCUUGAUGAGCAAAAAGCACUUGCAUUGAGUAAUGCAAGAGUGAGAUGAAACAUCUCAGCAAGCGAAUUGUUUUGACAAGAUAUUUAAACCACAAAUUGAAUUAAUCAACAUUUUAAAAGAAUCACAAUUAAGAUCAGAAAUUCUUGUAGAUAUAGAACUCAGUAGUCUCAAUAUAACCAAUACCAUCUCAUUUCCUUAAACAACCACAAUAGUUUGUAUAACACUUCCCUGCGUCAACAAUACCUGCAAAUAUCACUUCAAUGUAUGCAUAGGAACACAAAGUGUAGGUACUCUGUCUUCAUACCUCUGAGGGUAUAAAACCACAUCAUAUGCAAAUAUCACUUCAAUGAAUGCAUAUGAAUGCAAUGCAUAUGUCCUCUGCCUUCAUACCUCUAAGGGUAUGAAGCCGCAUCGUACCCCUCCUCGGGCAACGUACGAUGCUAAGUUGUACCGGUACGGUCGGACCAUAGGUCACGACCCAACUUCAGAUGCAAGUGAAUCAUGCAAUGUAUAUGGCAUGCUGCAUUUAUCAAUAUACUUCACUUCCUUCACAUACAAUACAACCUCAAAUAAUACUUCAUUUACCUUCAGAUACAAUACCAACCUCAAAUAAUACUUCAUUUACCUUCAGGGGUGUGAAUUAAUCUCAUGAGUCAUACUCGAAUCAUAAUCAUCAUCAAUAUAUGAUUGAGCAUCAGUAUAAUGCAAGCAAGUAAAGCAUCACCAUAGAGUCCAAUUAUGAAAGAAUCCAAUACUUCUGAAUAUUAGAGUGUAGGCAAUAGAAAUAACAGGUCAGAACGGAAGCAACCACCACUACAUUCACUUGACUUCAUCGAAGAAGAAAAAUGUACUAGGCAUGAUCUGGAGUGUAGCCACCUGCUAGCGGGCAUAAAACUUAGUAAAAAUAUUUCACAAACAUUUGCCAACAAUCAACAAAUCGAUCCUACACCUGAAACCAAGACCUGGGGGAAAACCUCCCACUCUGAACCACAUGCCAUACAACAGCAAUGUUGUUUGUUAAUUUUGUAUCUUUAAAAUUAUAAAAGUGGUGAUAUCAAACAAAUACUCCAUGAGUAUCUACACAAAAUAUUCUACAACUUCGGUAUUCGAUGGAUAAUUAAAUUCUGCCAUCUAUAAGUUCUAAAACAUCUAACAAGAUAACUGACUGAAUCUGUUUUAGACAGCAGCAUAGUUAACUUUCAAAAUUCGAUAUCUCACAAACUACUCAACUAAAAAUCAUGAAAUUCUGCUGAAAGUAAUAACUUUUAUCCCUCUACAAAAGUUUCCAUAGCUGGGAGAGCCAAUUCGGCCAUUUACUUGAUGAAACCUACCAAUGAACAGACCCGCUCAUUUCUGUCAGGCUAACAGAAACAGCCACAGUAAAACAAACAUAACUGGAGUUUCAUAAUUCAUAUGAAUGCACUCUUUAACAAUCUGGAAAGCUUAUGAAAUUAUCUACAUCUUUUCUUACAAACCUAAGCUUUAAUUCGGUUGAUAAAAUUGCCUAAAUCUUAAGAGAACAGAUUCUAUACAGAAUUAAGAGACUGAAAAACUGCUAUAAUCAAACUGCGAUAACUCUCUGAUCUGAUGUCCGAUUGAGGUGUUUUUCGCGGCCACGGAAAGAUCUACAAAUUAUCUACGACUUAUAUAUAGACUUUUUAUUUUUUUUGAGGCCUCUAAGACCACGGAAAACUGGGAUUAACAGAAACUGUCGAAUCUGCCAUUCUGCAGAAAACUAAAUUCGAGAUCAAAACCUAACCCCACAUCUAAUCCAACCUCUAAUCCUUUAAUUCCCAUGAUCCACAACCUCCAAAAGCACAUAAUUACAGGGAGGAACAAGGAUCUCAUCCAUACCUAGGGUUUCCCCAAGAAAUUCUGCAAGAAGAGAUGGGGAAGAACAUCUCCUUGAUCCUCUCUUCCCCUUCAACUCAAUGUGCUCCUCCUCUUCUCGAUCCUUGCUGCGCGGGGGGAGAUCUAGAGGGAGGAGGAAGCCGUGGAGAGGGGCUGCCAUGGGAGGAGAGGGCAGCCAGCGCAAGGAAAAAGGAGAGAGGGGCGGCCAAGUGUUGGAGGGGGGGGAAAGGGUUGGCGACCAAGUAGGGGCAAAAGGGGGAAAAGGCCACCACUAGGGUUUUCUUUGCGGGAGAAAAGAAGCGACGCCACAGAUGACUCCGACUUAGCAUCCAACGGCCCACAACCCUUUUCCCACAUCCACGCACCAAAGAUCAAUCUUUGGCAACAUUUUUUUGGGAUAUUACACAUAGGGACAAAAGUAGUUAAGAAAAAUAGCAAAAAGAUAGUGGUCUACCAUAGAGGGCACAUGUUCCCUAAUUGGCCUAGAGCAUAGCGGCUCAUUAUCAUUCCACCGCUGGUGGCGGGCGGUACUCGCUGCUCUGUGAAGCCACCUCACGCAAUGUCCGCCACUUUAGGUGUUAGGAUGCAAAGGCGUUUGCCAAGGCACACGAAACCCACUACACAACUUGGAAUGGGUGGUCCACAGUUUGUAGCACUAGACCCAAGCACAUGCACCACAAUUGACAUCCACACUUCCUUAUUGCCCCCGCUCGGGUUACAAGCAAUCGCUACUUGCUCAGCGAGUGAGGGGGUCCAGGACUGCCUAUUUAAGGUGGUGUUGUACUCUAUGAGGCGGCGAUGUGGUAUUAACCAACAACAAAUAGUGUCAUGCAUGUGAGUUGCUAGUUGGCAAAGUCUGUUGUUGACCUAGCUAUGGGCUGUGGCUGAAGCACAUGACGAUAGAGUAGGCCUAUUAUGUUUUGUUGAUUUUGGGCCUUUGUGGACUUUAUGCUGAUGUCCAGAAAUUUUUUAUGUGUUUCCUCUUCCCAAUGAAGUGGAAAGUGGGUGCGUCAGAGAAGAAAGAAAGAGUGGCUAGCAUUGAUUUUACGUCAUCCCCUUGAGAACAUUAAUCAAAAGCAGAAGCAACAAUAUUUGAUACAUAUACAACACAUGUAAUCCAUAUAAACAACUUUCCUUCAAAAAUAAUAUAAACCACAUGAUUAUAUCUUAGGUCGGUCAUAUCCACAAAGGGCAAGGACACGCACCUAAGUUUGUAGUUUAGAACUAAGAGUGUCUACUCUCACGAUUUCUUGCCGACAUAUGCAAACUGGACACUAAUCACGUAAAGUAAAGACAUAUGUGGUAACACGAACCUAUAGCAUGUAUUUCAACCUAUAGAUUGUUGAUUAUUAUGGUAGAUUAUAUAAUAUAGGGAUUCUCGAAGAAAUACGUAAAAACGAGAGAAUUGAAUUUUCCUUUUCAGAUUUGGCUAACUGGUAAAAGGAGUUGGAGUAUCUGAGUUUCCAAAUUUGGGACGUAGAUGUAUAGAAGGAAUAUAUAUACGUUGGAAUUUUUUCUACAAGGCAAGGUUUAACACAAGUUGGGACAAGAAAAAACCAAUGAGGCUUUGAUCGCAUGGUCACAAAACUAGAGACAAGAAACAUGAAGAAACCAAGGUAAUUAGUAUGAGAGUUUUCCAAAUUUGGUGUCUUGAUGUAGAAAAAAUAAAUAUAUGGCAAACAUGUUUUUCUAGAAGGCAUGGUAUAAUAAGUGGGAGUGAGUAAUAAAUUUCAUCAUAGAUUUAGAACGAAGAAAUAUAUCACUAAAUAUGUUCUUUCAUAAUGCCAAGUUAAGCAGGUGGGGCCGAGAAAACAAUUCUAGUGAGGCUUGGUUGUACUAACCCCAAACUAGAUACAACAGAGGAAAAAUGAAAAAAUGUUGGUCUACCAAAUAUGGCGCAUGAGCCUUAAGGUGGACCUAGAGGGAAGUAGAAGAAAUAAAUAUAUAAUUGAAUAUGUUUUUCGCAAUGCAAGGUAAAGUGUAGAUGCGCUCUAACUAGGCUUAAAUUGCAGCGACACGUUAUCCAUCCACAAGGCUUGGUUGCACAUAGAAAAAAGGUAAAGAGAAAAAUGUAGACGUAGGAUGGGUUGAAAAACAUUCAAUGAGGCAUGAUUACACGGACAUAGAACUAGAUAGAAGAAAAGACUUAAAGAAAAAUAAAGGAAGUAAAUUUUCUUUUGCACACUAAGCAUGAAUGGAGUUGUAGUAUCUGAGAUCCCAAAUUUAAUUUGUUCCAAGAUGUAGAACAAAAUUGCGAGACUCGUAAUGAUUACAUAGGGACAAAAGUAGUUAAGAAAAAUAGCAAAAAGAUAGUGGUCUACCAUAGAGGGCACAUGUUCCCUAAUUGGCCUAGAGCAUACUGGCUCAUUAUCCUUCCACCGCUGGUGGCGGGCGGUACUCGCUGCUCUGUAAAGCCAGCCUCACGCAAUGUCUGCCACUUUAGGUGUUAGGAUGCAAAGGCAUUCGCCAAGGCACCCGAAACCCACUACACAACUUGGAAUGGGUGGUCCAUAGUUUGUAGCACUAGACCCAAGCACAUGCACCACAAUUGACAUCCACACUUCCUUAUUGCCCCCGCUCGGGUUACAAGCAAUCGCUACUUGCUCAGCGAGUGAGGGGGUUCAGGACUGCCUAUUUGUAAUAUCCCAAAAAAAAUGUUGACCAAAAGUUAAUCUCUGGUGCGUGGAUGAGGUAAAGGGUUGUGGGCCAUUGGAUGCAAAGAUAGAAGUCAUCUGAGGCGUCGUUUCUUUCUCCCACAAAAACCCUAGGUGGCCACCCUUUUUUUUCCCUUCACCCCCCCCCCCCCCCUCUUGGUCGCCACCCCCUUUUUCUCCCCCUUGGCUGGACGCCCCCUCCCCCUAUGGCAGCCAUCCUCCAUUGCUUCCUCCCCCAAGAUCUCCCCCUACGCAGCAAGGUUCAAGAAAAGGAGGGGCACGUUGAAUUGAAGAGGAAGAGAGGAUCAAGGAGAUGUUCUUCCCCAUCUCCUCUUGAAGAUUUCUUGGGGAAACCCUAGGUAUGGAUGAGAUCCUUGUUCCUCCCUGUAAUUAUAGGCUUUUGGAGGUUGUGGAUCAUGGGAAUUAAAGGAUUAGAGGUUGGAUUUGAUGCGGGGUUAGGUUUUGAUCUCGAAUUUAGUUUUCUGCAGAAUGGCAGAUUCGACAGUUUCUGUUCAUGCCAGUUUUCCGUGGUCUUAGUGGCCUCAAAAAAAUAAAAAGUCUAUGUAUGAGUCGUAGAUAAUUUGUAGAUCUUUCCGUGGCCGCGAAGAACACCUCAAUCGGACAUCCGACCAGAAAGUUAUUGCAGUUUUACUAUAGCAGUUUUUCAGUCUCAUAAUUCUGUGCAGAAUCUGUUCUCUUAAGAUUUAGGCAAUUUUAUCAACAGAAUUAAACUGUGGGUUGGUAAAAGAAGUUGUAGAUAAUUUUAUAAGCUUUCCAGAUUGUUAAAGAGUGCAUUCAUAUGAUUUGUGAAACUCCAGUUAUGUUUGUUUUACUGUGGCUGUUCCUGUUUACCUGACAAAAAUGAGUGGGUCUGUUCACUGGUGGGUUUCAUCUAGUAAAUGGCCGAAUUGGCUCUUCCAACUAUGGAGACUUUUGUAGAGGGAUAAAAGUUCUUACUUCCAGCAGAAUUUCAUAAUUUUUGGUUCAGCAGUUUUGGAGAUAUCGAAUUUUAAAGUUAACCAUACUGCUGUCUAAAACAGAUUCAGUCAGUUAUCUUGUCAGAUGUUUUAGAACUUGUAGAUGGCAGAAUUUAAUUAUCUAUUGAAUACUGAAGUUGUAGAGUAUUUUGUGUAGAUACUCCUAGAGUAUUUGUUUGAUAUCACCGCUGUUUUAAUUUUAAAGAUACAAAAUUAACAAACAGCGUUGCUGCUGUAUGGCAUGUGGUUCAGGGUGGGAGUCUUUCCACUGGGUCUUGGUUUCAAGUGUAGGAGUGUUUUGUUGAUUGAUGGCAAAUGUUUGUGAAAUAUUUGUACUAAGUUUUAUGCCCACUAGCAGGUGGCUACACUCCAGAUCAUGUCUAGUACAUUUCUUCUUCUUUGAUGAAGGCAAGUGAAUGUAGCGGUGGUUGCUUCCGUUCUGACCUGUUAUUUCUAUCGCCUACACUCUAAUAUUCAGAAGUAUCAGAUUCUUUCAUAAUUGGACUCUAUGGUGAUGCUUUACUUGCUUGCAUUAUACUGAUGCUCAAUGAUAUAUUGAUGAUGAUUAUGAUUUGAGUAUGACUCAUGAGAUUAAUUCACACCCCUGAAGGUAAAUGAAGUAUUAUUUGAGGUUGGUAUUGUAUCUGAAGGUAAAUGAAGUAUUAUUUGAGGUUUGUGUUGUAUCUGAAGGAAGUGAAGUUUAUUGAUAAAUGUAGCAUGCCAUAUACAUUGCAUGACUCAUUUGCAUAUGAAGUUUUGUCGUGACCUAUGGUCCGACCGUACCGGUACAACUUAGCAUCGUACGUUGCCCGAGAAGGGGUACGAUGCGGCUUCAUACCCUUAGAGGUAUGAAGGCAGAGGACAUAUGCAUUGCAUUCAUAUGCAUUCAUUGAAGUGAUAUUUGCAGAUGAUGUGGUUUUAUACCCCCAGAGGUAUGAAGAUAGAGUACCUACACAUUGCAUUCCUAUGCAUACAUUGAAGUGAUAUUUGCAGGUAUUGUUGACUCAGGGAAGUGUUAUAGAACCUAUUGUGGUUGUUCGAGGAAAUGAGAUGGUAUUGGUUAUAGUGGGACUACUGAGUUCUAUAUCUACAAGCAUUUCUGAUUUUUAAUUGUGACUCUUUUAAAAUGUUGAUGAAUUCAAUUUGUGGUUUAAAUAUCUCGUCAGAACAAUUAGCUUGCUGAGAUGUUUCAUCUCACUCUUGCAUUACUCAAUGCAGGUGCUUGUUGCUCAUCAAGGGGAGUGGGAAGUAGCAGCACAUCCACCUUCAUUCUCAUAAUAAUGCUGCCCAGACGCAGCCAUGAUUUAAUUAGAAACUUCUUGUCAAAGGAUGUUUGUUUUUAACUAGUCGUGCGCACUGAUUAAUUCAGUUCAUGUUGUUAUGGUUGUCUUCCCAUUGCUAGCAGAUUAUUAAUGUCUUAUAUGUUUUCUUAUCAUGAUAUCUAUUUAUACUUUGUUGCUUCCCCCGUUUAUGCAAUUUUCAAAGGAGAUGCUGUCGAAAUUUUAUAUAUGAAUAUUAGAUGUGUAGUUUAGUAGCAUUCUGGGGUGUUUGUGGAUCCCGGGGUGUUACAGUUGGUAUCAAAGCAUAGGCUUUAGAUUCUUGGCAAUUUGAAGAUAAAUUUGACACACUUGCACAUAUAGGAAGGGUAUGGGUUCAAAUAUCUUUGAUAUAUAUUAAUGUCUUUGGAGUGCAGAUGACAAUAGUUUCACCCCUCCCUAUUCCUUUAUGGUGAUGUGGUAAGUUGUUUAUGGCUUAAUGCUUGAUAUAAUUUAUUUCUGAAAUUUUGAUAUUGUUUUAUUAAUGCGGUAGAUAUCGCUGGUCAUUGGUGAGAAUGAAGUUGUUAUUAUGAUUGUGAUAUACAAGUAUGCCUAUGUUGUUUUCACCAUGUUUUUCAUGGUUGAGUUUUAUUACAAUAAUAUUGUUAUAUAUGCUUGAUUGUGGAUGUUUCUAAGAGGAGUGUGAAUUGCGUGUUUUGGGGUACAAGGUAAUCAUCAAUUUGAAUUUAAGUUGUUGAGCGGUUGGUGGAUAGCUCCAACUAUCAUUGCAAAGAAUGAUUGUUUAUGUUGAGAAACCAGUUUUGAAAGAAAUGAAUAUUGGUACUUUAUAUGGAUUUUUGGGGGAAGUCUUUUCAUAGCCAGAAUGGCUUACAUGUCGCUCUCAUAUUGUGUGUUUUAGUUGCCACAAAGCCUAGAUGUGGUUUAAAGUGGUUGCCUGUUAGUCAUACUAAUUGUAGAAUAAACCUUUGAUUCUCUUGAUCCAUUGAUUAUGUAUUGAUACAUUGAGGAUCUGAUGGUUCCCUUUUCGAUGCAUGCUUGUGGAGCCAUUUUUUUAGACCACCUAUCUAUUGGUUUGAAGGAAGUCCUUGCCUAGCCUAGAGUUGGUUGGGUGUGGCUAGUCACCUAUUCCUAGAUCAUGUGGUGUUUACAUCAGCUUAAUAUGUUUGUCAAAUGUGUGAAGGAUUAGGGGUUAUUAUUAUUGACUUUGUAUGUCUGGUACUUUGAGUGCAUCGUAUGAUAGAAUGAAAUGUAAGUUUCUGAACUACAGUAGAUGAAGACUUAUAUUAUGUGUAGGUUAUCCUUACUAGUUGGAUAUUUUUCUUAGUUGAGAUGUUGAAUGAAGUAUAGUGACAUGGGUUAAGCAAGUAUUGUGUUGUUGUUGGGCUAUCAGUGCUCUAUGUAGAGUUUUUGGCAUUUCUUCGAUGAACUAUGCCGCACAAGAUGUUAUUGGCUUCUUUUGGCUUUAUUGCUCCAUUAGUUCUAUAGAUUUUCUCCCUUUUGGUGGGGUGCAAGGAAUGUUAGAUUACAUGAUUAUCUUUUCAUGAUGGCAAGAAUAAGGUUUAGGAAGAUUAGGAGUUUUGUUCCAAUAGAACUACUUGUUUCAUAGUGCUUUAAGGUGAGGCGUUUGAUCUUCUUAUACAUUCGUCGGGUGUAGAUGUUUCACCAUUUAAUUAAAAUUAAUGGUUGAAGUUGGUAAGGGUUGUGCUUGGUGCAUAUUACCCCUUCAUAAAAGAGUGUUGUCUUAAGACAUUGAUGUUGAUGUAUAGCUGCAUCCAAAUUUGAUGGUGUGAAAUUGGAGUGUUGAUUGCAACUAUGACAUGCUUUGAGCUUCAUUACAUGUUGUUUCAUGCUUGAUGUCAGGUCGUGUAGUUUCCUUAGACAAUUAGUCCAAGGUAGAAGUUCUUGUGUUAAUUAAGACCAAUAAUGGACCCAUGUUUUGAAUUGUGGUGCUAUAUGGGGUACCUUGGGUGUUUUGCUUGGAGUGGCCGAAUUCGAGGUCGAAUUCUUUUUAAGGGGGGUAGAGUGUAAUAUCCCAAAAAAAAUGUUGACCAAAAGUUAAUCUUUGGUGCGUGGAUGAGGUAAAGGGUUGUGGGCCAUUGGAUGCAAAGAUAGAAGUCAUCUGAGGCGUCGUUUCUUUCUCCCACAAAAACCCUAGGUGGCCACCCUUUUUUUUCCCUUCACCCCCCCCCCCCCCCUCUUGGUCGCCACCCCCUUUUUCUCCCCCUUGGCUGGACGCCCCCUCCCCCUAUGGCAGCCAUCCUCCAUUGCUUCCUCCCCCAAGAUCUCCCCCUACGCAGCAAGGAUCAAGAAAAGGAGGGGCACGUUGAAUUGAAGAGGAAGAGAGGAUCAAGGAGAUGUUCUUCCCCAUCUCCUCUUGAAGAUUUCUUGGGGAAACCCUAGGUAUGGAUGAGAUCCUUGUUCCUCCCUGUAAUUAUAGGCUUUUGGAGGUUGUGGAUCAUGGGAAUUAAAGGAUUAGAGGUUGGAUUUGAUGCGGGGUUAGGUUUUGAUCUCGAAUUUAGUUUUCUGCAGAAUGGCAGAUUCGACAGUUUCUGUUCAUGCCAGUUUUCCGUGGUCUUAGUGGCCUCAAAAAAAUAAAAAGUCUAUGUAUGAGUCGUAGAUAAUUUGUAGAUCUUUCCGUGGCCGCGAUGAACACCUCAAUCGGACAUCCGACCAGAAAGUUAUUGCAGUUUUACUAUAGCAGUUUUUCAGUCUCAUAAUUCUGUGCAGAAUCUGUUCUCUUAAGAUUUAGGCAAUUUUAUCAACAGAAUUAAACUGUGGGUUGGUAAAAGAAGUUUUAGAUAAUUUUAUAAGCUUUCCAGAUUGUUAAAGAGUGCAUUCAUAUGAUUUGUGAAACUCCAGUUAUGUUUGUUUUACUGUGGCUGUUCCUGUUUACCUGACAAAAAUGAGUGGGUCUGUUCACUGGUGGGUUUCAUCUAGUAAAUGGACGAAUUGGCUCUUCCAACUAUGGAGACUUUUGUAGAGGGAUAAAAGUUCUUACUUCCAGCAGAAUUUCAUAAUUUUUGGUUCAGCAGUUUUGGAGAUAUCGAAUUUUAAAGUUAACCAUACUGCUGUCUAAAACAGAUUCAGUCAGUUAUCUUGUCAGAUGUUUUAGAACUUGUAGAUGGCAGAAUUUAAUUAUCUAUUGAAUAUUGAAGUUGUAGAGUAUUUUGUGUAGAUACUCCUAGAGUAUUUGUUUGAUAUCACCGCUGUUUUAAUUUUAAAGAUACAAAAUUAACAAACAGCGUUGCUGCUGUAUGGCAUGUGGUUCAGGGUGGGAGUCUUUCCACUGGGUCUUGGUUUCAAGUGUAGGAGUGUUUUGUUGAUUGAUGGCAAAUGUUUGUGAAAUAUUUGUACUAAGUUUUAUGCCCACUAGCAGGUGGCUACACUCCAGAUCAUGUCUAGUACAUUUCUUCUUCUUUGAUGAAGGCGAGUGAAUGUAGCGGUGGUUGCUUCCGUUCUGACCUGUUAUUUCUAUCGCCUACACUCUAAUAUUCAGAAGUAUCAGAUUCUUUCAUAAUUGGACUCUAUGGUGAUGCUUUACUUGCUUGCAUUAUACUGAUGCUCAAUGAUAUAUUGAUGAUGAUUAUGAUUUGAGUAUGACUCAUGAGAUUAAUUCACACCCCUGAAGGUAAAUGAAGUAUUAUUUGAGGUUGGUAUUGUAUCUGAAGGUAAAUAAAGUAUUAUUUGAGGUUUGUGUUGUAUCUGAAGGAAGUGAAGUUUAUUGAUAAAUGUAGCAUGCCAUAUACAUUGCAUGACUCAUUUGCAUAUGAAGUUUUGUCGUGACCUAUGGUCCGACCGUACCGGUACAACUUAGCAUCGUACGUUGCCCGAGAAGGGGUACGAUGCGGCUUCAUACCCUUAGAGGUAUGAAGGCAGAGGACAUAUGCAUUGCAUUCAUAUGCAUUCAUUGAAGUGAUAUUUGCAGAUGAUGUGGUUUUAUACCCCCAGAGGUAUGAAGAUAGAGUACCUACACAUUGCAUUCCUAUGCAUACAUUGAAGUGAUAUUUGCAGGUAUUGUUGACUCAGGGAAGUGUUAUAGAACCUAUUGUGGUUGUUCGAGGAAAUGAGAUGGUAUUGGUUAUAGUGGGACUACUGAGUUCUAUAUCUACAAGCAUUUCUGAUUUUUAAUUGUGACUCUUUUAAAAUGUUGAUGAAUUCAAUUUGUGGUUUAAAUAUCUCGUCAGAACAAUUAGCUUGCUGAGAUGUUUCAUCUCACUCUUGCAUUACUCAAUGCAGGUGCUUGUUGCUCAUCAAGGGGAGUGGGAAGUAGCAGCACAUCCACCUUCAUUCUCAUAAUAAUGCUGCCCAGACGCAGCCAUGAUUUAAUUAGAAACUUCUUGUCAAAGGAUGUUUGUUUUUAACUAGUCGUGCGCACUGAUUAAUUCAGUUCAUGUUGUUAUGGUUGUCUUCCCAUUGCUAGCAGAUUAUUAAUGUCUUAUAUGUUUUCUUAUCAUGAUAUCUAUUUAUACUUUGUUGCUUCCCCCGUUUAUGCAAUUUUCAAAGGAGAUGCUGUCGAAAUUUUAUAUAUGAAUAUUAGAUGUGUAGUUUAGUAGCAUUCUGGGGUGUUUGUGGAUCCCGGGGUGUUACACUAUUUAAGGUGGUGUUGUACUCUAUGAGGCGGCGAUGUGGUAUUAACCAAUAACAAAUAGUGUCAUGCAUGUGAGUUGCUAGUUGGCAAAGUCUGUUGUUGACCUAGCUAUGGGUUGUGGUUGAAGCACAUGACGAUAGAGUAGGCCUAUUAUGUUUUGUUGAUUUUGGGCCUUUGUGGACUUUAUGCUGAUGUCCAUAAUUUUUUUUGUGUUUCCUCUUCCCUAUGAAGUGGAAAGUGGGUGCGUCAGAGAAGUAAGAAAGAGUGGCUAGCAUUGAUUUUACGUCAUCCCCUUGAGAACAUUAAUCAAAAGCAGAAGCAACAAUAUUUGAUACAUAUACAACACAUGUAAUCCAUAUAAACAACUUUCCUUCAAAAAUAAUAUAAACCACAUGAUUAUAUCUUAGGUCGGUCAUAUCCACAAAGGGCAAGGACACGCACCUAAGUUUGUAGUUUAGAACUAAGAGUGUCUGCUCUCACGAUUUCUUCCCGACAUAUGCAAACUGGACACUGAUCACGUAAAGUAAAGACAUAUGUGGUAACACGAACCUAUAGCAUGUAUUUCAACCUAUAGAUUGUUGAUUAUUAUGGUAGAUUAUAUAAUAUAGGGAUUCCCGAAGAAAUACGUAAAAACGAGAGAAUUAAAUUUUCCUUUUCAGAUUUGGCUAACUGGUAAAAGGAGUUGGAGUAUCUGAGUUUCCAAAUUUGGGACGUAGAUGUAUAGAAGGAAUAUAAAUACGUUGGAAAUUUUUCUACAAGGCAAGGUUUAACACAAGUUGGGACAAGAAAAAACCAAUGAGGCUUUGAUCGCAUGAUCACAAAACUAGAGACAAGAAACAUGAAGAAACCAAGGUAAUUAGUAUGAGAGUUUUCCAAAUUUGGUGUCUUGAUGUAGAAAAAAUAAAUAUAUGACAAACAUAUUUUUCUACAAGGCAUGGUAUAAUAAGUGGGAGUGAGUAAUAAAUUUCAUCAUAGAUUUAGAAGGAAGAAUUAUAUCAAUAAAUAUGUUCUUUCAUAAUGCUAAGUUAAGCACGUGGGGCUGAGAAAUCAAUUCUACCGAGGCUUGCUUGUACAAGCCCCAAACUAGAUACAACAGAGGAAAAAUGAAAAAAUGUUGCUCUACCAAAUAUGGCGCAUGAGCCUUAAGGUGGACCUGGAGGGAAGUAGAAGAAACAAAUAUAUAACUGAAUAUGUUUUUUGCAAUGCAAGGUAAAGUGUAGAUGCGCUCUAACUAGGCUUAAAUUGCAGCGACACGUUAUCCAUCCACAAGGCUUGGUUGCACAUAGAAAAAAGGUAAAGAGAAAAAUGUAGACGUAGGAUGGGUUGAAAAACAUUCAAUGAGGCAUGAUUACACGGACAUAGAACUAGAUAGAAGAAAAGACUUAAAGAAAAAUAAAGGAAGUAAAUUUUCUUUUGCACACUAAGCAUGAAUGGAGUUGUAGUAUCUGAGAUCCCAAAUUUAAUUUGUUCCAAGAUGUAGAACAAAAUUGCGAGACUCGUAAUGAUUACAUAGGGACAAAAGUAGUUAAGAAAAAUAGCAAAAAGAUAGUGGUCUACCAUAGAGGGCACAUGUUCCCUAAUUGGCCUAGAGCAUACUGGCUCAUUAUCCUUCCACCGCUGGUGGCGGGCGGUACUCGCUGCUCUGUGAAGCCAGCCUCACGCAAUGUCCGCCACUUUAGGUAUUAGGAUGCAAAGGCAUUCGCCAAGGCACCCGAAACCCACUACACAACUUGGAAUGGGUGGUCCACAGUUUGUAGCACUAGACCCAAGCACAUGCACCACAAUUGACAUCCACACUUCCUUAUUGCCCCCGCUCGGGUUACAAGCAAUCGCUACUUGCUCAGCGAGUGAGGGGGUUCAGGACUGCCUAUUUAAGGUGGUGUUGUACUCUAUGAAGCGGUGAUGUGGUAUUAACCAACAACAAAUAGUGUGUAGUCUAGAAAUUUUUAUGUGUUUCCUCUUCCCUAUGAAGUGGAAAGUGGGUGCGUCAGAGAAGUAAGAAAGAGUGGCUAGCAUUGAUUUUACGUCAUCCCCUUGAGAACAUUAAUCAAAAGCAGAAGCAACAAUAUUUGAUACAUAUACAACACAUGUAAUCCAUAUAAACAAUUUUCCUUCAAAAAUAAUAUAAACCACAUGAUUAUAUCUUAGGUCGGUCAUAUCCACAAAGGGCAAGGACACGCACCUAAGUUUGUAGUUUAGAACUAAGAGUGUCUGCUCUCACGAUUUCUUCCCGACCUAUGCAAACUGGACACUGAUCACGUAAAGUAAAGACAUAUGUGGUAACAUGAACCUAUAGCAUGUAUUUCAACCUAUAGAUUGUUGAUUAUUAUGGUAGAUUAUAUAAUAUAGGGAUUCCCGAAGAAAUACAUAAAAACGAGAGAAUUAAAUUUUCCUUUUCAGAUUUGGCUAACUGGUAAAAGGAGUUGGAGUAUCUGAGUUUCCAAAUUUGGGACGUAGAUGUAUAGAAGGAAUAUAAAUACGUUGGAAAUUUUUCUACAAGGCAAGGUUUAACACAAGUUGGGACAAGAAAAAACCAAUGAGGCUUUGAUCGCAUGGUCACAAAACUAGAGACAAGAAACAUGAAGAAACCAAGGUAAUUAGUAUGAGAGUUUUCCAAAUUUGGUGUCUUGAUGUAGAAAAAUAAAUAUAUGAUAAACAUGUUUUUCUACAAGGCAUGGUAUAAUAAGUGGGAGUGAGUAAUAAAUUUCAUCAUAGAUUUAGAAGGAAGAAUUAUAUCACUAAAUAUGUUCUUUCAUAAUGCCAAGUUAAGUAGGUGGGGCCGAGAAAUCAAUUCUUGCGAGGCUUGGUUGUACUAGCCCCAAACUAGAUACAGCAGAGGAAAAAUAAAAAAAAUGUUGGUCUACCAAAUAUGGCGCAUGAGCCUUAAGGUGGACCUGGAGGGAAGUAGAAGAAAUAAAUAUAUAACUGAAUAUGUUUUUCGCAAUGCAAGGUAAAGUGUAGAUGCGCUCUAACUAGGCUUAGAUUGCAGUGACACGUUAUCCUUCCACAAGGCUUGGUUGCACAAUGAAAAAAAGGUAAAGAGAAAAAUGUAGACGUAGGAUGGGUUGAAAACAUUCAAUGAGGCAUGAUUGCACGGACAUAGAACUAGAUAGAAGAAAAGACUUAAAUAAAAAUAAAGGAAGUAAAUUUUCUUUUGCACACUAAGCAUGAAUGGAGUUGUAGUAUCUGAGAUCCCAAAUUUAAUUUGUUCCAAGAUGUAGAACAAAAUUGCAAGACUCAUAAUGAUUACAUAGGGACAAAAGUAGUUAAGAAAAAUAGCAAAAAGAUAGUGGUCUACCAUAGAGGGCACAUGUUCCCUAAUUGGCCUAGAGCAUAGCGGCUCAUUAUCCUUCCACCGCUGGUGGCGGGCGGUACUCGCUGCUCUGUGAAGCCAGCCUCAUGCAAUGUCCGCCACUUUAGGUGUUAGGAUGCAAAGGCAUUCGCCAAGGCACCCGAAACCCACUACACAACUUGGAAUGGGUGGUCCACAGUUUGUAGCACUAGACUCAAGCACAUGCACCACUAUUGACAUCCACACUUCCUUAUUGCCCCCGCUCUGGUUACAAGCAAUCGCUACU